rnacentral:lncRNA from 1 species
UUGAUUUUUUUUUUUUUUUUUUUUUGUGGUAAGAGGGCGGGCGUAGGCCCUUGACAAGGGACAAUGUAAGGGUAAACUUCGAAGUGUUCAUGGUUUGUUAGGAAACAUUUAUAAAUUAAACCGCAUAUAAAGUCAUUAAUUGUCUAUCUUGCGAGACCAUUUUAAGAUGAGUACAUUCAAGGAAAAAUCAUUCAAAACGUCACUUACAUUUUAUCAAAUAAAAUUUUUCAUUAUUCACUUUUAAAAUGAUAACUUGACGUUUCUUACAAAAUCAAAUUGACAAAUUUUUGUUCCUACCUAGAUUUUUGAUUAUUUUUUACGUUGAAUCCAUCAUGUAACUGACACAUAUUUUUUUUUAAGGGCAAAAAGAUUAUAUCUCAUUUAUCAUUAAACCAACAAUUCAAUCCAUAUUCAUUUUUAUCCCUAAAAAAAGGGUCUAAGUCGAAUCAUAUUUUUUUUCCCUCUUAUUUCCACUUCCAAGUGUUCUGAUUCUAUCACUUGCCGUGACUAGGCUUGUUAAAUGGUUCUUAAUAUAUGCGUGCAAAUUUCAUAAGCAUUGUACCCUUGAUGAGGGAUGGAUUGAGGUUUUUGCGAGCUCGAGCUCGAGUUUCGAGCUCGAUGAGCUCGGCUCGAUUUUAAACUCGAGUUCGAGCUCGAGCUCGAGUUUUCUACUAGUAUAUCGAGUCGAUCUCAAAUGCCUUGUAAAGCUCGAAUUACUAAUCGAGCGAGCUCGAGCUAGCUCGAUUAGAGGUUCGAGUCGAGCUCGAUUGUCCUAUGCUCGAGCUCGACUCGACUCGUUUAACAGGUCUAUUUAACUGCCGUGGAACAAACCCAUGGCUUUUUCUCUUUUUUUUUUUUUGAAGGCAAUAAAAGAAAACUAUCCAAAUCGUUUUCUUUUUCUUUCUUUCUUUUUUUUUCUAAUACAUUUGUUUUUUAUUUUAAAAAAUCUAUCUGACUCACAUAAUAUUAGUCAGAUUUUGUCAUAUUUUUCCAUUUAAUUUGCUUUUCUCACAAAAAGUUAGAUCGAAGGUUCACUAGUACUUCAUUUAUAUGAGUUGAGCAGGUAAUUUAAAAUAAAAAUUAGUUAAAUGACAAAAAGUAUAAUUUAAAUAGUACGUCACUUUUUGUCAUGUGAUGUGAUGGAUGUGAUAAAAGAGAAGAUAUGAUUAGAAAGAUUAAACAAAAAGUAAUUAAAAAAUGAGUUUAUUAAGCAAUGAAAAAGAUUCAUUUUUGUAUGAUUACUUAGCCAAAUUGAAGUGUUUACUCUUUUAUGUUUAACCAUUUUUCUAUUGAUAUAAAAAGGCUUGUAAAUUUGCUCUUUUUUUUUUUUUUUUUUGUGGUAAGAGGGCGGGCGUAGGCCCUUGACAAGGGACAAUGUAAGGGUAAACUUCGAAGUGUUCAUGGUUUGUUAGGAAACAUUUAUAAAUUAAACCGCAUAUAAACUCAUUAAUUGUCUAUCUUGCGAGACCAUUUUAAGAUGAGUACAUUUAAGGAAAAAUCAUUCAAAACGUCACUUACAUUUUAUCAAAUAAAAUUUUUUAUUAUUUACUUUUAAAAUGAUAACUUGACGUUUCUUACAAAAUUAAAUUGAUAAAUUUUUGUUCCAACCUAGAUUUUUGAUGAUUUUUUACGUUGAAUCCAUCAUGUAACUGACACAUAUUUAUUUUUUUUUAAGGGCAAAAAGAUUAUAUCUCAUUUAUAGUUAAACCAACAAUUCAAUCCAUAUUCAUUUUUAUCCCUAAAAAAGGAUCUAAGCCGAAUCAUAUUUAUUUUUUCCCCAAAAGAAGUGGCAUAUGAUCCAAUCCACAUUUAUUUUUGUAACUAAAAAAAAGUGAGAUUUGAUCUUUUUUUUUAUAUAUAAAAAAUAAUUGUAUACGAGUCACGUGGUGAUUUCAAACUAAAAAGUAAUUGAAAAUUUAGGUUGAAACCAAAUUUUAGUAAUUUGAAUUUGUAAGGAACCUAAAGUUAACGUUUUAAAAAGUAAAGAACCAAAAAAUUCAUUUAACAAAAUAUGAGAAAUAUUUGAAAUAAUUUUCCCUACAUUUGAUCAUUACUUAUCCAAAAGAAAUUAGAAGCAGGACAUUUUAUUUGAUGUAGUUUAGUUACAAAGAAUAUGUUGGUUUUGAUCGUUAUUUUAUUUUGGAGUGAUUGCUUGGAUUGUUACCUUAAAAUGAAGGGGAAGAUGGGAAAAAAGGUUCAAGAAACGAAAAACUGCACCUUUGGAUCCACGGUAGGUAGUUUUCCUUUGCAAAAUGACAUUUACUUGCUCAGUGUCUGAUGACUUAGCUUCAAAUUCGGUUCGCCAGAUUCUUCUUUCAGAAAAGCUGCAGGAUGGUACGCGAGCAGGACGAAUAUGGCUACUGCUAUCAAUCCAACUUUCAUCGGGUUUAAAGUAGCCAUUGAAUUACAAUUAAUUAUUGACACAGUAGCUAUUUCGCGUAAGUGAAACAUUGUAGAACGUAAUACAAAGCCCCCCAGCUAAGCCAUGAGAGGAGGAAGGACGAUAACUUGGAAUGUAAGGAUUACAAGAAUGAAAACAGUCAUCGUCUCCAUUUUAUUUUUCCAAAGUGCUGAUUUUCUGGAGCAGAGGAAAGACAAUCCAGGGCACUCUGAGCAUCGUCGCCGGCGGUCUCAAAAAUCUGUCAGGCAUUCCAGUGCCGCUCCAGCGCUUUGCCGCCACCACCACGUUCUUGAAAAAACCACCGGUCUUGGCGCUGACCGCUAUAUAUCACUGUCCUCCGAGCGAAGGGAAGGUUCAGUGGAAGGAAGAACUUGAAAGUAGUCGAGGAGAACGGCUUUUGGUCUAAUGACUAAAAUUGAAAGUUAAAAACUUACAAAUCAAAUCCCCUUUCUCCAUCCUUAGCUUCUUAAAUCUACUCAUUUCCCACUGCUUAGAAAAAAAGAAAAAGAAAAGAAUGAAACACUUGAAAGCCAUCGUCUCUUCUCGUCUUGUCUAGUGCUAAACUGCUAAUGCCAAAAGAAGCAAGCUAAUCAGACGACUAACGCACAAGGAAUAAUUGGGAUCGCUGGAAACGACGUAGCAGCAAUUUCAGGAACCGUGCGCGAGGCUAUGACUGGAGCAAAUACCUCCCAUUUUCUCAUCUGCGUUGCCGAAACAGAAAUACAGAGUCAUAUACAUUUAAAUUAUUAUUGACUUGCGUAGUAGGAGUACUAGAUAGAUAGAAUGGUGGCCUCUGUCUGGUUUUUUUUUUUUUACCAGGAGGUUACUUUUAAGGAGAGAUUUGGCAGAAAGAAGCGCUUUUCAUCCGACUUGAGUGAGUUACCACUACCAAAAGAAGUUCUUAUCCGUGAGAUGUUACUGAAUAGCGUAAUUACACACUCUGAUUUUAGGCCUGACCCAUCCUUUGUUUUAUUUUAUCGACUGACAAUACGCCCUCUAGGACGCCUGUGAGGAUCUGGAUCUUCUGCAGUCACAGUUGUGAUUGGAAACAACAGUUUAUGUUGUGGAUCGCGUCAUUUUGAAAUGGAUGGCUGUGAUUUGAUUUAUUUAUGAAUACAAAAUCAACAAUAGUUGUCGUGGUUUUGCAUGUUAUUGUUCUAAUAUCUAGAGGUUAGUUAGUUUAGUGUCUAUAUUUAUUGUAUGACAACAACCGCGGAAACCCUUGAUCCUGUGUAGUAGACCGAGCAGAACGAAGCAUUGAACGGGAAAGAUCCGAAAAGCUGAAAAUGCGAGUAUGUCAGCAGUGAAUUUUGACCUCCCUGUCUCAGAAUCAGAGCAAACUAGGGGGGUAAAAAAAAAAAAAAGAGCAGCACCCACGUUAAGCCUGAAGUCAGGCAAGAUUGCCAUCGUUGCAGAUGAGGUCCAACCAAUUAAAGCAGCAAAAGAAAGCUUGCCAAUUAGAUAGCAGAUUCAUUUGAGCUCUAUAGUUCCUCGAUGUGUAUUCAACAUGGUGCGGCUUUCAAAUGCGUUCUAUACAACGGGGAGCAUAUGAUCAUAAUUAACAUGCCGAGAAACUUCAGCUACAGUAGGCAAAUAAAAUGACAAAAAGGAGAAAGAAAAGACAAAAGGGAAAGAAAAUCUUUUAAGACUUCUAGUUUCUAGUACAACAGUAACAAUGAAUAUUUACACUCUCAUCCAACAUGUAGAGAAUGACCACCAAACAGGGGGAAAACUGAUAAUGCUUCUCUACAAGGGAUGAAAGAAGGCACCAAUUUCCAUCCCUUCAAUUAAAAAGAGUUAAACUGAAUUUUUCCAUUUCGAAUAAUCUCACCACACAAAGCAUGACAUGUUAAAACAACAGCUUGACCUAAAAGUAAGCUCUCAAUGAAUUUAAAACAAUAUUCACCGCCCUUCAUGAAGAUCUUCAGAAAAUACAGCUGUCCUAGAGUGGUGGUCAUUAUCAAAAGCACUUAGACCAGAGUAAGGACCAGAAGAGAAGAUUGAUGAUGUACCGUCUGACUCAAAGGUUGUAGACGACUGCCUAAGAUUCGGCCGGCUGUUAGAAGAUAAAGCAGAAUCCUGAUACUCCGCAACGCGUUGCACCAUUUUAAGUGACUGAACCACCUCCCCCAUUGUAGGGCGUUGGCUUGCCUCAGGAGCAACGCAAGCAGCUGCAAUUGUGCAAACCCGUACAAAAUCUUCUGUUGGAUACUUGCCUUCAAGCCUAGGAUCAGCAAGCUCUUCCAACCGAUCCUUAUCUCUAAGUAUUGGACGGGCCUGAAACCAACCCAAUAUUUGCAACUUUAAAAUACUUGAGAAGCAUCACUUUGACUGUAAUGGAAUUCAUCCUCAAGGGAAAAAAAAGACUGUAAAUAAUUAGAUUUAGCACCACUAAUAAAAAAUGCAAUAGCACAGUUAUAACCAACCCAAGUCACAAGGUUCUCCUGGCCUGAAGGUUGUGCCAUAUCUACAGGCUUCCUUCCAGUCAACAACUCAAGGAGGACCACCCCAUAGCUGUACACAUCACUCUUGACCAAUAGGUGGCCUGUCAUAGCAUAUUCUGGGGCUACAUACCUGUAUGCGAUUCACAUUACAAAUCUGCGCAUAUAACAUUAAUGAUGAGUUGAUCGAUCAAGAAACUAACCCGAAUGUGCCCAUAACACGUGUAGACAAAUAAUUUGCUCUGCCUUCAGGGGCCUGCUUUGCAAGACCAAAAUCAGCAACUUUUGCAUGAAAGUUGUUCUCAAGUAAUAUGUUUGAAGCCUUAAAAUCUCUAUGAAUGACACAAGGUUGAGAAUCCUCAUGCAGAUAAGCAAGUCCCCUUGCAGCAUCAAGUGCAAUUUUCAUUCUGGCUUCCCAAUCCAGAGGGCAGUUCACCCCCAAGGGGCCUGCAGCAGAUGAGUGACAUUUUUAAAAACUGACAAGCAUACCUUAGCAUAAACUUCUCUAAUUGCUAAUCAUCAACAUUGACACUCAUACUCUAGUCAUUCUGCUGUUUUGCUUGAAUAACAGAUGAAUUGGCAUAUAACUGUCAAAUGCCAAAUAAUUCUGAAGAAUUACCAUGGAGCCAGGAUUCCAAACUUCCAUUCGGGACAAGCUCAUAGCAAAGUAGGUUUUGCGAGGAAGCACGACUGCUAUAGUAACCAACAAGUUUCACAAGGUUACGGUGAUGAAGCCUGCUAAGCAUCUCAACCUCAACCAAAAAUUCUUUAUCCCCUUGCUGACCUCCACUACUGAGCCUCUUUAUGGCUACAGCUGUUCCAUCACUAAGUACACCUUUAAAAACUCGGCCAAAACCACCCUCUCCAAGGAUGCUAGCAGGUUCAAAGUUGUUUGUAGCUCCUUUAAGUUCUUCAUAUGCUAGAAACCUGGUACUGGUAGGGUGCGGAGGGUGAGGAAGAGAUCCAGCUAGGGGGGCCGCAUCUGCAGUCCUCAUCUUUGCUGAGUUAAACAAGACUCAGAGAAUGUUAAAAAGAGACAGGAAUUAGAUGUGCAAAAUCAACAUAUACAAAUUUAAAUCGAUACCCAGAUCCAUACCAGGUUCUUUGACAGAUGUUCUCCUUUUUUCUUUGUGUGUUGCACAGAGACAAAUUACAAAAAUAGAAAUAAUAGCAAUGAUCAAGAUUCCAGACCCAAUUGCAAUAACAAGAACUAAACUUGAAUGAUUUCCCUUGUUUGAGCUGUUGGAUGCUACAGGACGUGAAUGCAAUUGUUGAGGUGCUUCUGCUGGAGGCACAUGAGAAAGAGGAGCUGUAUGCAAUACAAAAAAAUUUCAUUUCACAAUUUUUUGUCAUAAAAAAAUGAAAAUUUGUUGGGAAAGCUAGAUGAAUAAACUUCCUAGACCAAAGAUGCAUCAAAGGAUGAUGGUAAACAAUGGAUUACCUUGGGAUGGAGCUGAAGGCAUAAACCAAGUCAGAUUGAGAAGGUGGUAGUCACCAACCAAUGCAGGGUCCAAACGAACCUUAUGCGAAGACAGUGAAGAGUUUAUUUGAGCAGCUUCAGUAGCAGAGAAGCUAAUGCCCUUCAUUGGAGUGAUGUCCAUUGAAAUAUUAAGUCUCGAUAGUCCCAGCACAUAAAAGUUAAUUAGCUCUAUCUGGGAAACUUGCAAGCCUAACUGAGAUGCAAAUUCUUCUAGAAAAGGAUUCCAAUUUGGGUUAAGUGAUACAUUCAAGAGGAGAAGGUCAAGCUUAAGUGGAUAUACGCAUUGGCAACCCUGGGUUCCACGUUUAAGCACCAUAUCUGGUCCACAACAAUCUGAAAUGGAGAGAAACAGGAAAACAUCUUAAUACAUUGGCAAGAAGUAAAAACCUAAUAGAUUGGCAACCGUAAAAUAUUCAAGCAUUUCCCUCACUUAAUUCUGCAUUGAGCCAAACAAAGAAUAUGAAGGAGAAUCUAAUCAAAGAGUGAAAAUCGAUGUAUUGGCAUUUUAGCAUCGGGUCAUACCGGAGGUGUGAGGCGAAAGUGGGGGUUGAGCUAGACCAGCUGGUAAUGCACCAGAUUGCACUGGAGCAAUCUGGGCAAAGCGUGGAGGUGAAAAGCCACUAGGAGGGUUCAGUCCACCGUUCUUCAUUGACGACUUAGAUAACCUUGAGCUUGAAGGAGGAUGAUGGUGGGAUGUUACAAAUGGACCGUAAUGAGGAGGAGGCGGACUUGGUGCCAGCCCAAGCACCGGAACACCAAAGGGCGAAAUGUUUUUCCAGCGUGAUCUGUGGAACAAUGGUCGGUUUGCUGGUAGGGGCAGCGCAGGCAUAGCUGGUGGAGCUAAUGGCAUUUCCACUGGAGAUAGAACUUGUGCUUCCCACGGAUUAUCACGUGAGUCAGCAUUAGUGAAAGAUAGUAUAAAGAAACAAAUAAGAACCUGUCCCAGCAUCAGCCAGUGGACCUUUCUAAGCAGCCCUACAGGUCAUAUUGAAACAAGGGUCAGAGAUGAAGAUCUAGUAAAUCCUCGUAUGAAAUAAUCAGAAUAUGACACAGAAACUAACACAAGAGAAAUAGAAUACUCCACUAGAAUGCCCCCCACCAACACCCCCACCCCCCCAAAAAAAUUAAAAAUAAAUGAAUGAAUGAAACAUAGCAAUUACCGUGUUAAACACAUAUUGGCUCCACAAUAUCUUUUAAGCAAGAAGCAGCACAUUCCCAUUCCCCUCUGAUCAUGGUUCUCAUCAUUAAUAAAUAAAAGGCUAGCACAAAAAAAAUCUAAACCAGUACCAAUUUAGCACAGUUAUUUUUAACAUCAACAGUUUCCUCAACACUGUGGUUUUCCCCCUUUUUUCGUGGAGUGCCAGACCUGAAGUGAGUGGUUAUUAACGGUACAAUUUCGCACCACAUGGACUAUUGAAAAAAAGGAAAAAGCUAUAAAAUAAAAGAAGGUUUGAAAAGAAUGUAGAGAACCCUAAAAAGUGAGGCAAAUGGAGAAUUUGCAGGACUGCCGAAAUAUAUUCAAGCAAUUACUCCACAUUUCAAACGUACUACCGACACCAGACGCAUAAAAACGAGAAAGAUAUAAAGAAAAAUGAAAAUAGCAAAGCUUAAUUUUGUUGAUGUGAACUCACCAGUGAUGGAAGAGGACAAGACGAGCAGCAGCUGAGCUGAGUGCAGCAUCAUUACGGUCGCCGAGGAAAGGGGAAAAAAAUGAAGCGUUCAGAUCUGAGGAGUGAGGAACAAAGUGGAAGGAACCACAGUGGAGGCGGAGAUCUCUCCACAAGAUUUAAUUACGCAGACGGAGCAUAAAUCGUAGAACUAAGUCCCAUGCUGUAUGUGUCUGCAAUAACAAAAUGGAGACGGAAAUUCGAGAAAUCUUCAAAACGUCAGCUGGGAACUGAUAAUCGGGACAGCCACUUGCCAUUUCUUGAGCUUCGCCGCCCGCCACGAUCAAAGCGGAGAGGACUGAGAGCUAAACUGAUGAGAGCUGGCUUUCCCCACCCCCGCCUCUCUCUCUCUCUCUCUCUCUUUUCUUUUUCUUUUUUCUUCUUUUAAUUACUGUUACUAGUAUUUCUUAAAUACUAUUAAGUACUUGCUACAUUUGUGGUGGCUGUGACUGAGGAGCGGGGGCGGUGACUGGUAAAGACGGGGGUUUAUUCUAUUAGUAGUGCUAUAAUUUAAUUCAAGCAUUACUCCGAAUGAUACACUAAUAAUAAGGGUGGCUCCGCUCCGCCAUUGACGGGAAAAGUAUUAGGAGUGCUAAGAACUAACAUAACGGUAAAAAGACCAGCGACGUCACUCCCGUCGCAAUUGAGGCGGCCCAAAGGAAGAGACGGGUGAUUUGAUAUUGCGGCUGGAACACACGCAGGCACCCCCCCCCCCCCCAACACUUUUUAUUAUUAUUAGAAAAAAUCGUUCAAAACGUCCCUGAUAUUUUAUAAUAUGAUUUUUUUCGUCCUUCACUUUUAAAAGUGUAAUUUUAUGUCCCUUAUAAAUUCACAUUGACCAAAUUUGAUCCCUACCUAAGUUUCCGAUUAGAUUUUUGCCAGAAUCCAUCACGUGACUUAUAUGUGAUCAUUUUUUAAGGACAAAAUUAUCAAAUCAAAUUUUUACAUAAUCUGAUUCAUAGUUCAUCACAUUUUACAAAAUGAAUUUUUUUCAUCCCUAACAUUUAAUAAAAUAAAUUGUUUUGUUUCUCACAUUUCAAAAAAUGAAUUUUUUCCAUCCCUUAUAAUUUUCAAAAUAAAUUUUUUCAUCCCUCAUUGAUCAUGUGUACGAAUAGCUUUUUUCUUUAAACCCUCAUAUAUGUAUAUUUGAUUUUACCUGAACAAUAUAAAUAACAUGUAAUUUAUCUCUAUUGGAAUUUAUCUAAACAUGUUAAUCGUAGUUAUACACAUCCUAUUCAAUAGAUAUAUAUAUAUAUAUAUAUAUAGGGGUUUAAAACUAAUAAUUUUGUUUGAAACUCAUGUAUAUAUUUAUAUGAUUUCACCAUUUGAAUUUAUUCAAUAUUUGUGACCUUUCUCUUUUGGUAAUAAUUUAUUUAUUGAGUUGUAUAAUAAGAUCAUCUAAUUAAUGGGUCCUAAGUCUAAUUCUAUAAUUGUGCUAACAAAUUUCAAUUUAAAUCUGAAAUUUCUACUCGACACAUUUAAGACCAACAGUUGAAUUACUUGCCUUGUGAUUAUUUUAAGAUUUGAAAGUGUCAAUCAUUUAUUUCUGUUUGUCAUACUUUUCUUUUAUUUAUUUUUUUUGUUCAAAUUUAAUUCGAUAUAAACACUCGAUAAUAUUUAUGAUUAAAUGCCUUUUUUUCAAAUUUCGAGUAAAAAAAAUGAAUAUAAGUGAAAAACUAACAAGUUUUUUAAACCUAUAUAUAUAUAUCUAUUUGAUUUUCACUUGAGUAGUACGAAUAAUAUGUAAUAUAUCUCUAUUUGAUUUCACAUGCUAUUCGUACCGUUCAGAUAAAAUCAAAUAGAUAUAUAAAUGGAUUUAAAAAAAAAUUAUUCACAUGCAUGAUCAAUAAAAGAUGAAAAAAUUCAUUUUGAAAAAUGUGAAUGAUGAAAAAGUUCAUUUUGUGAAAUGUAAGGGACGAAAAAAUUUAUUUUGUGAAAUGUGAGGGAUUAUGAAUCAAAUUAUAUAAAAGGGUUAAUAUCAGACACCUCCAUUGAGGUUUCUUCUAAUCACAUCUAGCACCCUCUAUGUUUUUGAAAUCACACUUAGCACCCCUGGAAUGACAACUUUGGUAUCUUGUCAGCCCCUCGAUUUGAAAAUGGUAGUAAAAAAUGAAUUGUAGGAGAGAGACUUUAUUUUUGUUCCACUUUUACCCAAAGCCCAAAAUGAUUAGUGAAUUUUAGAAGAUAAAAAUAGAAAUAAAUAGGCAUAUGAUAUUAAUUUAGAAGCUGAGGGUGUAAAAGUGUAACAAAAAAAAUGUUAUAACUAAUUAUCAGAGAUUUUGGCGAUAUAGAGAUGCAUAACUAAUUAUGGACCUGGGGUCGGAACGGUUGCACUCCGGAAGCUUGUGUGCAUUUUGCACACGGUGUAACAUCAUUUGUACACGUUGUAACACUAGAACAACAGCGAGUAAUUAUACUACCUUUAACAGCAGUAACCGUCCCACACGGUGUAACAUCAUUUGUACACGUUGUAACACUAGAACAACAGCGAGUAAUUAUACUACCUUUAACAGCAGUAACCGUCCCACACGGUGUAACAUCAUUUGUACACGUUGUAACACUAGAACAACAGCGAGUAAUUAUACUACCUUUAACAGCAGUAAUCAUCCCUGCCCCUUCUUCACUAAUUACAUAGUCCAUGAUACUACAUUGGAUCAGUCUAGUAACAUGAUACGUAAGCCUUAUAUUGCAAUCCAAUUCUGAACAAAAACACCAUCUACAACUAGUUGUUUAGAUGGUGAGGAUUGCAAUGCACAAAACUAUACACAAGUAGCUCUGAGAUUAGUCAAACAGCACCAUAAGUGGCAGGAAAUAUAAAUCAGAUGCACAUUGCACCACUUAUCAAAAAAUUGUCCACAAAAGCUAACAUUGCUUUAGUAUUGCUGGGAGCUAAGAAGACUAGUACCUAAACUACUUCAGAUACCAAAAGCAAGGAUUGCGGGGAACCUUUAGCACUCUUAAAACAUCAUAGAGAAACUGCUGGUAAUAGUGUUAGAGGCCACUAUUGCAGCAGUAUUAAUGCUAACAGAAGUUUCGGCUUGAGAUCCACCAUUUAGAGUAGCUUGAGCAUUUGGUACAAAGGGAAUUAUACCUUACUUGUUUACAGCAGCAUUGGUUUUCCAGUAUUUCCCCGCUUAAAAAUUUGCCUGGUGUUGGUGGUUUUUGGGUAAUUUCUCACAUUUUGAUUAGGACAACCUGUCACAUCCUACUGCCAGGGGUGCUAAGUGUGAUUUCAAAAACAUGGGGGGUACUAGAUGUGAUUAGAAGAAACCUCAGGGGAGGUUUCUGAUAUUAACCCUAUAUAAAAUUUGAUUUGACAAUUUUCUCCUUAAAAUAUGAUCACAUGCAAGGCACGUGGUGAAUUCCGACAAAAAUCUAGUCGGAAACGUAAGUAGGGAUGAAAUUUGAUCAAUAUGAAUUUGUAAGGGACGUAAAAUUACAUUUUUAAAAGUGAGCGACGAAAAAACUUAUUUUAUAAAAUGUGAGAUACGUUUUGAACGAUUUUUCCGGUUUAAAACUAAUAAUUUUGUGUGAAGUCCAUGUAUAUAUUUAUAUGAUUUCACCGUUUGAACCUAUUUAAUAUUUGUGAACUUUCUCUUUUGGUAAUAAUUUAUUUAUAGAAUUGUAUAAUAAGAUCGUCUAAUUAAUGGGUCCUAACUCGAAUUCUAUAAUUGUGCUAACAAAUUUCAAUUUAAAUAUAAAAUUUUUACUCGAUACAUUUAAGACCAACAGUUGAAUUAUUUGCCUUGUGAUUGUUUUAAAAUUUGAAAGUGCCAACCAUUUAUUUCUGUUUGUCAUACUUUUCUUUUAUUUACUUUUUCUAUCCAAAUUUAAUUCGAUGUUAACACUCGAUAAUAUUUAGGAUUAAAUGUCUUCUUUUUUUCAAAUUUCGAGUAUAAGAAAAUGAAUAUAAGUGAAAAACUAAUAAAUUUUUUAAACCUAUGUAUAUAUCUAUUUGAUUUCACUUGAGUAGUAUGAAUAGUAUGUAAUAAAUCUCUAUUUGAUUUCACAUGCUAUUCGUACUGUUCAGGUGAAAUCAAAUAAAUAUAUACAUGAAUUUUAAAAAAAAUAUUCACAUACAUGAUCAAUAAAAAAUGAAAAAAUUCAUUUUGAAAAAUAUGAAGGAUGAAAAAGUUCAUUUUGUGAAAUGUCAGGGAUGGAAAAAUUUAUUUUAUGAAAUGUGAGGAAUUAUGAAUCAAAUUAUAUAAAAUUUGAUUUGAUAAUUUUGCCCUUAAAAUAUAAUUACAUACAAGGCACGUGGUGAAUUUCGACCCAAAUUUAGUCGAAAACGUAAGUAGAGAUGAAAUUUGAUCAAUAUGAAUUUAUAAGGGAUAUAAAAUUAUAUUUUUAAAAGUAAAAGAUGAAAAAAUUUAUUUUAUAAAAUAUGAAAUACGUCUUGAACGAUUUUUCCUUAUUAUUAUUAUUAUUUCCCGAGCAAAGAAGAGAGUUUAUUAAGAAGUAGAGGACCGGGUGAGUCCAAAGCCGUCACUCAAAUCUCACUGACCCAUUCAAUUUUGGAAUUUUUUAUUUGUCCUUCAAGUGCUGGAACGCAUCUUGGUUCACCCACCCGACUUAGUCCGGUACUCCCGUCACAUGCUAUCUUCAGCCGUCAAUUUCUUACCGCCAACUUCAAGGGUCUUGAACAAUACCACGCACCUAUGUGAAUUUUUUUUUUUGAAGAACCAUCACAAUUGUGACAAAUUGGUAAAAUUUUAAAGGUUUGGUGGCGGCCACGGCCUAAGACGGAUGGUUAUCAACAAAUCUUUACUCAUUUGGGAUAAGUUAGAGAAUUUACGACAAAUAAAAGGGCAUUUUCGCCGUCGCUGUAAAAACAGACUUAAGACCCUUUUUUUUUUUAAUUUAUCAAAUGAAUAUUUAGCUCGAGGAUAGGAUCAUCCAUUUGACAAUAAUAAUAAAUUUGUGAAAAAUUCCGGCGGAAGACCUCACAAAAUGAUAAAAAGGAAAAAAAAAGAGGAAGGAAGUCCUAGACCAAAGGGCAAACUGGAGAUAAAAUAGUAGUAGCGCACUUACAUGUCCACGGCCGACUUAUAGCAGCGCACUUGUGUGUCCUCCGCCGGGGGAUUAGUACAGUGCCCAAUAGGCGCGCGGGGCAACCCAAAUCAGGAAGGGUUUAGCCUCUUUCUGACUUUUGAGGAUGCGAUUUUGAACCUAGGGUUACAAAUAAUACUCUGGUUCUACUUCUAUCCCAAAAAUUAAGAGGGAAAAAGAAAAAAAGAAGAAGAGAAAGGGAAGGAAUUGAACUUCAGAAAAUGUCGAAAAGAAAGUUCGGUUUCGAAGGUUUCGGCAUCAAUCGCCAAGCAACCUACAACUUCGAACGCUCACAGGCCCCUCAGCGGCUUUACGUCCCGCCAUCCGCUCGCUCCAGUAGCGGCGGCCACGACAAUUAUGAAGAUACUGACUUAGACAAUAUCGAGUACGACGACCGGGACGUCGACCACAACAGCAACAACAACAACAACAAUGAUAACGGCACUGGUGGCAAUGACGAAAUCGAUCCUCUGGACGCUUUUAUGGAGGGGAUUCAUGAGGAGAUGAGGGCUCCGCCGCCUCCCAAACCCAAAGAUAGGUUGGACAAGUACAAGGAUGACGAGGAGGAUGACGAUGAUCCAAUGGAGAGUUUUCUGAAAGCUAAAAAAGAUGUAGGGUUGCAAUUAGCUGCUGAUGCUCUUCACGCCGGCUAUAAUUCGGAUGAGGAAGUUUAUGCUGCUGCCAAGGCAGUGGAUGCCGGUCUUAUCGAGUAUGAUUCUGAUGAUAAUCCGAUUCUUCUUGAUAAGAAGAAGAUUGAGCCUAUUCCAGCUUUGGAUCAUAGCUCCAUAGACUACGAACCAUUUAAUAAGGACUUUUAUGAAGAAAAAGCUUCCAUUUCAGGUAGAUACAGGUCUUCCUUUUACUUGGUUUUUUUUUUUUUUUUGGUUUUCUAGUAGUGGUUCUGCAAUUUACCAUUUCAUCUUAAUAAUGGUGGUAGAUGAGCCAGUAAGAAGAUAAAAGGUGAAAAGCGUUGUAAAUUUCUCUAUCAAUGUUGUUGUGGGAUUAUUCCAUAUUGCUAGUUACAAGGAUUGGACAUGUUAUAUUCAUUUUCUUUCUGGGAAUUCUCCAUAUCAGAGAAAGAGAGAGAGUUUUGAAGGGGUCUAUAUCUUGCAUGUCUUUCAUUUGAACUUGGGUUACAGUCCAUGAGAUAUUUUUUAUGUGAGACGGUAUUGCUGUGAUUUAAUCACAAAUUAACUUCUUCAAUGGGAAGAAGCAACAGCAACUUUAUGUUCCACAUUUAUAUUUAGAUUUGUCAGAGUUAUUUAGAGGUGUAGAAUAAAAUACCUAUAUAUAAUUUGGAAAACUGAGCUAUAGGUGGUGUAUAUGUAGCAAACAGAUACUGUAAGAAGAUUGCUAAUAUCCAAAGAGUAGUAGCUGCUAACGAAAUAAGAAGCUUCUGAUGGCCUAAAGUUUGGAAAUAGGUUCUGAAAUCUGGGGCUAUUUUGCGGUGCUUUUACAAAACAAAGGAUAACAUCAGCUUGAAGAGAGUAAUCUUCUCCUUCACAGGUAUUCACACAUAUUUUCCACCCCUAGAGUCUGAUUGUUUUCAAUCGUGGAGAACAGAGUGAGGUUAGUUGGAUCCUGGAAUUACUCAUACUGAGUAAGUUUGAGAAGGUACUUGAACUCUUAAUGUGAUGCCCAAAUUGGUGUCAAACUUUUGUUGUUUAAUAAGUAGGAUGUUUUUCCUAGUAUUCUUCAGUUUUUGUAACCUCAUACUAUAUUGGGAAUUUUACUCUACCAGUAGUAGGUUGAGAAUACAUGGUGUGAAAAUGUCAGUUUAAAUAUGAAAGCUACAAUAUUGACCAAGCGCACAAAAUAAAGCAUGAUGGUUACGACUAAAGCAUCAUAAGUAUAAACUCAAAUAGGAUAGUAAGAUGUUCAAUUUGAGAUGGAGGGAAUUGUAAUUCUAAGAACAUAGAUUCGACAUUGAUGAUAUCUUCUAUGGUCAAUGCUGCCCCAAAAUUUUAUUUAAGACCUACAAGAAAAUUUUCAUCUAGGUUGUUAUUAGAAGUUAAUAUUUGUUUUGGGGCCCUUUAUUACUUGUUAUUCAACUUUUGCUCUAACUUCUCUUUUGGCCAACUCAGGUAUGAGUGAGCAGGAUAUUGCCGAUUACAGGAAGAGUUUAGCUGUUCGUGUUUCUGGUUUUGAUGUUCCUAGGCCUUUAAAGAUGUUUGAAGAUUGUGGAUUUUCGGCUGAGCUCAUGAAAGCUAUUGCAAAACAAGCGUAUGAAAAGCCUACCCCAAUACAAUGCCAAGCUUUGCCUAUUGUGCUUUCUGGGAGGGACAUUAUUGGUAUUGCAAAAACUGGUUCAGGAAAGACUGCUGCUUUUGUUCUUCCCAUGAUUGUCCAUAUUAUGGAUCAACCAGAACUUGCAAAAGAAGAAGGUCCUAUUGGAGUAAUAUGUGCACCAACUAGAGAACUAGCACACCAGAUAUAUGUGGAGGCAAAGAAAUUUGCAAAACCACAUGGCAUCCGUGUAUCUGCAGUUUAUGGUGGGAUGUCCAAGCUUGAUCAGUUCAAGGAACUCAAGGCAGGAUGUGAGAUUGUUGUUGCCACACCAGGGAGACUGAUAGACAUGCUUAAAAUGAAGGCCUUGACAAUGCUGAGAGCAACAUACUUGGUCCUUGACGAGGCUGAUAGGAUGUUUGACCUGGGAUUUGAGCCACAGAUAAGGUCUGUUGUUGGUCAGAUUAGGCCAGAUCGCCAAACUUUACUCUUUUCAGCAACCAUGCCUCGAAAAGUUGAAAAGCUUGCUAGAGAAAUACUGACGGAUCCUAUUCGAGUCACUGUAGGGGAGGUGGGUAUGGCAAAUGAGGAUAUCACUCAGUUUGUCCAGGUGAUUCCUUCUGAUGCUGAGAAGUUGCCUUGGCUUCUUGAGAAGCUACCUGGACUCAUUGAUGGGGGUGAUGUUUUAGUUUUUGCAUCCAAAAAGGCCACAGUGGAUGACCUUGAAUCACAGUUGGCUCAGAGAGGGUUUAAAGUUGCAGCUCUGCAUGGUGACAAAGACCAGGCUUCUCGUGUAGAAGUACUGCAAAAGUUUAAAUCUGGAACUUACCAUGUUCUUAUUGCAACUGAUGUUGCUGCUCGCGGUCUUGACAUCAAGUCAAUUAAGUCGGUGGUUAACUUUGAUAUAGCUAAGGACAUGGACAUGCAUGUUCAUAGAAUUGGAAGAACUGGUCGUGCAGGAGACAAAGAUGGUACUGCAUAUACUCUCAUCACACAGAAGGAGGCACGGUUUGCCGGCGAAUUGGUCAACAGUUUGAUUGCUGCGGGUCAGAAUGUAUCUGUGGAGCUAAUGGAUCUUGCUAUGAAGGUAAUUCAACAAUUUCUCUUAAUAGAUUAGUUGAAAUCCUAGAUUGGUUUUGCGGAUUUUAUUGGCCAUCAUGAAUGUAAUUCAUAAAAACAUGUUAUAUGCUACUACAUUGUUCCCUUUAUUUUUUGGGUUCCUCUGCUUGAUGAAAUACAUGAAUGACAUAUGGAGAAUUAACUUGGGAUACGUUGUUCAUAUUCUUUAUAAAACGCUUCACUCUAUGAAUAGGGAUAUUGGGUGAAACUAGAUUUUUUUUUUUGAUAAUUUGUGCGAUUACCUUUUCCUAAAAACUAUCAGGUGCAACAAUCAAAGUCAGAUACUACUUGUUGUUUACUACAUACAAAAUUAAGCUUAAUAUUAGAUGCCUAAGGCCAGCUGGAUUGUUUGCUUACUGCUGGUUUGUAUUUGUUCAGGUUUGGUUUGAUGUUGCUUGAUUUGACCCUUACUCUUUUUAGUUAAAACCUCUUGCUUAAAGCAAAAAUAAAGCAUGGCAAACUGAUUAGUUUGCACUCAGUUUUGUCAGGCCUUCAAUUGACUGUUUUGACAAAUUUCUGUUCCUUCUGUCCUCCUGUCAGAAGCCUCCCCCUGAAUGUGCUCUUAUGGCAGAUGUGCACAAUUUAACUAAUACAUCUAAUUUUUAAGUGCCUUAUUUGUACUAUUUCAUUAUCCCUCCUAAAUUCCUUUCAACUCCAAUAUGUUGCUGUGGUUUUUUACCAAAAAGUUUGGUCGUUAGGCCUUAAAACUGUAUGCUUUCUGGUCUUCAUGCUUAUCAAAUGAAGGAUCAGCUCCCAAGGGUGCUAUUCUGACCCAGUUACCUUUUUGAUGCUGAACUAAACUAUUGGAUAGAGAUUUGUUAAAUUCUUCCAAUAUGGAGAAUUUUGUAUAGGUGGCACAGGCACGUUUUUAUGUUGUAUGUUUCUUUGGUAAUAUGGGAUUUUUGUAAAUGUUGUAUUUGAAGUUUAUAUUAAAUGAUUGAGUGACUUUUACCUUUUAAAUCAUUAGGAUGGGAGGUUCAGAUCCAAACGUGAUGCUCGUAAAGGAGGUAUGAUUUUUAUUCUAUGAUUUUUGUGCUUAUAGAAAUAUGGUCAAAGAACUGGAUGUCCUGGCGGGUGGGAGCAUAAAUGUGCAUUCUAUUUGUAGUUUUAUAACUCUAACAUCAGCGGCUAAUUCCUAUUUUGAAGGAUUCAGGGGCCUGAGUGCUCAAUUUCAAUGAGGAAACUCCUCCGUCUUUUCCUGUCUCUUUUAACCACAUUUUGUUAUGGAUAGUCUGUCUUCAUUUUUUCUUCACAAAGGCCAAUGCUUUUGCAGGUGGGAAAAGGACUAAAGGAAGGGGAGGUGGAGGAAGAGGUGUACGUGGUGUGGAUUAUGGUCUGGGUAUUGGAUAUAGUGCAGAAUCAAGUAGUUUAUCAUCCUCCUCUGCUGCAGUUCCUAGUCGAUCUGUGGCAGCCAAUUCAUUGAGAACAGGGAUGAUGUCACAGUUCAAAAACAACUUUGUUGCUGCAUCGUCAAAUUCCCAAAAUCAAGGUGUAAACAGCAGUUCAAGCAUGUAUGCAAACAAGAGGACGGUCUUAUCGGGCUUUGUUUCUGGUGGGACAAUUGGUGGGAAUACUGGCAGUGCUCAGACAACUGGUUCAGCAGGUGCUGCAACAAUACCGAGCGGGAAUAAUGCUGCAGGAAUUGCAAGAGAUGAUGCAAUACGAAAGAACCUAGAAAGGUAAGAAUGUAAGAUACUUAUUACUGUGUAUUUUUCUGGCUUUUCUCCUCCAAUGCUGGGGCAAGGGAGAAAGAAACAAAAAUUUCUCAGUCAUUUGGUUAUUGACGCGUGCAAGUUCACUUUAAAUUGUUGCAGUUCCAAGGAAAGACCUAGAGAAAGGCGGAGGCCCUCUGGCUGGGAUCGUUAGUUAAUACACAGUUUGUUGGCUACUUGAUUUUGAAGGUUUUGGUUAGUCAAUCUUGUUUGUAUGCGUAUUCAUAGUAAGUUGUUUGUGCUUAUCCCUGGUAUUUUGUUUAUUACAUUUGUAUUUAUCCAUCCCGAACCCUUUUAACACUGUAACUCUUUAGUCUUUAAGACCAGGUAAAUCCUCUCUCAUUUCUCUCUCUCUUUCUACUUCCGGUCUUUUUGGCAUCGUAAAUAUUAUUGGCUUCGGUAAUUAUUUGCACCGAAUACAUUUCGUUUGUUGGUUGAUAUUUUUCUGUGUUUUCCUUUUGCUGGAUCCUAUCAAUCUCUCUUUCAUUCAUACUACAUCAUACGAACAUGGAAAAACGACGGAGUGGGCGGGGGGAUCAAGGAAUAGAUAUUUGCAAUGACAAUUCUCUUGCAUUCGACUAGAGAGCCACGGAUUCACCAGCUUAUUUCUCCCAGAACUCCUGUACUGCCAACUCCAGGCUCCUACUUGAGCAAUUGAUGAAGUUAAUGAAACAUAAUACUGAUUAUAUUUGGAAUCAAGCGGGCGUUGGACAUGUCAAAACUUUGAGAAGAAGCAGGCAUAUAUUAACGGAGAUGCCACAAUCUUGUAGGACUUUUGACUCAAUUUGCCUGACUUCAUUGUAACAGCGGAACAUGGAACGGUAGGAAGCAAGCGCAAUUGAAAUACAUAGGAACUCCCGUCCCGUGUAAGCUGGUCGAUAAAGUGAGAAGGGAUUGGCCUAGCGGCUUGCGAUCGAUCAAUUUCCAUAACGAAGUGUUCCAGCUCAGCAAUUUGAGAUGGAAGUGACGCCCGAAGAAUGCGCGAGCCAUUGGUAGUCAUGAUGCUUUAGGGCAAUUUGGUUUAUGGUCGGGGCUAAAUGCUGCUCUCCCACGGCGACGGCGACGGCGACUGGCAUGUGGGCAUAUCUCUAAGCAGGGCUCUGUCAGUGCGAUAUCCCUUUCGGGUGGAGGAGGAGGAGCGACUCCAAAUUUAAACUGCCAUUUUGGUAAUACCCCAAAGGAUGAGAAAAAUAGGCGAAACAGAGACAGUUAGUUACAGCGUCACACAUUCCAUAGUGUCAUCUCAUGGUAAGUAGUACUGUCUGAUUAAGGAAAGGAGAAGGGGAAAAAAAGAAGAAGAAGAAGGAAUCAUAACCUGGCAGCUAUAGUCGGUGAAGUUUGGCUCCAUCAGCAAGGGAACUCCCAUGUAAUCGUGGAAGAAAGUCUAGAAGAAAUAUUAGUACAACAAAAUGGAAGAAUCAGGCAAAGAGCAUGUAGUCAGAGUGAAACCUGUGUAGGAAGCUUGCAGGUAUUGAUACAUACGCCCACACAUUUACUUUCUUCUAAAUAUUUGCAUCUUUCCACAAAAACCUGCAGCAGCAUAGAUAUGUCCCAUUACGGUAGACCACCAAUUAUUACAUAUAUAUAUAUAAAGGAAAAAAAAAAAAAGAAAAAGGUUGCACAGGAGGAAAGGAAACAAAUACCCCACUCAUCAAAGAAGAUCCAUCAGGAAGUGGUACGGAGUUGACCUGGCAUUGACCCAUCAACCAUCUACACGAAAGUGCGGUCACCCUUGCUUCGAGAUCCAAAUAAUUGGAUAUUCAUCAGUUCAAAUUUCAUAAUACUACUAUUACUAUACUAUAUAAAAUAAAAGGUGGAGCGGGCGUGGUGGGACGCUUAUUACUUACUGGCAUAAAUUGUACUAUCAACGUUGCAUAUAAUAUAAUAUAAUAUAAUAUGAGUCGUGGACAAAGAAACUUGGAAUUAAUUAGCCUCUAUAUAUAUAUAUAUAUAUAUAUAUGCAUACAGUACAGGAUACAGGGCAGCGUGAGGCUGAAGCACUCACCGAUCAUAGCGGCGGCGACUUUCCCUUGUGCUAGAGGCGCAACGAGGAUGCGGUAAAGCUCCAAUAGCAGCGGAGGAAACAGCGACCUUAAAAUCCGGACCUGCAGACUAAAGUCAGUUGAGAAGAGAAGAGAAGACUACGGGUAAUGUGCUAUUAAUAUAUAGUAUUAUAUAGAAUUUGCAUGUACCGAUGCCUGAAUGGUCUCAGAAUUUGAUCGACCAAUUGUAAGAUGAUUAGCAACUUCAAUGAGUCCGUCAUAUCCAGGCUUCUCCGACUCCCAUCCAGUUUCCUGACGAGGAAUAAUAAGAACAUAUUCCAAGAGGAGGAUAUCUGCAGAAACAAAGCUGCCUCCUUGCUCCUCAAUCGUCAUCUAGUAUCUAACUUUGGAACUGAAUCCUUCGAUGUGCCAUGGGGUUUCCGGUUUGCUUAUUUACGACUUGUUCCACAGAACAGAACAGAAGAAAAAAAAAAAAAAAAGUGCCCUUUUUUUUUUGAAAAAAAAAUAAAAAUUUUCGUCUCAAACAGAGUAAUUAGAUUUUAUUAUGCUGCGAAUAAAGAUAUAGUAGGCACAUAAAAAAGGAGGAGAGUAGUUGUGGAAGUACAUACUCGGACCAUUUUGGCGCGGAACAAAUGGAGGAAGAGAUUAUCCAACAAGCCCAGGCUUUGUUGAUUUUGCCUCAUCUUCUCUCCUGCUGCUUCGGUAUUCCUUUGCAAUCCGGAGGAAAUAUAUGAUACACCACGUAUAAAUAAUGCAUCUAUGUUUUUUUUUUUUUGGCGGAAAGUGAUAGAGAAACGGGAUGAGAUUAAAGAAAUACACUUACAUGCCUACGCUAUCAGGACGAGGGCCACUGGUAGAGAAGCAUGAGAUUGGAGGAGCAACAGAAGAGUUUCGCGGGUGAAUCUUGGAGACAGCGCGGGGGUAUGGAAAUUGCAGAGGUGCCGCCUUGGUCCAAACAAGUGCAGCAGCAGUUGCCAUUGUUAUUACUAUACUAGUAUUAGCCUUUCCAUAUCCCAAAAUUUAUCCAACCCCAAUUCUAAGUCAGAUUCGAUAGCCAUGGAUAAGGUGGGCGGGGCACCCAUUACCAAACUGGUCCCUCGACUCAGCACAAACUCUUAAAAGACUCUUUUUAAGUAUGCAACAGUCCCUACCCAAAACUUUACGAUGCCACAGAAAUGAAAAUGAACACUCAGCGUGUCUUCUCCCCCCCGCCCGAACCCAUUGUUGGUCAAAUGUGAUAUUUGGAGGAGUAGAUUAGUCAUACCAUCCAUCGUUUGGAAUUUAUAUAUAAGAGAGAGAGAGAUGAGUUGGAUGAUAAGAGACAAAGAGCGUAAGUGGUUCGAAACCUUUUAUUUACGUUAAAAAAAAAAUAAUGUAGUAGUUGUGAUUUAUGCAUAUUAUGGAUUUCAAAGUUUGCUUUGGUGGUGUGGUAGUUAGAUUUCGCCCUUACACUUACUCUUUGACAUUUUUCCAACGAGAUGAAUACAGAUUUUUCAUGAGAAAAUGCUGCAUUUGAGUUCCUAAUUUAUAAAGGGAGCUCAAUUCUUUUUUUUUUUUUUGUUGGUAAUUUAGUAUUAAGGGCUUUUGUACCGGAGCAAGGAAAUCAAACCCAAGAUGCUAGCUUUUUAUUAAAGAGAUGUAUAAGCUCAUGUAAAGUUGAUAAUAUGACAUGUAAAGAUGCGAGUGCACAAGGUGUUUGAGGCUAUUGUCCAAAAUCUUGCUACUCUCAUAAAUAAAUCGUCUGCUAAAACUUGAGUUGAAAAAACUUCUCAACAAGUUGUAUAGUUGGAGAAAAGAUGAAUCAAUUGCAUAUUCAUUACAGAAUAUCAAGGUAUAUAUAUAUAUAUAUAUAUAUAUAUAUUGCAGAUUGGAAAUUCAUUGAAUAGCUAAGGACCAAGUUUAUAAGAAAACCGCAAGAUAAGCGAGCUCAGUUUAAUUUUGAAAACCUGAUGGGAGCAAUGUGAGACAGUUAUACAAACACUAGGGAAGGAUGGUGAAGUCAUCCCUAAGAAUUACUCCUAAAAUGUGAGGACCAGCUCGCAAUUCUCCAUCUAAUUUUUUUUUAUAUAUAAAAAAAAAAACUCAAAUUGCUAAAACCCUAUCGAAAGCCCUUUGUACCGUGGCGGUACCAGUUAAUGGAGUAGUGCUGUAUAAAACAUUCUGCCACAACCGAGGGCUGCCAAAAUUGCCAAAAGAAAAAGGCCAAAAAAAAAAAAAGAUGAUAAAGAAUGCGGGUUUGGGUCAAAGGAAAUGUGCCGGAAUAGCGGCAGAGGCGCUGACUAGAGGCGUCAGGACGGCGGUGAACGUGGAGAAGGAGACGAUAAAUGAGAGGAACCUUUACAAAAGGUUGUCGGCAUUGGGAGCGAAGAAAGGGUUGGUGGGAGCGACGAUAAAUGAGUACCUGAGAGAGGGGGGAGUGCCCCACAAACAGGAGCUCAUGAGAUGCAUCAAGGAACUCCGUCGUUUUGGAAGACACCACCAAGCCCUUGAGGUAACACUUCUAUUAUAUGUAUGCAUAUCCUAAUAAUAUAUCUGUGGACAUCAGUACCAUGUCUUUGGCCAUCAUCGUUUCUCAGAUUUUUUUUUUUUUUUUCUGUUAAAGGGUUUAAUGGUCCAGAGUUUGAUAACUUCCCAUGGUCCUAUCCCUCCCCUUCAAAACUUGACCACUAUUAAUAAUAGAUAUAUGUAUGGGUAUGAUAAAAUGGACAGUUGUUGUGCUGCGGCUGCCCUGCCCUUUGAGGAUUAGGAUCAAGUUCAAGUUUUUUAUGGAUUAAAGGUGUGCUUUUUAGUUUUCUGUUUAGCAAGCAGGUUUUUGUGUUUGAGAGGCACGAACCAAUGACCAAUUUUGUUUUUGUUGGGAUAUGCCAGUGCUAGUACAGAGACCCAACUAAUACUAGUAGGUAAAUUGAUUGACAGACAAUGGAAUGGAUGGACACAAGGAACGUGAACCUUUCACACCGCGACCAUGCCACCCGCUUGGAUCUUAUAUGUAAAACCCAGGGAAUAGAUGCCGCCGAAGACUACUUCAAUGGCCUUCCACCUUCUGCUAAGAACCAAUUCACUUAUGGAGCUCUCUUGAACUGCUAUUGUGUUGAAAAGAUGAAAGACAAGGCAUUGGAUCUCUUUGACAAGAUGCAUCAGAUGCAAAUUGCUCCCUCCUCACUGGCUUUCAACAACCUUAUGUCCUUGUAUAUGAGAUUAGGACAGCCCGAGAAGGUGCCACCCCUGGUAGACGAAAUGAAGAAAAGGAAGAUACCUCUCUCCACCUUUACUUACAAUAUUUUCAUGCAUAGUUAUUCGUGCUUAGAUGAUAUUGAGGGAGUGGAAAGAGUUUUUGAGGAGAUUAUGCAGGAGGCUGGGAAAAGGUAUGAUUGGACUACUUUUAGUAAUUUGGCUGUUGCCUAUGUCAAUGCCGGACUAAAUGAAAAAGCUGUGCUCGCUUUAAAAAAGGUAGAGCAAGAAAUGGGACCUCGCAACCGUGAGGCAUUUCAUUAUCUGCUAAGCUUGUAUGCCAGAACUGCUAAUAUUGGUGAGGUCCAUCGCAUUUGGAAGUCCUUGAGAUCAAGUCUGCCUACAGUUACAAAUCUGAGCUAUCUUACCAUGCUUCAGGCUCUGAAUAAACUGAACGACAUCCACGGACUGAAGAAUUGCUUCCGGGAAUGGGAAUCAACAUGCUCUAGUUAUGACAUUAGGUUGGCUAACCUUGCUAUCGGUGCCUAUCUCCGACAUGAUAUGGCAGAGGAUGCUGAAUCCGUGUUCCAUUCUGCGCUAAAGAGGUCGAGUGGACCUUUCUUUAUUGCCCGGGAAAUGCUAAUGAUGUACUAUUUGAAAAACCGCAGUAUCAGGCUGGCACUGCAGUGCAUGGAAGCUGCUAUUUCUGAGCUCGAUGGCUCUGAAUGGCAGCCAAAAUCUGAUAGCAUAUGUAAAUUUCUCACUGUUUGUGAAGAAGAAAAAGAUGUUGAUAGUGCCGAGGAAUUCUGCAAAUACUUAAAGAAGGUAAAUUGUCUAAAUCACAGAGUCUACAAGUCAUUGCUUCAGACUUAUGUUGCUGCUGCAAAAACAGCACCCUAUAUGCGCACAAGAAUUGAGGGAGAUGGAAUUGAAAUAUGCUCCGAACUGGAAAACCUGCUACAAAAUGUUUCUCCUGAAUAGUUUAAGUUCUCCUGAAUCAACUUUUCAAUAUUUCUUUUGUAAAGAUCCCGUUGGUUAUCAAGUGGCUUGGCACGAUGGGAAGAUGUUACGUGCUUCUUUUAGAAGCCAGAUUCAUAUUAGUCUUGGUUUUUGUUAUCCUUUGCCUUCACGCAUAAGGUCAAUUCCGACAGGAGGAUCAAAAGGUUUGAAAUGCAGAGAUAAUCAUUCGAGAGUUUGGAAACAUUUCAAGCAAUUUUUUUUUCAAACGAUCUGCUGGAGUUGGGCUGAUAAAGUUUCUUUCAAGUAUAACUUCUACCAAAUUUCGUCAGUUAGCCCUUCUUUUUUAUCUCAUUCACCAGUUGUCCGAUCGCAGGCCAUGCACAUACGAGACCAAGAGAAAGUUUUACUCCAACAAGGAUAUCCCGUUACCGCCACAUAAAAGCAAGCCAAUUCAAAAGGUUCAAUACCUGUUAAACGUUAAUAAUUUCUACCCAAAGCUGUUGGGAGGCUAAUCUCCGAGAAAAAGGAGCCUGGGAGUUUUGCAAUGCCACACAACAAAUAUACCACUGCAGUAUUAAUAAUAAAUACUAUCACCCUGUUCUGCCAUCAAAAUUUUGAACCUGAAGCAAAUCCAGCUGCAUCAAUACAACGGAAAAAGGAAGGAGGGGGAGGAAGGAACUAACACAUAAUUCUAUCCCAUUUGAAAUUACAAGAAAUGACAGCUGCGUCAUGUUAAUCAACAAAGGCUGUACGCUUCCAAUGACUAUCAUUUCGAUAUGUAGUCGUGUCAGAUGUGAAAUGCAAUUCCAGCUACAGGCUUUGUCCAACACUGUAAAUAUGCGCACUGUAGGAUGAGAGAUUUUAGCAGACUUGACCUUCAACUAUUUUGUUUCAGAGUCACUUCAGUUAUCUCUAUCCUGGUUUUGGGUCGAUAGAGCUCAUCUGUAUCCACCUCUUCAAUUUCCUGUUCAAAUAUGGGAACAAUGCACACAGAUCAAUUGAUAUUACCAAAAGAAACAACACACUAGAUGAAACUCUCUUGGAGGGUGUUCCAACACCACAACCCUCCCACCCCCACCCCCCCAAAUGUUCCCCCCACAUCCCCACACGCAAAAGGAAAAAAAAUCCCUACUCUUCCUUGAAUUAAAUGAUCCUAGUUGUCCAGGAACCCCAAAGUCUUAACACUUUAAAUUAUCUGAAUGAAUGUCUAGGAAAAAACCAAAGAAUGUCACAAGGAGAUGCAAAAAAUGGACAGCUAUCGUCACCUGAACAAUAUCUUCCCCUUUGAUAACACGUCCAAAUAUAUUAAUCUUCUGAUUUAGAUCUGGGAUCGGAGCAGUAGUAAUGAUAAGAUCAAAUCCUCCACCAUCAUGUCUUGUCUUAGAAGUUCCAAGCAUAAAAGCUUCAUGCUUUAGACUGGCAAGAAAAUCUUCUUCAGUGGCCGUGUAUUCAGAAGAUUCAUAUGUUGUUGCAUCUGGAAGCAGUUAUGUAAAAGCAAAUGACAAGCAGAACCAACCUUGUGUCAAGUUGACUGUAAUGUUUUCCUCUCGCAGUCCAAUCUUCUGUAGCACCAGACCUUUCGACAUCACCUCCUUGAAUAACAAAGUUCUUUAUUACACGAUUAAACUGCAUCCCCUUAAAGUGCCCCUUCUUACUGAAAGUAAAACAAUUCAAAGAAAGCUAAUUCAGGAGGGGAUGGGCAUUUAUCAAUCCUCACCUAAACUUUGUGCGCGAACAAGGACACUACGAAUUUCAGUGACAAGACUCUUUAAGAUUACAAGUAACACAGUAGAUUUGACAGCAAAGAACGCGUCUACUAAAUUUCAUCAUUUUUGCAAUUAAUAUACCUGCCAACAAGAUGGAAUGGCGAAUUUGACAGUCAAUUUAGAUAGUGAAAAGUAAUUCAUCUACCUCUUUCCAACUAGGUCUUGAGAAGUCAGUCAGAAUCGACCAGUUCAGAACUGAGAAUUUCCUCCCUUUACUGGACUUCUACUUUCUUCCAUUAAUGGAAGACCACAUCCCAAUGUUUUCAAUCACAAUUUAGCUAGAGAAAAUUCUAUCCACUAAUGUCACACAAAUCUCCUUUUGUUGGGUCAAGACUGCUUAGCUGGUGAUGGAUGUAAACCCCCUAGAAGAGCACAUCCAAACUGGAAUACAAACUCUCUAUCCCAGAGACAUAAUUAUGCUAGUUGGUUUUAAGCAAUUUAUAGUAUCUUAUCAAAGAUCAACAGAAAUUAGGUUGUUUUGAUGACCUUAAUUAUCGGUAAUAUGCAAAGGAUUAGUAAAGAGAUAAAUAUCUGCAAUGACAGAUAUAUCGCACAGUUGUGAUCUUGUACUCUGAUAAUUUUAUCUAAAGGAUAAAACUCCAUGAAGGAUCGCAAUUGUUGAGAGUUCAAAGGACAAAUCUCUUUGCUUCAAAACAGAAGUCCUAUGCUCUGUGAACAAAAACUAAGGCAAAGAUUUAAAUAGAUAAAAAUUUAGAGAAAAAGAGGCUCCUAUAUGAGAUCAUCAGGUUGAUUAAAGCAACCUUGGGGUAAGAUUCCUAGUAGUUCUCCUCCUUCUUCUCUUGUUCUUUCAGUUGGUUUAUAUUAAGGGGUGCUAUUCAUAGUGCCAAAACAGCUCCCAAAUCUUUAGCAUUCUGCUGCUAACUGUGGGAAAUUUACCCUAAAGUUGUCCUACAUCAAGAAACCUAGUAGUAAGGUCCCUUGAUUCCAUCAGCAUAAGUUACAUUGAAAGUAAUCUCCUCAAUAUGGGUUCGAACAAGCCAAACAAAACUUUUCAUAGUGGUUGUGUGGGAUAGUUGAAAGUUCAGAGAAGUAUUAGGCAUUUGAUAUAAGCAAAGUCUUUCUUUGAAAAUCUCAUCAUGGCUUUCCCAAUGAGCAGCCAGCAUAUAAGCAAAGUCUUUCUCUGAAAAUCUCAUCUGUGUUUUUGUAGCAUAUCUAUGUAAGAAAUUAUUGAAUACUAGUGCAAUGUAGUAGUAAACUAGAAAGUGCUGCCAUAAAACAAUCAGCUGUCCAACGCAUUUCUUGGACAUAUAAAAGGCAGCCAGAAACUAUUGGGAGUCAGAAUUGAUUACAUACCAUGAUUCGAUAAAUUCAUCAACAACUUCAGGAGAACCUUCCUUGAAAAGUUCCACACUCAGUGAGCCCUUUGUAGUUUGUAUGACCUGUUGGGAUAAAAUAGGUCAUGAGUUCUCAGGAAAAAGAUCCAUUAACAAAGAGCAAAGACAGAAAGACGUGCCAAAACUGACUUAAUUUCAUUGAAGAAAAAGGAAAAAAUGAUCAUUCCUGUAAUUUACUGGUUUUGAUGGAGUCAAUUAGAAUACUUGAUAAUAUAAGUAAACGCUCGACCCACAGCUUAAAAACGAAUUUUUGCUGCCGGUAAUUGAAAAGAUUAGAAAGGAUAUACUUAAAAAGAAAAAGAGGAAAAGAGCCAACGGCCUCAUUCAACGAGCUUGAUAAAGAAAUGUACCGCAUAUCUAGGAAUAGCAGAUUUUUUUGGAUCAGCUAAAACACUAUGACCCUGCAGUACAUAGAUCAAUAUAGCAGUCAUUAACAGCUUAGAUGCAAUGCAGAUAAGAAAACAGUUGGAGUAAAAACAAAGAAGUUGACAUGCUAAGAGUAUCACGGCCAAAAUGGUAGAGUCAGAUACGAAACGCUACCUCCUCAACUGAUACGGUAUCUUGCAAAUGAACCAGCGAUCUAGAGAAACAGAGAAAACCAGAACGUCAUGGGAACUGAAUGAAGAAGAAUAUGCGAGUAUGUGAAAGGAAGAUAUCUAAGUAGACGUAAGUUUGGCGGAAGAAUAGAUUACCUGCGAGACCAAUGUCUGUAGGUGGCAAAAAGGAAAAAGAGCAUGACAAAAAGAAGGAGCGCGUAGAGGAGAAUGGUAGGGACACUGACCCUGCUCGGACCCUUCUUCUUUUUGGUUUGCUGGAGGAGAGCUUGAGGCUUGAUCCUCGCCAUUGAACUUACGGAAUUCCCAGCCCUGAUAGAAAGGCGAUCAGAGAGUAGCGUUUUGGAAUCGGAAGAGCAGUGCUCUCAAUUUCUGUUACCAAAACCAAAGGUUUCGAAGCCGACGAAAUAAGGAAACAUGAACACGUAGGGCAGCAGGAGAAGAGGAGAUGAAAUUAAGUAAAUCAGUUAGUCAAUCGUAUAGAUAAAGAAAAAGAACAUGGCUUAGAGUGCAGUGAAGCAGAGCGCCCAAAAACCUAAUUGCAAGAAGGAAUAUUACCUGAAGUUGAAUUGAAUCUGGAUUGUGGAGGCGCUGGUUAUCGUCGACGGAGGGAGCGAGUGAUGGUGAUGAAGAGAUGAGAUGGGCUUUAGCCUUCAGGUGGUGGUUAACUAAUAAUAAGAUUGAUUUUUAGAGAUCUUCAGGGAUUUUGAUCUGGGAGGAAAAGGGUCGUUGGAGGGAUGGACUCGGUUUAUUAUCGAUGUUUCUCGUUUGCUCGGUUUUUCUUCAAAAUUCUGCGGUUGGGAUUGGGGUUCCGUCCAAGAACUUUCCUUUGAAAACCCAGCCUGCCGCCCACGUCAGCACCGCCUACUCAUAUGCUCACGCCAAAUUAGGACUAAACGAGUCGAGUCGAAUCUAAUUCUGACAGAGGAAUCCCGACUCAAUUUUAUCAUGCUCAAAAUUGGCGGAUUUUCAAUAUAAAACUCCAAUUUGAAUUCAGACUUGAAUUCGAGUUUACUCGAACUCAAACCUACUUGUACUUACAAAAAUAAAAAAUAAUUAUUAAUUUAUUUUUUGAAAAAAAAUAAAUAUUCAAUUUCAAUAAAUAAUAAAAAUAUUAUAAAUAUAUAUGUAAAUCACUAUUUAAAUACAAAUAUAUAAUAAAGCACGCGAACCAAGUUAAAUUUCUUUAUGUUCGACUCAUGGUCGAUAAUUCAACUUGAUCAACUCGAGUUCAACUUCAACUUGAUGUUGAUUAAAACUCGAGUCGAGUUUUGAGUGAAUCAGCUCGCUCACCACUUGAUUCGUUUGCAACUUAUCACUCACUUACCUUUGGCAUUGCUUGAACUAAAAGGGGAGGAAAGGAAAGACACCACCGAUUUGUUUGUUUGACGGGAAUAUUAUGUAAGAGAGCGUGCCGUGAAAAAAGUGACGUGAAGUGAGUUCAAGAAAAAAGAAAUUAACAUUCCCACGCAUGCUUAAUGAGAAAAAAAUGAUGCAAGAAUAUAGAAAUUGUUGUAUUUGUUUAGUCGGAAAGUCAUGAAAAAAUUGGCUAAUGUACUCUUUAGUAUAAAAUAUUUUAUAUUGAACUUUUUCUUUUUGUAUUACAUAUAUGUGUAUAAAUUAUUUCACAAAUAUAUAAACACAAAAAAGAAGCAUAAAAUGUAAAAGAAAAAAAUAUUAAUGUCACAUAAAUUCAACAAAUUACUAAUUCAUUCAUUGUUAAAAAUAUGCAUAAGAUUUCUAAUUACAGCCAAUUUUAUCAAUUGUAAAUUCUAAGAUGUUCUAAUUUAUAGAAGUUUAGCAUGAAGGAAAUAGUUUAGAAAGAAACAAAUUCUAAAAGAAAUCUAAUUAGUUGAAACUUUUCCCGUAACUUAUUUUUGUAUAAAUUUUUACAGGAAAAAGUUUUACAAAAAAGGAAUAGUUACGAGGAAAUUUUAUAUGAUAGGUCUUGCAAGUUUUGUGACAAACAAAGUUCAAAACUUAUAGGAAAGUUAUUUUCCUUCACUUUCCUUCCCUUUUGCUAGCAAAGGAAUACUAUCUUUUUUUUUUCCCAGAAAUGUUAGGGAAUUAGUAAACGAAUACUAUCCAAUAGAACAAAAAUUAUAAUAAAGUUAUUUUUCUUCAUUUUCUUCUCUAUUCCUAGCAAACAAAUACUAUCUAAUGGAAUAAAAAAGGAAUGAGACUAAAGCUCUGUUUGAUAAUUCAAUUCUACACUUAAAACUUAAUGAAUUAUAAUAUUAAUAUAUUCAAAUGCAUUUAAAGAUAAAAAAAAUAGAACAUCUGAAUUAAUUAAGUGAUACUGAAUUUUAUAGGCAAAAUCAAAUUCAAAAAAUAAGUGAUAAACUAGUUACUUAUUACUUUACAUGAUAUACAUUCAAGUAUGUCAAGCUUAGUAUUUAACAAUUUAAUACUUUAAUGGAUUCAGAUUUCAUAUUUUAAUUUUUAAAUUUUAAUUUUCAAACUUCAUUUUUACCAAAUUGCAUCCUAAGACAACAUAUCUGUUCUAAGGGAAUAGGAGAGAAAGUAAAUGAAAGAAAAUAAAAUGAAAAGAUAAGAAUUUUUAUGUUCGAAUUAAUUUUUGAGAAAGGAAACAAAAGUAUAGGGAGGGAAAGAGAGUGAUAAAAUUUAACUAUUUGUUGUCAACUUGUUUUUUUGUCUAAAAGUAGGUAAAAUGGAGGAAAAAUAGCAAGAUUAAUAAAAUUUUUAAAUUUUCCUAAAAAACCUAAUAUAUGUUUGUAAAUUAAACUUUUAAAUUAUGGACAAAAACAUAAUCAAAGAUUGAUGGUUUCCUUUCAUUUAUUUCCAUAAUCCAAAUAAGAUGGAUGAACUUUGGUUUUUUCUACGCUCAUUUCUUUUCUUCUCUACUAGAGUUCUUCCAUUUCUUUUACAUCCCUUUCUUUCAAUCUAAACGGUGCCUAAAAACCCAUUCAAUAAAACUAAAGUUUGAAAUAUGAAUUCUCAAAAUUAAGUGUCAAAAAGUAUUAAGCAACGCAGACCAGCUCGAAAGUCAUCUAAGGGGGACCUAUAAAGAAACUGGAUCUAGCCAAUUGGUGACAAGACCGUUCUCCUGUGGACCUUAAACUCAGAGUAACUACCCCACGAUCUUUCGAUGUGGGAUGGAUGACCCUUCCCCUCCCGCGCACACCAACUGGUCUGUUUUUUCUACCAUUAGUGGUAAAAACACACACACACACACACCCUCUAAUUAGAAUGACGCAGAAGGCAUCGGUAAAAUUGACCCGAAAGCAAUCUAAGAGGGAUUCACAAAGAGACUGGAUCCAGCCAAUUGGUGAUAGGACCGUUCUCCUGUGAGCCUUAAAUUCAGAGUAACUACCCCGCGAUCUUCCGAUAGGUGAAAUAUAUGUUUGAUUACUAACGUUGUAUAUUGGAGUGCUUGCCCAGUUGAUUGUAGCACUUGCAUAUGACGACAUUUUCUUGACCUUUCCUGGGUCUGCUUAAAGAGUUUCGCUCCUGGUUCCAACAAAAGGCAUUAAUAUAUUGACUUUUCCUUUAGAUACAUAGAAGUGAAAGAAGAAAAGGCCCAACGGCACAAGCAUCCUCACCAUUCCUGGCUAAUUGCUUAGAAUAUAUGCCAAAAAAAAAAAAACAUCGCACAAAUAUAUUUCUGACACACUCAAUUUCUAAUUCUAUACCGGCCGUGCUGACUCAGCACGGCCGCGGAAUGAAUUUUGCAGAAACUCUGCAAACAUGUCAUUGGGUCAGCGGCCCACAAAUUUUUUUUUAAAUGAGCCUGUCCCAGCCGUGCUGACUGGGCACGGCUGGGGCAGGCAGUAAAAAAAAAAAAGCCUAGGGGCCCGUGUUAGUUGCAAACUUGCGAUACAUUGCGUUAUUGUGCAUUAGCUGCUGUAACUACUAGUGCGCCUAUUAGGUGGGGUUACAGGAGCAAGAAAGACUUUGCAUUAUUCUUUUACUGGUGAUUCAUUCCUACACAUUUAUAUGUCUUCCCUUAAUUAGCUUGCAAUUUUUUCAGGGAUCUGUUUGGAUUCAGCAUUUUUUGAAAAAUAAUUUUUUCAUUUACAAUGCUACGGUAAUAUACAAAAAAAACUCCAAAAAUACAAUAUCCAAAUAAUAUAUCAAAAAUAACUCCAAAUAUACAAAAAAUAUAUUAAUGUAUAUAUUUAUAUAUAAAUAUUAUAUAUAAAAAAUAUUUGGAGUAUUUUUUGGAGUUUAUAUAAAUAUAAAAAAUAUUUUAUAUAGGAGUAUUUUUGGAGUUUAUAAAAAUAUAAAAUCCAAAUAAUAUAUCAAAAAUAACUCCAAAUAUACAAAAAAUAUAUUAAUGUAUAUAUUUAUAUAUAAAUAUUUUUUAUAAAAUAUUUUUUAUAUUUAUAUUUAUAUUUUUUGUAUAUUUGGAGUUAUUUUUUAUAUAUUAUUUGGAUAUUGUAUUUUUGAAGUUUUUUUUGUAUAUAUACUGUAGCAUUGUAAAUGAAAAAAUUAUUUUUCAAAAAAUGCUGAAUCCAAACAGAUCCCUGAAAAAAUUGCAAGCUAAUUAAGGGAAGACAUGAAUGUGUAGGAAUGAAUCACCAGUAAAAGAAUAAUGCAAAGUCUUUCUUGCUCUCCUCCUGUAACCCCACUAGUAAUUACAGCAGCUAAUGCACAAUAACGCAAUGUAUUGCAAGUUUGCAACUAACACGGGCCCCUAGGCUUUUUUUUUUUUUACUGCCUGCUCCAGCCGUGCCCAAUCAGCACGGCUGGGACAGGCUCAUUUAAAAACAAAUUUUGUGAGCCGCUGACCCACUGACAUGUUUGCAGAGUUUCUGCAAAAUUCAUUCCGCGGCCGUGCUGACUCAGCACGGCCGGUAUAGAAUUAGAAAUUGAGUGUGUCAGAAAUAUAUUUGUGCGAUGUUUUUUUUUUUUGGCAUAUAUUCUAAGCAAUUAGCCACCAUUCCUUGGGUCUGCAUUUUUUAGGCGGAAUUUCGGUGAGCAGAAUGAUACUAGCAUAUAUGUAUAUAUAUGAACAAAACAAACCAAGGGUGAUAGGAUCUUCUUCAUGCUCUAGAUUUUGUUACUCCUCUCGUUCCGUGAUUACUUCAUCCCUUUUCACAAGAUUCUUAGUUAUAUUUUUUUUUUGUCUUUGACCAAAUUCGUGCAGUUGGAGUAUAGUGAGUAGAAUAUAAACAAUAUCUCAAGUUCCUUAAGGUUGCGUUUGGUUCUAUAGAAUUAGAAUUGAAUUAUAAUUAAAAUUCUAUAGAAUUGGAAUUCCAAGUCAUUCCAAUUCUUUCGUUUGGGAAAUGCAUAGAAUUGAUACGGAAUUUAUUUGAAAUUCCAAAUCCUUUGUUUGCAUGAGAAAAGAAUUCAUUAGGAAUUAGAAUUGUUUUCAUGAAACAUUUGCUUACAUAAAAUUUUUCUUUUUUUUCUUUUUUCUAUAUAAUAAUUUUUUUCUUUACAUUUAGCUAAUUUUUAUUAAAGAUUUAAAAGUAAAAACCAAUUUGUGCAUUUAAUAAUUUAUUUUUUCCCACUUUUAUGUCAAUUUCUUUUGUUCAACGUAUGGUAUAGAUAUUGGCAUCCAACCAAAACUGGACCUCAACCCUGUAAAAGUAAAUCCCCAAUGACACUAGCAUAUUUCUUAAAACAUGGUAGAAUACCGGACAGUUAAUUACUCACAAAUUACCUGACCCAAGAAAAUAGUGAAAAAGAAGACAAAAUAUACAAAUCGACUUUUUUGGUGAUAAUCAAGUAGGGUAAAAUUUAUGACUCUACCGAAUAAAGAACUGUGCACCACGAAAUGAAAAAAUGUAGAAUAGAUCUCAAUCAUGAAGGCAAAGUUCCGAGGCUUCUUGUUUUUGUAACACAAUAUGACAAAUACACGACCGAACCUUUGUACUAAUAUUUACCAGCUUCUUUGGAGGAGAUGUUGGAAAAUACAAAACUUAAGACUGUCAGAUGACCAAUUCACACACAGUCAAGUACUUGCUAAAUAGAAUAAUAUCUGUCAUCCAUUCUUUAGUGAGUGUGCAGACUUGUGGGAGAUAAAAACCAACAAAAUACAGGAAGAACACUUAUACAAAAGCUCCUUAACUUUGAGAAAGAAUGCAAAGCAAUUUAAAAAAAGCAUUAGAUCCCAAGAAAUGCUAUAAAUUGUUCCCCACUUAACUAUAAUCAUCCAAUGGGACUACGUGCAGAAAUUAUAUUUUCUCUACUAAUCUUUUUGAUAUGUUGCAGCCAAUUUGUCAGGCAGACCUCUCCUCCUCCUACAUGGAGAUGCAAGCACCUUGGGGACAACUUCUGCGCUACCACCUUCACCAAAAGCCAAGUCUUCCUGCAGCCUGUGGAGAACUCCACCUUCAUCAGCAAAAGCCUGUGGAGAAUCUUCCAGCCACCAACAAAAGCUGAAACUUAAUUAGUUUCUAGAAAACUAUCAACAUUUUUAUAUGGUUGUACGAAGUUAUUGUCCGGUAGCCAAAGUUUGCUGCACUAUUGGUUCUCUUGAAUUCAGUACCACUUUCAAUGAAGAAAACUGGUAUAAAUAUCAUGCUGCAAAACUACAUCAUAUUGUAACUAGUGGGAUGGGUCAUCAAUUCCAUCAUUUCCAGUAACAAUCCAGUAAAAAUUCAGAAUUCCGACCAAGAAAUAAACCAAAUUCUGGUGGAAUUGAACCCAAAAAUUUCUUAUUUCUUAUUCAUUUAAACUUUUUCAGAAAUCCAUCAGAGUGAAGCUAAAAUACUACCACCAGCAAUCCAUAUGAAGCAGAAGUAUAAUUUAGACAAAUGAUAUAUAAUAGUAGUACAAGGGAAGAUUCUAUUGAUCCUGGAUUAAUUUAAGGACCAAGUUUUUGUUUGUAUGGAAGACAGCAUCAGAUAUACUGAGCCAGAGAAACAGGUGCAAAGGAACUUCUUUUGUCAUUAGACAUCUGAUGAACAAGACAAGAAAUGAGCCAAACAAAACUAGAACAAGUCCACCUGAACAGAAAUGGAUAUGAAAGAUAAAAUGGAUAUGGUUUCAUUUCUGUCUUGUUAUUCGGGAUAGCUAAUAAGUUCCCCUUCCCUGAUUAUUACCCUGAUUACGCCACCAAGAAACAAUUCAUUGACUACCUAGAAUCAUAUGCCACCCACUUUGAUAUCAACCCUCAAUUCAAUUAGUGAGAGGAAGCAACUUGGACUCGAUUUAACUAACUGAAUUCAAACCCACUCCAGUCACAAUAGAACAAAUUAGUGAGAGGAAGCAGAAACAAAAGCAGGCAUUCAAUCAUUAAGAAAUGAACAACUUGACCAGAAAGGUUAAAAUAUCAAUUAUCAAGAUAACUAACAGCAAUCUGCAGCAGAGAUAAGCAAAAAAUAAGCCCAUGGUCAAAAAACUUCAGAAGGUUUUCACCUCAAGUGAAUUCCCUUCUUUACAGAUUCUUUGGCAUCAUCUGCAGUAGUAAAUACGAAAAGCAGCUUGGAUCUCACAGUAUUCAGAACAUGGAUUCGAAUAGGAAGGAAGGAGCAGGUAAACGAUAAAAAGUGUAGUACUCACUAUAUAUUCUGAUAGAUGAAGCUAUAAAAUGGAGUUAAACAAGAACAAUGGGAAAUAGAAGAAGGCAGAGAAAAUUACAUCACUGAAUGAAAGGCUUCCAGAAUUAAAGCUUUGUUCAAGACGUAUCUGUAUCAAAAUACGAUUUAUAGGUGGAAGGAUCCUUACUGAAGGAAUAUUGUGGCAGAUUUUGUCGAAAUCCUCUCCUCGAACCCUGUUCUGAAAUUCUUCACGGAUUGCCAACACUUUUUGAGUGAACCAAUGAACCUCAAUCCCUCGGGCCGGAAUCAUGGUUAAUCUUUGACAGUAGUGAAUCUCAAGACCAGAAAUAUUUAGCCAUAAUGGCUCCUUUCUCUACCGUCCACUUCUCUAAUAUGAAAAUAUUAGGGUUGCAGGUGGAAGCGAUGGUGGAGAGCAGAGCACUAGCGGCUGAGGAAAAACGGUGAGUUAGAUAGGGGUGCCAAUACCUUGACCCGAUUUUAAUUUUUGGUUCAUACUAGAUCCGCGUAUGGACCCGUUUAGUUGUGGAAUUGGAAUUAGAAUUCUUUUGGUCUGGUAAAGAAUUCAAUUCAUGGAAUUGGACUCAUAUAGAAUUCAGAUUCAAUUCUAAUUCUUUGAGGGAAGCAGAAUCCAAACAAUGGAAUUGGAAUUAGGGCCCCAAUUCCAAUUCUAAACCCCAAUUCCAUAGGGAACCAAACGCACCCUAAGUAUUUAAGCAGGGGCGGAACCCCCCCUCCAAUUGUUAAAAAAAAAAAUUUCUAAGUAAAAAAUUUUUUUUUAUAUUGUUUUGCCCCCCAAAUAUUGAUAAAAAAUUUCACUUUGCCCCCCCUCCAAUUGUUAUAAAAAAAUUUCUAAGUAAAAAAAUUUUUUUAUAUUGUUUUGCCCCCCCAAAUAUUGAUAAAAAUUUUCACUUUGCCCCCCCUCCAAUUGUUAUAAAAAAAUUUCUAAGUAAAAAAAUUUUUCUUAUAUUGUUUUGCCCCCCCAAAAUAUUGAUAAAAAAUUUCACUUUACCCCCUCAUAAGGACCCAAAUAAUAAUGUUUGAAAGUUAUUUGAACUUUGUCCAAAUAACAGAGACUCGCCCCCCCUAAUUGCAAUUCCUAGCUCCGUCACUGUAUUUAAGCUCCACUCGAAAAACUCGAAACAAACCAAGAAAAACUUUAAUACGAAUAAACCAAACUGAUCAUAAUUUUAUAAUUUCAAAAUAAGUUAAAACAAUUUACGGUUCUAAGCUACGAGGCUGUCAUUUCGUUUGUUUUUUCAGGUACCGCUAAAAAGAAAUUAUUUAAAUUGUUUAGCCUAGGUAAAAUUAAACUAAAUACCAAUGUUCUAUAAAAUUGGCUUACGUCCAUUGUGUUAUUUGUACUUUUCACAGAAAUAUCUCAUUUUGAACGUGUAACUUUUGGUGGUGUGUUCACCGGGGAUAAAAAGUGUAUUGCAAAUGAUCGGGCAGAAAUAUAUUAUUGGCUGCGUUGGGAUCGAAGGAUUUAAAAUCCUUUCAAACCCCUUUGGUCGUUUAAAUUAGUUAAGAGAUAUUUGAGUUUAUAAAUCCGCAAUUAUUGUUGCACUUAAAGUGUAUUGUAUUUUGAUAAUUGACUAAUUACAACUUCAAAUGAAACGACUAAAGCGAUUCGAGUGAAUUUCAAAUCAUUCAUCGAAUCCGCCAAUCCAAACGAAUAGUUACUCGGAGGGAGCAUCAUAAACAAAUUAAACAGCUAGUGAAAAGUUCAACAGCACACAUGUAUUAAUGGGUCCUUGGUUCUUCUUCGUGUUAUGAGAUGCUAUACAUUCCUAUAGUGUACAUCGUACACUGCAUUCAAGUAUCCCACCUCCUCCUCCUGCUGCUGCUGCUGCUCUCAGGUAGGUUCAGAGCUAGAAUCUUGUGCUUCACAAUUAGAGGUGGAAAGGGGUGGGAGAGCAUACAAAAUAAAGUGAUUAAUUACAUUACAUGCAAUAGAAAAUACAAGAACGGUGAUAUAUGGUAGUAACCGCAUCUACUGUAUUUGUUGCUUAUAAAUGCUAAUAUUAUUGUUGGUAGAUUUCUCACGCAGUGAUUCAUCACAAAGCAUGGAAGUGGGGAAAAUCUCUCUCUCUCUCACCGACCUUUGGGAUUGACGAUCUGGGAAAAUAUGUCAUCAGCGUUGUUAUCAUCCGAUGACUUCUCUGUCAUGUCAACGUCGCUUCCAAGGCUUAAAGUGCUUCGAUGCAUGGCCAAGAAGUCGUUAUGAUCAAUGACCUGAUUGCUUUCAGAAUCCAAGCUUUGUAUUGUUCCUGAAGUAGUUGACGAUUUGAUACAACCAUCGGGGUUCUCUUGCAACUGAAGCGCAUACUCGAGAUUCCACAACACAUCACCCAUAGAGGGACGAUCAACUCCGUGGUCCGCCAAACACUUUCCGGCCGUCUCUGCAAACUUCUUCAAGCAUUCGGCAGAGAUCUCUCCUUUGAUCUGAGGGUCGACGAUAUCUUCCAGGGCUCCUUUCCUGUGGCAAUGCAUAGCCCAGUCGGCUAGACUCACUUGUUCCUUCGGAAGGCUCGGAUUCAGGGCUGGUCUUGCACAUAAUGCUUCGAACAGAACCACCCCAAACGAAUACACAUCAGACUUCUCCGUCAACUGUUGCCUCCUGAAGUAUUCUGGAUCUAGGUAACCAAAGCUACCCUUCACCACCGUGCUGACAUGGCCUUGGUUCAUGUUAGGUCCCGUUUUUGACAGCCCAAAGUCUGAAACCUUGGCAACCCACUUAUCGUCCAAAAGUAUGUUUGUGGUCUUGACGUCUCUAUGUAUGAUUGUGUAUUUUGCACCUGUGUGUAGGUAAUGAAGCCCUCUGGCCGCACCAAUGCAAAUUUCUAAUCUCUGCUUCCAGGACACUACUGUUUUGCUGCCCUUGUAAAGAUGCUCCCUCAUUGUUCCACGGCCCAUAUAAUCAUAAACCAACACCAUCUCAUUAUUUUCUUCACAGAAUCCAAUCAAAGACACUAAGUGCCUGUGUCUGAGCUUUGAUAGCAUCUCAAUCUCAGUUUGGAAUUCAUUAACUCCUUGUUCCGAAGAAGGGUUCGAUCUUUUGAUUGCCACUUUUGUAUCGUUGUCGAUGACUCCCUUAUAGACCUUCCCGAAGCCUCCAACCCCAAUCACAUUGGAUUCAUCGAAGUUCUUGGUGGCUUGUUUGAUCUCUGCAAGAGAGAAGUAACGACAGUUACACGCAGCAUCUGAGGAAAUAGUAGUGCUUCCGUGACUCCGUCCCGAUUUGCUCCCAGAAGAAUGAGAAUUCCCGUAUAUUGGCAGCCAACUAGUUACACCUACGUCUGUUCCGACAUAUCUCUUCUUUCUGCUGUGAGCAAGAAAAACGAUUGCAGCCGCUACGCCGAAUGCUGCAGCUCCUCCAGCGGCCCCACCGAUGAGUGCAGUGGAGUAUGACUUCUUCGGCGCAGCAAACGGCCUUGGUGCUUGAUCAGAUUCAAUCUGCUUUCUCAUCAAAUCUGAGAUGGUAGGGUUCGGGCCUGCCAAGUUUGAUUUUGCAUCACUGAGCUUGAAAAUCUCUAAGCCAUUGAGAAGAGCAUCAAUAUACUCUGAUCCUGUUGAAGUAAGCGGGUGAAGUGCCACCCAAAGCUCAUCAUUCCCUUGUUUGCCAUCGACAUAUAUCACAUAAUCUCUUUUCAUUGGAGUAGCUUUUUCCUUCGUCCAACCAAAAAUAUCUGCUUCCUUCUCUGCGGUUUUGUUGUUCAGAAGCACUGUAAAGAUUCUCUGGUUAACCUUAUCGAACUCCCAAUCGCACCAAUGGAAUCUCACCAGAUAUGAGAAAUUAGACUCAACCUGAAAUACCCAUGUAAGGUUGAAUCCUUUAUUGACAUUGGGAUCAGGCCCCAUGGAUCUUGCAGUACCAUACACGUCCAACGGCGCUAUAUACGGCGGCAAGUUUUUGUACUCAAUUGUAACGUUGGCCUCCAAUGCAACACCAAGUCCACCACCGUAAACGUAAGGAGUGUCGUCAUACCAACUUCGCAUUAGACCGGCAGAAUCAUUUUUGGCGGAGACAAAUUGUCCGCCGACGUUAAUUCUGAACAUGGUUUGCAUGCUGGAUGUGCUUAUGGGCACGGUGUUAUCGGUUGAUCCAAAAUCGGUACUAUCAUCUUGGAGGCCACCCCCUACCAACGUGGGAUCUUGAUCGAAUACCUGCGGCGGCGAAAUCACUUCAAUUCCAUUGACAAAAGCAAAUGAUUUAUCUGAAGGCUUGAAUGUGACGUUGAGAGUGGGCAAAUUUGAGGGAGCCAAUAAGUACUCUCGAAUAAGAUAGCCUUGCGAAAGAGCUUCAGCCGUGAUAAACGCGCUAAAAUUACUUAACAAUUGGAUCCCUCCUGCGCUGACUGAGAAAUACGAGUCGGAGAUGUUGAAAUUUGGAUAGGAAGCUGGGUAGAAAUGGAGUCUGAGCAAAACGCGAUCGGUAGCAUUUGCAACUGGAAACUGGUAUAUUGCUUCUGACGUGAAGAUCCUAGCGGUCAUGUAAGGGACAUCGGAAGGAAGCGAAGGGUCUUGGUUAUCUGCCUUGCUUGCGAUGGAUUUAUCAUUGCUGUUCACGAGGUAUUUUGCAUCUGCUUCCCAUUUUCGACCAUCUGCAUCGGUGCCACCAUCAGAAGAGCCACAAUCGAGAACCAGUGCGUUCGGGCCUUUGCCUUGUGCAUCUAAAGAACGGAAAAGAAGACAAGUGCAUGCCAAUACUAAUCCCAAUACAUGAAUUUUGGCUUGCAUGAUGAUGGCAAUGCAAAUCAAAAUGGCGUACAGGAAAACAAAGCACUCGAAGCCCAAAAAAAAAAAAGAAAAAGAAAAAGGGUUUCCUGUACGCCUAAUUAAACAAACAAUAUUAUUUCUUUUUACGUUCUUCUGAUCAAGUAUGCACAGAUAUGGUCCUUAGAUCAGACCAUUUCUGAUCGCCCAUGAGGGGUUCAAAACUCUCUACAAGACGAGGUCCAAUUAUCCAGAGAGAUGAACCAAGAAAGAAAACAUGGUACUGUAAUUUUACAAGUAGAUAUAUAUUUUUUCUCUCUCUUAAUUCAUUUUGUGUACUCACCAACUAGCGAAACGAGAAGAGGUUAGGAAUCAGUGGGCGAGAGUUAAAAUCGAACCCCGUAGUUUGACUAGAAUCGUCCGAGUCUUUGGUAGGAGUUUACUUAUUAACUGCCGAAUGGAGUGGUACGUUCCCGCUGCAUUACAUCUUUCACGUAAAAAGGAAUAGAAAGCACAUAUAACUAACUAUUCCUCCUAGGGAUGCAUUCCGCGAGCAUCUCAAGUUAGAGUUCAAUCGAGUUCGAACCGAUCAUUAAUAUACACUAAUUGAAUUCGAGUAGUUAUUUGUUAGGUUUGAUUGGUCAAUGAGCUGCUCGAGUUGAUGUGAAAUUACAAAACUGUUCCUACAUCGAUUAAAAUCAAGCUUAUUUCAAGCUGCUUUUGAACUAAAAUGUCGAACAAAACUCAAAUUGCACGAGCUAAAAAUCGAGCCAAACUCAUGAGUCAGAAAUGAGUCGAUCUCGAACUUUCCAUUUUCUAAAUCGAGUCAAGCUCGAGUUUCAUUUUUUGGGCUCAACGACCUCGAACUCGUACAUUAACAAGUCCAACUCGGUUCGAUAAGUUCAAAAUUUGAUUCGAUUCGUUUGCAAUCAUAAUUCCUACUUUACGUUGUUUAAUCGAAUAAAGAAGAAUUAGUAUUACGUAUAAUGGCUUCAACAAAAUAGAAGAGUGUUCCUUUUUUCUUUCUUUUUUUUUUUGGGAAAAAGGGGUGUCAUUAACAAAUUAACAAGUACAAGGGUGUUGAACAAAAACCAUACAUGGUAAACAAAAACCUCUAUAAAUUAAUAACAUUGAAACCGUACAAAUUCUAUUAAUUUAAAGAAGUAUCAAUUAAUUGAUAAAUUAUUAAUUUAUUAAUUUGUUGAGUGUAUUUAUGAUUCAAAGAAACACUCAUUUCAUAGAAUAAAGUUUUUAUUUAUUUUACAAAAAAUUUGAAUUGUUCUAUUAAUAAAAGGAGAAGCUGGGAAGCACUUAGAACCUCAUUAACUCUUCAUAAUUUAUUUUGCUUCGAAAUUUUUAGAUGUAAUACAAAAAAUGAAGGAUGAGAUUCAAAUACAUGUAAGUUUUAAGAAAAAUAAAUAUCAACAAAUUCUCAUAAUUUUGGAACACAUGACGUGUAAUUGCAAUGGAUUAUUAAUUUGUGACAUGAAUGGGAUCAAGAAAAUAUAACAUGUAAUUGCAAUGAAUUAUUAAUUUAUAAUAUGAAUAGACCAAAUGAUUAUAUAAGAUUUUUAAAAAAAUUUUACCUUGAUAUGGAUGAGGUUUCUUAAAAAUUUAUUAUCAUAUUAUCGUAUCAAAUUAUUAAUUUAAUUCGGUAAAUAAAAAGGGAGGUCGUCAUGAUUUUUUCCUUUGCCCUCCAACUAUUAAGGCUCAGGAUUGCUUCUUGGGUAUUAUCCGUCUUCAGGCCGUAGGCUGGAGUAGUUUUUUUUUUUUUCCCUCCCACCUACGACAAACGAGAAAAACCUUAAACAAAACCCCUUCCCAGUUUCCCGUAUUAGUUUCCGGUUUGCUGCACUGGGCGAGUGAGGUCAGAUCAGUGGGAAGAGGGAAGGAGUAUUAUUAGACGAAAGAAAUUUGAUGUAGCAGUGAUUAGUGAUUAGUGAUUAGUGAAGGAGGGAAAUAGAAUCAAGUCCGAACUUCAAGAUCGCAGCCACAAUCAGAUCGCAGCCAACCAUGAUUUCCGGGCUUUGUUUCCACGCUUUGUCUUCUUGCAUGGUUCUGAUCCUCCUUGCCGCAGCAGUCGCCCCACAAGUUUCUGCUAAUCUCGCUGAUUCCAUUCAAGGCUGUGGUGGAUUUGUCGAGGUUUCAAAAUUUUUCUGUGGUGUCCUUUACUCUCUAAUCUGCACCCAACACACACAACCCCCCCCCCCUCGCGCCGCCGCAGCCGCCGCGGCGUUUUAGUAUAUUUGUAAUUUUACUAGUCGUCGAUAUACAUUUAUCACCAUUGUUUUAAUAUCUCAUGGGCGUUUUGAACUCGGGCACUUACUACUGCUGCAAAUUUAUCCAUUUCUUAUCGUGGUCUUUUGAGUAGCGGCUCCUGUAUUACUUUUUGAUUUAUUGUUCUUUUUUUUGUGCUUUUUGAAGUUUUGGGUUCAUUUUAAAAGUUGAAAAUUAUGGCUGAUUCAGGCGAAUGCGGCACUAAUCAAGUUGAGGAAGCCCACUGAUCCGAAGUUGGACUACUCUCACAUUACGGUAUAUAUUCAAAUUCCAUCUUUAUUUGCUUUUUCUAUUCACAGUACUUGCUUCGUUUUCUUCUUUUUCAAAUGAGAUUUCUGAAAAUGCUUUAGGUUGGUUUAUUGCUAGCAAGCGUCCAAUGCAAACUUUUGUAUUAUAAUUAUGAUGAUAAAAGUGUAUAUGUGAUACCACCUUCCAUCUAUGGGCACCCGUAAACUUGUUACUUUCUUUAAACUGUCCUUAGGUGGUGUGAUGCAUUUAAACUGCAAACCCACCAAGUCUGUGCUAUUACGGUGGCAUAUUUGAUAUUGCAAUUCUUGCUUUGCUCACAUAUCAUCAUCAUCAUCAUCAUCUACAAACACACACACACACACAUAUAUACACACAUAAAUGUCAAGAAAUGAUGCAUUGUAGCUGAAACCAUUUGUUAGCAUUUGUGGUUAUUUGCUUUUCCAUUAUUAUGUGAAUUCUUAAUCUUAGCUUUAUAUGUUAGCACACUGAUAUGUGAACUAAGAGAAUUGUCUUGUUUAACAUUUUAGGUUGAACUUCGCACUCUGGAUGGUUUGGUGAAGGACAGAACACAAUGCGCUCCAAACGGAUACUAUUUUAUUCCUGUUUAUGACAAGGUCUACUGCUAAAUGGAUAAUCUUUUCUGUUUGCUUUGGUUCUUGAAAUUUUUGUUGUACUUAGGGUUUUGCAAAACUCUGGUAUUUACGUUUAUCUUGUAUAAUUUGCGAUAUAAGAAUUUCUCUUACACCUUAGUUUUCUCAUAUUUGAGACAGUUUCCUUCUUUAUCUUCCUUUCUCUUAUUAUUGUUGACUGUCUUUGUGAUAAAGCUUCUCAUUUCUUUAUUUUCAUACAAAUUGACGUGAAGAAAGAGCAAAAAGUUGUUCCAUUUGGUUGAUUGGCUACCAAGGUUACAGUAAUACUGGUUGCCUUGUGCAAUCAUGAAGUCAUCGAUUCUGUCUAUUUUAAACGAGGAAAAGAACAAACUGUUUCAGAUUUUCAAUUUGCUUGUACUCUUUUGGAGCUACAAUUCAUUUGAAUGUUAAUUCUUUACAUUUUUCUCUGAUUAGGAAGCUUGGCAUGAAGCAUGAUAAUCUUCAUAUAAACCUAAGGAAAAACACUUCCAUUCCUUGAAGGCCCAGGGCUGGUUUAUUGCCUUGGAACAGCUAUCAGUCUUUGUUUCUCGUCUCAUUUUCUCUUGCCACCGAUAAAAUUAUACUUCUGGGUAGUGUAAUUAUACAGGAAAUUGGUACUAUAGUGUGGAUGAAACUUUCAUAUCACUGCAUAUAAGUUUAAUGCUGAUAUGUAAAAAUUCUAUUACCAAUCUGUUCAUGUUUCAUUUUCUACAAGCACUUUAGUUGUUUCAUGCACUGUUCAAAUUUGAAAAUUGAUGGUUACAGAGUUAAAUGACUCUUUUUUGAUUGUGCUUCAUUUCCUUAACCUACUUGUUUGGCAUUGCAUGGUUGCACCUGAUAGUUAGUUCUUACCAUAUUUAUAUGUUGUUGCAGGGUUCAUUUCUGAUCAAGGUUAAAGGGCCUGAGGGAUGGUCAUGGGAUCCUGAACAAGUUGAGCAUCUCAUAUUCUAGUUGGACGAUGCUAAUCUGUUGUCAAUUGCUCUCUUUCUGUUAUGGAAUAUCUAUUUGUUUAGUCUUUAAAUGUAUUACAUCUGUGUAUCUCAAAAUAUCUCAGGUGCCUGUGGUUGUCGAUAACACUGGUUGCAAUGCAAAUGAAGAUAUAAAUUUUCACUUUACAGGGUUUGUACACAUUAGUUUGUAUUUUCAUCUUCCCUUAAUUCCAGAUUCAUAUUGCUCCUAAACUCUGUACCAACUUCUUCACGCUUGCUGUUUUUGCAGUUUUACUAUAUCUGGAAGGGUUGUGGGUGCAGUUGGCGGAGAGAGCUGCUCAAUUAAGAAUGGAGGUCCUGCAGAUGUCAACAUUCAGCUUGUGUCUCCCACUGGCGAUAUUCUGUCUUCUGUUUCCACAACAUCAGCAGGAACUUACACGUUCAUGAAUGUCAUUCCAGGUAUUCAUGUUGCUUGUACAAUAUUUUCUGCUUUAGGAAAAAUAUGAAAUUACUCUUUUGCAUGAAUAGUUAUUCUGCUACUACUGGAUGUUAGGUCCUUAAAAAAUAUGUACUUUUAAUAUGUAAAAGGAUUUAGAUAAAGAACUGGGGAAAGAGGUUUGGUGCUCCAUGUAUGAAAUUGUCUCAUACAUCAAUUUAACAUAUUGCAUACCAGAAAGGAAUUUGCUUUCCAUUUAUUGGGUUUUGAUAUUUUUUUGAAAAAGUUUCUGUUACCACUCAAUUCAUUAUCUUACUACCAUGUGAUGGAAUGCAGGGAAGUAUAGAUUACUUGCUUCACGGGAUGAUUUGGAUAUUGAAGUCAGAGGCUCUCCAGAGGUUGUUCGUUCUUUCUGCUACCUUGCCUUUAAUAUUUUGUAUUGUUUCUUGUUUAAGUCAUGGCCCCUUGCCUAAUAUAAGUGCUAAAUUGCAUAGGGGUUCCCCUGUAACUGUAAGUUGGUAAAGAUUUCUGAUAAUACUACAUUUUUAUGCAUGCAGGUGGAGUUGGGUUUUGGAAACAGUCUAGUGGAUGACAUCUUUUUCAUCUCUGGCUAUGAUAUUCGUGGAUAUGUUGUUGCUCAGGUUGUUUUUCCUCAGCAAUGUGUCAACAGUUGUCUUUUGUGGUAGGAUAGGGGUUUGCUCAAGUACGAAUGAUUUCUAUUGAAGUAGAAUUUGUAUAAUAGGAUAAUCCUCUCAAGAAGAUAAAGCAGAUGCAACAGUAAUAUUCUCCAAUCCUUCUUUUGUUUCCUAAGAAUGGGGGGAACAGGGGACUGCUUUCCAUUCUUUUGCUUGUCUUUCUUUGUUGUGAUGAGAAAUAUGUGAUAUUAGAGCUGAAGGUCUGCUGAGAUGGUUAACUGGAUGGUUGAACUGCGGGGUGAUGUAGCAUCUUGUGGGUUUUUUUAAUAUUUAGUGAGCAGAAUCAUAAAAGAGUGGGAGAGAUAAUAAAUUCUAUAUCUUUAAAUUUCUCAAUUGGAUUGACGAAAAUUUCAAGUCCAAGAUUGGUGCAGUGUAAUGUCUUUCUAUUCACGAGCAUCUAUUUUUUUUUUAAAAUUCUUAGGGGAUCUAUCUAUAGAUAUACAAGCUUUUAAUGGCAUGAUAACAUCGUCUAGUUUCCGAGUUCAUUGUAGUCAUUGGACUCGUGGAAGCAGAUAUAAUCUGUUUCUUUUACCCCCUUUCAGAGAAUGUCUUAUUUUGUUCAUUGCAAAACCUAGGCAGAAGUGACGAGCAGGAAGACAGAUGACUCUGUUGACUACUAAUUUUUAUUUUGGCUAUUUCUUGGUAUUGAAGCGGAUUAUCAACUGUUGGUAAAAUCAAACCUGCCUAAGCUAAUCCUUACUUGUUCAAUAUUUUCCUUUAACUGCCAAAUCUUCUUUCAUUAACUCCAUUCCUAUAUGAUCGUGUUCUAAAUUGCUGAUACAGCAGUGUUAAUUUUACUAUAAGACAGGAUCAUAAGUUUGCAUGGUUAAAUCAUUUCUGGAUCUUCUCUUUCUGAAGUUGUGCUCCUUUUUGCAAAUGUUUGAAACUAAUUGAAUAAGUAAACUUCUUUUGGCAGGGAAAUCCCAUUUUGGGAGUGCAUGUCUUUUUAUAUUCAGAUGAUGUUUCAGAGGUGGAUUGCCCUCAUGGCUCUGGUAAUGCACCGGGCCAGGAAAAAGCUCUUUGUCAUGCUAUUUCUGAUGCCGCUGGAAUCUUCAAAUUCAAGUCAAUACCCUGUGGUAAUACUCUUUCUGUAUUUGGUUAAACAGGUGAAGUCGUAGUUGCUUCUUUUUUCCUUUCUGUGCACUUAUUUUCCAUAUGUAUUUGCUUUUUAAAAUGCAGUUUGCUGUUAGUUUAUUCAUCUAUGGUUAACUAUUCUUGAGAGGAAUAGAUUAGGAAAAAGUUUGCUUUGAGUUUUUUGAGUCGGGGAAGUCAAUGUAGAUUGCUUUCAAUGCUCAUUAUCCCUUUUAGUCGUUUCUGAUGUGGUGAAUUGGUUUCUGGUCAGUUUUGAAUUCUCAAUUGAAAUUUCUGUACGUCGUGCACAACCAAAUACUUCCUAUAUUUCACACUAUGGCGUUGGCUGCAAAAGUUUACUUGUUAUUUAGCUUCUUUUCAUUAAUAGAGAAUGGAAAAAACUCUAAUUCUACUCAUUCUUAUAGUUAUAUUGUGCCUGCCUUCGUUUAUUGCCUGAAUAUAAAAAAUGGCCAGCUUGAAAUUUGCCAUCUAUUAAACAAUGAUUAUUGAUCUCUAAAGUUUCUCUGAAUCUAUGAAACCAUGAUUAUUGAAUCACCAACAUAUUUGCAGGGGUCUACAAGCUUGUUCCUUUCUAUAAGGGCGAGAACACAGUUUUUGAUGUCUCACCUCCUUCUGUGUUGGUCACCGUAGGGCAUGAGCAUACAAAAGUCAUUCAAAAAUUUCAGGUGCUUUGCAACCAAAGUUUAUUUUUGCAGUCGUGUGUAUUGAUUUCUUGUGGUUUUUACAGAUGCUUUGUCAUCUGUUUUGUGUAUGUUUGUGGUUAAAAAUGUUAUCUGCUCUUUCCUGUCUUACUUCCUUUCUGCUUUUGUACUAUUGAGCAUUUCUUGGAAAAAUUUUUCUUUGGUUUACUAGGCACCUCAGCCAUGAAUUUUUUUUUUUUUGCAAAUUAUGUCUCACUGGUACUUUGUUGUCUGUAACUUUCCUUAUCUAAAUCCCCUAUGACAUGAAUUUUGCCUAGGUAACCGGAUUUUCUGUUGGCGGCCGUGUAGUUGAUGGGAUUGGCAAUGGUGUGGAUGGCGUGAAGAUCAUGGUUGAUGGCGAGGAAAGGUCUAACACUGACAAAGAGGGGUAUUACAAGCUUGACCAGGUAAAGUUAAUGGCCAUGCUGACAUUUACAUGAUGUUACUGUUUAUUCAGUGUUGGUAUAUAUUCUGCUGGUUAUUUAGUAAAUCUGAGCUUAAAUAUCUCAAUUGGGAUAUGCUUAAUGACAGGGAAAAUGUUCUAAUUUCUUCAAUUGUUGUUUAGUGUAUGUUGCUUUCGAUAGUAAUACAUCGCAUUUUGCUUAAUGCAGUGCCUAAAUGCUAUUGUAUUGUCCCUCAUUGAAAAAUGGGUGUUUUACUUUAUUUCUUAAUUCAUUUGCAAUUACAAUUUCCUGGUAAAUAACUUUAAUUGUUAAGUAUUAGAUACUUUACAAAUCAAAACAGGGCAAUUUAAUCUUGCUCCACACUCUUUUAUUUUAGAUUGAGAAAUAUGGUGGUCUAGACUGGUACCCUUUUUUAUUGACCAUUGUAUUUUGUACUAAUUUAGUACUCGUGUCUGGUCAAACUUGGCUUGUUCAAGUAUCUAGUUUACCAGUUGGGUUGUUUAAAUUUCUAGCUGACCGUCUUCGAGUCUAAGAUUUAUUUCAUCAAUUGCACACUUGAUCUAAUUAAAGGUUUAGUUUCCAAGUUGUACUUGGUACAGAUGAGAGCUUGUUCUGUAUACUUGGCUUGUUCAACUAUCUAGCUGACUUCUCUAAUUCUAAGAUUUAUUUCAUCUGUGGCAUUUAAACUUACUCAAUGUUUUCUAUCAAUUUAUGUAUACGUUGUGUUGCCAGGUUACAUCCAAACGGUACACUAUCGAGGCUAGGAAGGAGCACUACAAUUUUGAGAAAUUGAAAGACUUUCUGGUCAGUCUAUAAACUUCUUUUUUUGGAGGGAAAUAAACUCAGUCUUUUGUCAACACUGACUGAAAACAAUAUCUUACUUGUCAGUAUAAGCAGUUAGUUAGUUAGUCUUGGAGAAGUAAUGAUCACUGAGGACAUUCUUUUCCUAUUUUCUCUGACAAUGUGGACUGAUAUCUCAGGUAUUGCCCAACAUGGCUUCGCUUGCUGAUAUAAAAGCCGUGUCAUAUGAUGUAUGUGGCCUCGUGCAAACAAUUGGUACUGAUUACAAGUCAAAGGUAAUGGUGCUUCACUCUGUUGUUUUGAGGUGAAAUACAAAGUGUGACCCAAUGAAAUGUGAAAUGUCCUGAUUUCCCCCUCUGACAACUAAAGAUUAUAACAAUUUUUUUUGUCGAUAAUCCCUCAGAGUCUAUUUCCGUAAACAACUGGAUAUGCUAUGAACUUGGAGGGUGUGAUCAAUAAGAUGUUUAAGACAUAGGAGAGUGCAAUUGCUUGUUUUAUUUUCACAGGGGAUUGAUAGCACAUUCAACUGCCACAAGGUGGUUUUUGUGUUUCAGAGUCACUCGGUUGUAUCUUUUCAGCAUAUUCGUUCUGCAGAAAUUUUUUCGUAGACAAGUGUAGGUUUUAAGACAAUAAUAGGGACUGUGAUUUGUAGUUCUGGCAAGAAGCGGCAGAAGUUUAGAAAAUUGUUUUUUCAUAAAAGUCGCGAUUGGACAGGACUCGUCCUGAACCUGACACCGUGCUUCUAGCAUUUUGGGCCUGUGGGUGUUAAGAGUAGAGAGAGUUUCUGAAAUUAAGUGGUGGUCGUAAGGGUUUUGCUUGGAUCUUGACUUGAAUAUUUGUUGAGUGAUGAUAAUACAAAGAUGGUGUGAAUGUUUUUGUGGCAAAGGUAUAAUUUGAGGCUUUGUCCUGUAGUUCUUGAAUCAUGCCCCUACAUUUAAGUAGUUUUUAUUUGUCUAAAAGUUUAGAUCCUGGAAUAGAAGCUAGUGUCCAGUCUUACUGUCUGCCGAUUUGACCAAUCACUGUGCAUUGAUUCCUGUAUGCUCCUGAGUACCCUUUGAAUGGAGUUGAAUUGUUCGAAAAAUGUGUUGCUUCUAGAAAAAAUGGUUAGUAUUCAGUAAUAGUUGGCAUUUUGUUCAGAUAUGACAUGCUCAAGCAUGCAUGAGGGAGUGGAGAUUGUUGUCCGUUGCUUAAAUUAUCAGAUGCACCACAAUGGGUUGGGUGGGAGAUAAACUGAGCAUGGUAGCUUGAGUUUGAGGAAAGAUGACUUAUUCUUUGGUUGUUUCUUGUUUAAUGACUUUUGGACUACCAUUGGUUUGUUGCUAUGUGAUAAGCAAAUUGUCGACGGCUUUUGAUUUAUUGUCAGUUUAUCUGGUGCUUUCAUGCUCUCUUUGUUUCAACUGAUGGUAAAAUUGCAAACAUACCAGGUUGCUUUGACUCAUGGACCAGAAUAUGUUAAACCUCAAGUGAAACAGACAGAUGUCAGCGGCAGCUUUUGCUUUGAGGUGACUUUUGUAUAUCUAAGCAGUGAUUCUACUGCUUGUUUCCUCACACUUUUUUUUUUCAAAAAAAAUUAGCUAAACUAAAUACUUGCCUGCGGGAAUCCUGUUUUGCAACCUUUUGCUUAAGCUCCUGCAAAUAUACAAUGAACCUCAAUCCAUACCUCUGUGGAACCAAUUUCAUGCAAUGUUUGCUUUCUUCUUCUUCUUCAUGUAAUCAUUCUUUUUUUUUUUUUUUGUUGAAAAAACUGUGUAAAAAUCCCUAUGGCCUCUCCUUUUACUAAUGGAGUUAGGGUAGAAUGGUUCAGGUAGCUAAUGGAUUGCUAUACAAAUAAUUAUGUAUGGUACGUAAAUGACACUAACCUCAGUUUAUGUGUUACUUUAUAGUCAUACAUGCAAAAGCCUCACCUCUAGUUUAUGGAAUUACAGAAACCUCAGUUUACAGUUAACAUUGUCUUAGCUGAAUUCCGGAUGAUGUUAGCACACAACAUGUUUGUAAUUCAUUAAUGCAGUUGGAAUCCUGUAGAGGUGGGAGUCAAUGAGGUUAAAAUAUAUGGGCAACAUAGUGAAAGAAUAACUUGCAAAAGUUGACAACAGAUCAGAGAAUAGAUUGUAACUCCCAGUUAUCGUGACAAUUGAAGGUUUUUGUAAUUUACCCUGGUUUUCAGAACGUGUGGGAGUCCUCUCAUUUAGAUGUGAUAUUUUUAUGACCAUGUUUACGAUUUCGUUCCCUUAUUCUAUAUUUUUAAAAUGGGGUUAACAUGUUCCAGAACUGUUGUGUUAAAAAUUCUACAUGGAUUGAAAUAUGACAUUUUCGCAAUUGCCAACUUUGAUUUUAACCAAUUUUAAAUUGUUUCUUAUGCCCUUUUCACCUUUUUGUUUUUAUGUGUGUGUGUGUUUAUUUAUUUAUUUAUUUUUAAUUCAUCUUCUAUCAGUAUGCAUUUCUUAAGAUUUCAACCAGGCUAAGGUUUCCUGGGCUCAUAGCAUCCAAAAAAUUCAUGCUCACAUGUAUUAAGCUAAUUGAAUUUCCUAAAGUUCAUUGGCUGUAUUGUUCAAUGCUGAAUGUUACUGUAUAUCAGGUUCCACCUGGUGAAUAUCGUUUAUCUGCUUUGUCAGCUGCUUCUGAGAAUGCUCCAGAGCUAUUAUUUUCUCCAUCUUAUGUUGAUAUCAAUGUCAGCAGUCCAAUAUUGAAUGUCAAAUUUUAUCAGGUAAUUGAGACAUUUUUAUGACAUUUGAGAUUCAAAAACAAAGUAUUGAACUGCUUAUCUCCCUGGACUUGUUUUUAGUCGAAUGCGGAUCAAAAUUUGUGUUGACUGUAUUAUUUGAGAUGUUAUUGUGUUGUUGUUCCUCUUAAUUGAUAAUUUAUUUUCAAGGUUGUGACCUGCAUUGGACCUCAACAUCCUCUACUGCAGUAAGCAGUAUUUACGCAUCGUUUCUAUAUUACCCAUUGUAUUUUAGAGUAUGUUUCACUUUGCUAUCUGAUACAUUUUUUUUUUUGUAUUGCUUCUAACAUUUCUUUUUCUAAACCUAGGCACAAGUAAAUUUACAUGGCUCUGUCGUGUGCAAGGGAAACUGUGGUUCAUCCAUUUCUGUUACGCUUGUAAAGUUGGGUGGUAAAGGAAAGGAAGAGAGGAAAACUAGUAGUCUAACUGGUCAGAGUGAUGAAUUUAAGUUCCUGAACGUUCUACCUGGAAAAUACAGGGUUGAGGUAAUGUCCUUGCCCUUCUCUUUUAAAUUUUCCUUCAUUUCUCUUGUGAAUAUAGAUGGAUAUUUUCAGUUCUACUUUCUAUUGCUUCCACCUCCUAGGUCCUGUUGCUUUAUUUCUCAAGCAAGAGGUGAAUUGAAAUUUAUCCUAUAUGAAGAUCUUGCUAAGUCACAUCUUUUUUACCUUCUACAAUUUCGAACUGCUGUUAGGUUAUGCUUUCUUUCAGUUGUUAGAGAAUCUAAAACUUCACAUUUUACUUAUAUUUUCUUCUUUAUGUUCUUUUACUGAAAUAAAUGGAAAAAAGAGACCUACUUAUUUUAUUGACCUUGCUUUACUUUUUUUCUGGGCCUAUUUUUGUGUCAUCAUGACUACACUGCAUUGCUCUAUAUCCUAUGCUGGUGAGUAAUUUAUGUCGUGCUUGUAUCUGGCUUUUGCGGCAUCUGAAGUUACAUUUGUUUAUCAGAAUUGUAACAGAUGGAAUUCCAAGACAGUAACGCCUGCUGACAUAUAUUUCCUUCAUUUGAUUUCUAUCAUUUAUGUUUUCUCCUUUGUUUAAUGUGUAUCUAUUACCAGGUCAAGAAUAGUUCACCAGAAGCAAUGUUGGGAGGAGAUAAUUGGUGCUGGGAGCAAAGUUUUAUUAAUGUGGUUGUUGCAAGUGAGGAUGUCAAAGGAAUUGUUUUUGUUCAAAAAGGGUUUUGGGUGAAUGUGAUUUCCAGCCAUGAUGUAGAUGCUUACCUUACUCAAGCAGAUGGUUCUCGCAUGAGCAUCAAAAUUAAGGUCAGCUUCAUUAUUUAAUGAUCUUCUUUACUUUUGAAACUUAUCACUUCCCAUGGAGCCUAAGUUAUCCUUUUGGCUUAUAAAUUGCAGAAAGGAACCCAGAACAUCUGUGUUGAGUCUCCUGGAAUACAUGAACUUCACUUUGUUAAUUCGUGUAUUUUCUUUGGGGGUUCAAGUGUGAAAGUCGACACGUCUUACUCAUCGGUAUGGUACUUGUUCAACCUGCCUGUUGUUUUUUGCCAUAAUAUGCUAUUUAUUGUCUUUCCCUUUCGCUCCUCUAGUCUGAUGUGUAUGAAUUUCUUUUGUUUUUCUUUGUUCUGUAGCCUUUGUAUUUAAAAGGAGAGAAAUAUCUUCUGAAAGGACGUAUUCAUGUUGAUACAAGCUCGAGUGGCUUGCUAAAAUUACCUGAGAAUCUCGUAAUUGAUGUCUUAAACAAUGAAGGUGCUUUCAUUGAUAGUACUACUGCAAGAUUUGUACCCGAUCAAGAUGAUCAAUCAAUCAAUGCCGUCUAUGAAUAUAUGAUAUGGGCUAAUCCUGGAGAAAAGUUGACAUUUGUCCCUAAGGACUCACGGUAUGCUGACCAUCAUUUUUUGGCUGACAGUUGUAAGUCAUUUCUAGUAUACUGGCAUUCUGAUUGGGUUGAUUGAUUAUCUCAAAAAAAGACGUGUCAGUGAGGUAAAGCUUAGUGCUUUGCUUUUCUGGAAGAAGGUAUCUUGUGAAUUUCAUUUUAAUGCUAGACAUCCUGACUCAAUAAGUACGUUGUUAUAUUUGCAUUUUCCAUGCUAAAGACUUUAAUUCUUGCAAGUUAAUCACAAAAGCCUAUGCAGUUUUAUGACCUCUGUCGUGACCUCCUAAUACCAAGUAACAGCUUGACUUCAGAAUUUCAUGAAUAAUUAUUAUUAAUUUGUGAGCAGUGUCUUGCUGAUGUUGGCCUAUCUAUUUUAUAGUAUUUGUGCUACGUUGUGAGUUUCAAGAUUCAAUUGUAAGUUGAAUGUGCAAAAAUACCAAUUGCAAGAAAAAGUACCUCCUUGAUGUAAUACUUAGUUAUCCUUGGAGUCGGACGAGGAAGGAUGAAUGCAAGUCAGAUCAAUUCUGACAUUUUCCUUGACUUAUUCUGAUGUAAAUCAAUAUCUGUUGGCAAUUGUUUGUGCCAUUUUGAACUUUGUUCUUACAUGACUUGGCCCACAGUGAUUCCAACUGCUACUGAUGCACUUUUGGUGAUAUAUAUAUUUUCCUUUUUUGAGUUUCAGGAAACAUGCAGGUGAAAAGAAAGUUUUGUUUUACCCUACACAACAUCAAGUAAAUGAUUCUCAAUUUGAUAUUAACUUUUUAUUUGCACACUUCAUCAAAUAAAACACAACCUUGUAUGGGAUUUCAGUCUAAAAACUUGCAUCUUUCUCAAUUAGGUCUCAGUGACACAAGAGGGAUGCCAACCUGAAAUUCCUCUAUUUUCUGGCCGACUUGGAAUGUAUAUUGAAGGAUCGGUUACUCCUUCCCUUUCUGAUGUUCACAUUAGAGUAAUUGCUGUGGGAGACAGCCUUAAUGCUGCUCUAAAGCAAGGUGAUUUAGCACUUGAAACUAGCACAGGAGCAGACGGGCUGUUUGUUGCAGGACCUUUGUAUGAUGAUAUAACCUACACAGUUGAAGCUUCAAAGGUUUGCACAUUAUGUUUUAGAACCUACUUUUAAAAGAUGACAAUGAUGCCUAUUCUCACACAGGAUUGUGGUUCCAUAUGCUUUUCUAACAGUAUGUGGGGUGGUGAUACUAUUAUUUGAUGUACUUGUGUGGUUUAAUUCUUCAAAUGUAUUUCUAUGUUUUUUUUUGGCCAUAUAUGAUGACAGAAUAAAAAUUUGGACUUUUUUGUUUGGUAAAUAAUAUUUUUAAUGCACUUCUCUCUAUUGAACUUCUGAUAUGACAACUCAUAAACUAAUUUCCUUUAAAAGAAUACUUAAGUGGGAAAACCUUAAUACACAAAUAUACUUGUACUAGUUUUACUUUCACCUCUACUCACUUCUCUUCCCAUAGUGCCUGAUAUUUUGCUAAUGUGUUGCAGCCUGGUUAUCAUGUCAAGCCAGUUGGUCAUCAUUCUUUUUCUUGUCAAAAACUUGGCCAAAUUUCUGUACGCUUAUAUUCCAAUAACGAUGACAAAGAGCCGUUUCCUUCCGCUUUAUUAUCGUUGAGUGGUGAUGAUGGUUAUAGGAAUAAUUCAGUAACGGGAUUAGGGGGAACUUUUUUGUUCGGGAACUUAUUUCCAGGGAGCUUCUACCUCCGCCCUUUGUUGAAGGUACUACUCUGGUGGUUCUAUUACUGUCACUCUGGAUUAUCACUGAUAUUUUAAUGUGAUCCUUGAAUGAUGUUGCAAUUAUAUCCAAUGAUGCCAUACAUACUGCUAUUGGGAGUCAACUUCAAGUGUAUAGUGAAGUAAUAAUCAUUGAAGUAAUGUUGUUGCAGCAGUACCAAUCUGUUCCAAGUGGAACUCAUCUGUACCAUGCAGCUGAAAAGUAGUCUAAGGACUUAAAAACAGUUUUAACAUUAUGUACCUAAAAAAAAAAAUUUUUUUUUGUCUUGACAUAUUGGUAUUAUUUUCUGUAGGAGUAUGCAUUUUCACCUGCUGCACAGGCAAUUGAACUGGGUUCGGGUGAAUCCAGAGAAGUCGUCUUUCAUGCCACCCGUGUUGCUUACAGGUAUAUCCAGUUCAACUGGUUUGUUCUGACUAUAUUUAAGCCUUAACUUUUUAUCUCAUGCCAGUUGACCGAAAUACUUUCCAAGCAUUACAUGGAUGCUGCUCAUGCCUUAUGAGAAAAAUCGAACUUCUUGAUCCUAACAAAACUUCUCUUUUUAGCUGUGAUCCCUGGUGAUGACUAACAAUUUGUGUUGAUUUAAAAGUAGGCUUUAGUUUCUAUCUUAUCUUUUGUUUCUCGAAAGUUAGAUGUUUUCUUUUCAUCUGUUCUUAGAUUUUUCUUUUUCCUUUGAAAUCUUCUGUGAAAUGUAGCGUGUGAACCACUGGACUGUUGAUCCUUUGGUCUCAUGCUAUGCUUCGCAUUAACAAAUGAGUCCCUGGAGUUUUCAUGCCUCUAAAAUUUUAACAAGGUGAGAUGUAAUCUUCUUUGAUACUCUUUAAUCCUGUUAAAAUGAUGUAGCUAAUAGUUUGCAAGAUGCAUGCUGAUGCCUCUUGCAGGUUGCGCUUUUGUUUAACAUAAAAAUGUGUUUUGCAGCCAAUGAAGUACUUCCUUUUUUAAAAUUGUUCUCCUCUUCUUGUGAAAUGGGUUGGCUCCUUUGUUGUUCGUCCAGCCCGAUGGCUUGAUGUUCACAAGACACUGAAAAUAUAUCUACACAGUCAAAUUUGCGAUGCCUUCACGAGUUAUAGCAGAAUUAUGCUUCUUUGCAUCAAAUCGGUAGUUUGCUGGUUAUUAUUGCAGAUUUGCCUGAAGCCAUGCAUUGCAUCCAUCUAAUCUUUUUAAGUACCAUUUGUUUGUGUUACUGUGGGGUAAAACUUGUUUUUAUGAUUAAGCAGAGUGUUGGUUCUGUUCAACAGUGGUUCUGGAUAUCAUUUCCAUGAAAAUCAGAUUUUCUUACAUAUGGGGUUGCUAUUUCUGCUUCCAUACAUAAAAUGGCACACAAUUCUCUUUCUACAGCAUUGGUUAAAAGUUGAAAUUAUAUGAUGAGAUGAUUGCUUUACAGUGCAAUGGGUGUGGUUACUCUCUUGUCUGGUCAGCCAAAAGAAGGUAUCUCCAUAGAAGCUCGGGCAGAGUCUAGAGGUUUUUAUGAAGAGGCAGUUACAGACUCAUCUGGAAGUUACCGUUUGAGGGGACUUCUACCUGAGACAACUUAUACCAUCAGAGUAGCAAAGAAGGGCAAGUUUGCUAGCGGCCGCAUUGAGCGUGCAUCUCCAGAGGAACUUUCCAUUAAGGUCAGUGGUAUAACUCAAGUGUGAACAUAUCCAAUUAUUUGUUGGAGCUGUUGACUAGGAAUUGGGGAUCACAUUUUUCAAUUUGCAUGAAAUAUUUUUUGAAAUGAAGUACCUUCAACACUGAUUACUCUUCCUGAAAGCAAUAAUGAAGUGUUAUAUACCCUUUCAGUUACUGCUUGGGGCUGUUGUAUGUGCAUACAUGUUUGUAGCACCUGUGAAAUAUUAUGAGAAAGCUAUGUGAUUCCUUUUUUAAGGAUAUUAUUAAAUGCUUUGGACCUGAUCUACUUCGAAAUUAUCUGGUAGUGGCGUUCUUCCACAUAUGUGCUUCUUGAUAGCAAUUUGUAUUAAAUCUAGUUCAUUCAUUUUGUGUAGGUUGAAUAUGAGGAUAUUAAGCAAUUGGAUUUUGUGGUUUUUGAACAUCCGGAGAUGACCAUUUUAAGCGGCCAUGUUGAGGGAAAGAGAAUAAAGGAACUACAUUCUCAUCUUCGAGUGGAAAUCAUGUCAGCAACUGAUCCAUUGAGGACAGAGGCUGUUUUUCCCUUGCCUUUGUCAAAUUUUUUUCAGGUGAAGGACUUGCCAAGGGGAAGGCACCUUGUGCAGCUUCAAUGUGUUCUACCAUCUACUACACACAGGUUAAGGUCUGAGGUUAUCGAGGUCGACCUAGAAAGACAGAGUAACAUACAUGUUGGUCCAAUCAAAUUUGAGGUUGAAGAGGAUCACCAGAAGCAGGUUCGUGCUCCCAUUAUAAAAUAUGUGGUUCAACCUUUAGCCGUGCCACUGUCCUUGUGAUGUGAAAUUCUUGGAUUAAUCAUAUGUUUGAUUUUGUUGACGAGUGUUGAGCGAGAGAUUUUAAUGCCAAUUGGGAUGUUUCAAGAUUCCUGAAUUUCCUUUGAUUGUGGAUGGAAUUCAAUGCUUACAAUUCCAUGUCGGACAUGCAGGAACUGACUGCAGCUCCUGUAUAUCCUUUAAUUGCCGGAAUUUCAGUGAUUGCGCUGUUCAUCAGUAUUCCAAGGUAGCUGGAAAAGUUUCUGGGCCUUCUCCUGAAGGUGUGUAAUUUUUAUAUUCGCACUUUGUAUUGUAUCAAUCAUACGUGCAUUGUGCUUGUAGAAUAAGGGACUUGCACCAGGCAAUAGCAGGAUUGCAACUCUCUGGAUCGACUGGAACUGUAAAGAAAGAUGCCAAAAGACUAAUACCAAGAAAGAAGACUUGGUGAAGACUUUAUGCUCUGGAAUCUUGUAGGGAGAUCCGAGCAAGGCUGACUUACUUUUCGGAGAUUAAUCCUGAAAAGCUGUGCUGGUUACAUGAGCGGUCUCAUGUUUGUGCGAAGAUAUGAAUUUUGUUAGAUGAGAAGAAUGUAACUUAUCAAAUAUUGUCAGGUACUUACUUGUAAUCGUCCUUUUUUUUUUUUUUUCAAAGUAGGGAUAGGAAGGGAAGAGGAACUUUGUUAUUCGGUGUUUGAAUUGAUUUUUGAAGGGAAAGGAAGGAGAGGUAGGGGGAUAAGGUUAGUUGUUUUACACAUGUUUCAUUUCGGUGCGAAAGUGGAGGAAAACAGAGGAAAGGUUUUCGACUAAAAUAGUACAGUACUGUCUCAGAUGUUGUUGUGUUAUUACAGAGAGUUAUAUAGCAGUAGUAGUGUCUACUGCCUUUCCCUCUCCUCGCUGUCUUUUUGCCAGAAAACAUAUUUUUCUUUGCCUUUUUGUUGCUUUGGAUUAUGAAAACUUCUUUAUUGGAAUCUUCAUUUCUUUCCUUGAAUUCAUACGGGUGCAAAAGAUGUUUUAUUAUUGACUCCAAAAAACUUGGCACUUUGCUGUCGUCUACAAAUUGACAUGCCGCCUGAAGGCUUAAUGGCAGGCAGCUAGUUUGAUUUUGAAAAAUUGUUUUUGGUUAAUUAUUAAAUUGGUAAAAUCACAAGAACGUUUUGGUUGUCCAAAGAAAAGUAGCUCACCAACAACAAACACAAAAGGUUCUGCUACUGAGCUACACCGCCCACCGGUACUGAACUAAUCCACGGCAGGAAAGAAAAGAAGAGACAGCAAAAGUCAAAUAAAGAUACAGCAAAGUCAAGCAAUCCACAGCAGCAAAAAACAAAAACAAAAAAAAACUUAAAGUAAAAUCCUCGACACUACCCAGUACCCACUGUAAUAGUAAUAGUAAUAAUCCUCACUCGUCUCAUCUUUUCUUUAGUAAAAACGAGUCAAACGCAAGAGCUAAGCAUCUAUGUGAGACCGACCCAUUUUUCCCCAAAACCCCCCAAACACCCAUCCCCGCCAUUUAUCCGUCGCCGUCGCCGUCCUCGUCCUCACCCUCCCCAUCAUCAUGGCCUCUUCUACUCCCCCACCCCACUGCGCGUUGACUACCUCUAAGCCCUACCAAUCCCACCACCCCCACCCCCACCCCCACAGUCCACACCCUCACCGCCACCACCACCACCACCACCACCCCAAGGUCUCCUUGAACCACCACCGCGCCUCCCAACCUCUUCCUCACCCUCCCGCCGUCGCCAGGCCCCCUCCCCCCGCCGCUCUCUCCACCACCAACCCCCCUUCUUUCCCUCAUCUCUCCUCCAACUCCGAACUCUCUGCCGACUUCUCCGGCCGCCGAUCCACCCGCUUCGUCUCCAAGAUGCACUUCGGCCGCCCCAAGUCCGCCUCCUCCUCCAGCCGCCACAGCUCCGUCGCCGAGGAGGCCCUCCUGCAGGCCGUUCGUUUCAGCGGCGACGACGCCCGCUUCGACAGCAUUCUCCUCGCUUUCGAGCCCAAGCUCUGCGGCACCGACGACUACACCUUCUUGCUCCGAGAACUCGGCAACCGAGGGGAGUGGUCCAUGGCCAUGAGGUGCUUCGACUUCGCCGUGGCCCGCGAGCGCAGGCGCAACGACCAGGGCAAGCUAGCCAGCUCCAUGAUCAGCAUCCUGGGUCGGCUGGGCAAGGUGGAUUUGGCCAAGAGAGUGUUCGACGACGCCGUCUCCCGGGGGUAUGGAAACACCGUCUAUGCUUAUUCUGCCCUCAUAAGUGCGUAUGCCAAGAGCGGCCAUUGCGACGAGGCCAUUAGGGUCUUCGAGACCAUGAAAGACUUGAGCUUGAAGCCUAAUCUUGUGACUUACAAUGCUCUCAUCGAUGCCUGCGGGAAAGGGGGUGCUGGUUUCAAGAGGGCCUCUGAGGUUUUCGAUGAAAUGCUGAGGAACGGGGUGCAGCCUGACAGGAUUACCUACAAUUCCCUUCUCGCUGUUUGCAGCGGGGCAGGACUGUGGGACACCGCGAGGUGCCUGUUUAAGGAGAUGUUGUUCCGAGGUAUUGACCAGGAUAUCUACACCUAUAACACCCUUCUCGACGCCGCCUGUAACGGCGGCCACGUCGAUGCAGCUUUUGACAUCAUGUCUGAGAUGCCCGCCAAGAAUAUCUCCCCCAAUCAGGUUACUUACAGUACCAUCAUCCGGGGUUGUGCCAAGGUGGGCAAAUUGGACCGGGCGCUGAAUUUGUUCCAUGAGAUGAAACAUGCUGGCAUGCGGUUGGACAGGGUGUCUUACAACACCUUGCUUGCUAUCUAUGCUAGCCUUGGCAGGUUUGAGGAGGCUCUCACCGUCGCUGAGGAGAUGGAGAGUAUGGGGAUCAAGAAGGACGUCGUGACCUACAAUGCGCUUCUAGAUGGUUUCGGCAAACAAGGGAUGUAUGACAAGGUUAAGGAACUGUUUUCAAGGAUGAAAGCUGAUAAUCUUUCUCCUAAUUUAUUGACCUAUUCAACAUUGAUCAGCGUGUAUUCCAAAGGAGGCCUUUAUCGAGAGGCAAUUCAGGUUUAUAAAGAGUUUAAGCGCCAGGGGGUGAAGGCGGACGUUGUUUUCUACAGCAAGCUCAUUGAUGCCUUGUGUAAAAAGGGCCUUGUUGGAUCAUCUGCGUUGUUACUUGAUGAGAUGAUGAAUGAGGGCAUCCAACCUAAUGUUGUCACCUACAACUCUAUAAUUAACGCCUUUGGUUGGUCGAUGCCGACCGAAUAUCCUCUGCAGAGCGACCAACAGACUGAAUCCUCACUCUCAAUUGCUGCUGCAAAUGUUGCUGAAAGCAAGCCAGACGCUGAAAACAAAGACAGGAUCAUUAAGAUUUUUGAGCAGUUAGCCACUGGUAAAUCAGAUUUUGACGAAUCUGUUAACAGGGGGCGGCAGGACUUUCUGUGUGUAUUGGGAGUUUUCCAAAAGAUGCAUGAGAUGGAAAUAAAACCAAAUGUCGUCACGUUCUCAGCAAUUCUGAACGCCUGCAGGUAACGGCUUCUUGCUUCUUGUUCAUCCUGUAGUCAUUCCUUAAAUUUUUGGGGAGUCCUGUAGUUAUUUCUUUUGUAGGGAAAGCUUUCAAAACUUUCCUUGGUUGCAGCCGCUGUAAUUCAUUUGAGGAGGCUUCAGUGUUGUUAGAGGAACUGCGUCUGUUUGAUAAUCAUGUGUAUGGAGUAGCGCAUGGACUUCUCAUGGGUCAUGAUGAGAAAGUUUGGAUGCAAGCUCUUUCCCUUUUUGACGAAGUGAUGCAGAUGGACACUUCUACUGCAUCUGCCUUCUAUAAUGCUUUGACUGACAUGCUGUGGCAUUUUGGUCAGGUAACUUCUUGUUACUGCUGCUGCUACUACUUUUUUUUGCUGGAAUCCUAUUGUUAUCCAAAAGUCAUAUGUAACCUGGGUGCCAAGUUUUUUGGUAGGCCUACACACACACAGACACACACACCCUCAAAAAAAAAAAAAAAAAAUCGUCAUUUUGGAGUAUUACUUCUCGGAAAAGUUGUUAUCGUAUAGUAGAGUAUACUGGUAGCUUUUGCUAUUGGUUGGUUAAUAAUUAAUUGCCAAGUGAGAAAAAUUUAAGUAUCAUAAGUCAACAGUACAAUGGGUAAUGUUUUAUCAAACCUCUAAUUUGGUAUGGUAGGUUGCACUGACACGAUCAACACUCGUUAAUAGUAAGUAGUACUUCUCUCUGAUUUAUGGGGACACUUGUAAUACUCGGGAACUUUCCAAUCAACUGUUGACAUGAAAAUGUCCGUCCUGUGCUUGUAUUUAAUUUUCAUACCAGCGAAGAGGUGCUCAGCUGGUGGUGCUGGAGGGCAAACGUCGACAAGUGUGGGAAAGUACGUGGUCUAAUUCUUGCUUGGAUUUGCAUUUGAUGUCUUCCGGUGCUGCACGGGCAAUGGUUCAUGCCUGGCUGCUCAAUAUACGCUCUGUCGUUUUUGAAGGCCAUGAGCUACCAAAACUUAUAAGGUAGUAUUUUUAUUUCCUUGGCAAAAAGCACGACUUAGUGCAUCCAAGAGGGGAGUGAAUAGGCAGGGGAGGGCAGCCCCAUGCAAGUAUAUUAUGUUAAUCUUUGUCUUUGCUUAUCUGAGUUAAGAAAGGGAAAUUGAUUCGUGUGAUGAUGCAGCAUUUUGACGGGAUGGGGCAAGCACAGCAAAGUCGUCGGUGAUGGUGCGCUUAAACGCGCUGUUGAGGCACUGCUUAACGGCAUGGGGGCGCCUUUCCGUGUUGCUAAGUGCAAUAUUGGAAGGUUUAUAUCAACAGGAGCCGUGGUGGCUUCAUGGUUGAGAGAAUCAGGCACCCUGAAAGUUCUUGUUCUUCAGGAUGACAGAGUCCAUCCAGAAGCCUCCAGGUUUGAUAAUGCUUCUGGCUUAGAACCACUUCCUUUGUAGCUCUGUUUAGUUUAGUUUCUUGUGUGUAACUAGGGUUUUGCCCAGCCAGCCAUCCAUCCAUCCAUCCAUCUUGUGCAGUCGUGUAAAUCAAAGUUGUAAGUAGCUUCCUACCGCCCCCGCCCCCGCCCCACCUGGUAGUUUUUAGGUUCGAUGGGUCCUAUCCUAUUUUGUGGACUGUAGCCAUGGAAUGAAUAUGGCCAUGGCAUGGUGGGUUUCCAGUAGAAUCUUGUUGGGAUUUUGGUCAGGGAAAGAUUCCCUCCUCCUUGUAAACCAACAAGCACGGACCGGCCUGUCCACCCUUCAGCCGGCGCCGGCAUGUGAUGAUUCGGUGCGCUUGUGUACUAGUGUAUUUUUUGAGGUCUAUUAUGAAUGGAAUUGAAUGACCCAACAGUCUUUGCGAGGGAUAUGAUGAUGGUGGUGUUUUUGCUUUUUCGAGGGACAUGUGAUGCAUCCACACAUCUCUCUUUCUUUCGAAGCCCAAAGAGCUUACGAUCAAUUUUUACAAAUCUAAACCCCGAGAAAUCCAAAAGUCGGUAUCACACAUCUUUCUUGGCUGCUACAUAAUACUAAUAAAAUAAUGGGUGGGAUAUAUGAAUGACAUCUAUUUGGGGGAUUUUAUUAAUUAGUAGACGAGAACUAUUAAUAGCAAUUAGUUAUUAAGUAGUAGAACGAGAAAACCAGAAGAUGAAUGAGUAUUGUAAUGCGAUGGUUCAGAACAACAAAUGAUACGAGUAGCAUGUACUAGUGUUACCUGAAAAAGAGGUCUGGUCUGCACUCCAUUAUCUAAGGCUUAAGAACUCCCACGCUACUAAAAGAAAAGAGAAAAGAAAAAGGUUAGGAAUCCUAAUUUAUUCCCUUUGAGAAAAGUAAGUAGAUGCUAAAGCAAAGCUGAUUAAACCAGCAGCACCAUUCCAUUCACUACCGUCGUAUAUUCCAAAAUCCUCCGUUUGAGAAAAGUAGAUCCUAAAGCAAUGAUGGUUAAAUAAACUCCUGUAUAUUCCAGAAUCCUAAAAUUUUUUCCCUUUGAGAAAAGUAAGUAGAUCCUAAAGCAAUGAUGAUUAUAGCGUCCGAAGAAGCCUGAAAGGGAACGUAACUUUGUCGUACUUCACGUUGUCCACAAAGCAUUGAAGAUUCCCCCCACCCCCCCCCCCCUUUUUAGGGGAUAAUUUCAGAUGUCGCCUGAGGCAAGGCUCCCUUGAUUUGAUAUUUAUAAAAUAGAAAAGAAAUAUUGAAAUAAUUUAUUUAGAAUUUAUAAGAGAAUUUCAUUAAAAUAUUUAAGGGUAAAAUUGUCAUUUUAAAUGACAAGAGAGGUAUGUGUAAAUUUUUAAAUCUCAGAGAAGCUCAAUGAAAUUGUCAGAAACCUCAGGUGAGGUUUUUGAAAUUAUCCCUUUUUUUAUAAUUUCCGUAUUUGGAUUUUUUUUUUCUCAUUUGCUGCAUCAUUUCUUUUUAGGAAACAAAAACACGUACACUAUUCUAUUCUACUUGAUAUUCUACUUGAUAUGUCUAUAAAAUGUCUAUAAAAUGGAAAGAUCAUUCCAUGCAAACUGAUAUAAAAGAAAAUUUUACAUUCCAAUGUUUAGGAUACAAAUCAGAAUGGAUUGUCUAUUCUAUUUUUCAAUGUUAAGUAUAAUCGAUUUUUAGAUGUCAAAAUAGAAUAAUAUAUAUGUAUACAUAUAUAAUUGACUUAUUACCUAGAAAUCUAUUAUAGAACAUUACAUGUUUUUACUUUUGUCUUGUUUGUUUGUGCAAUACCUAUUUGUUUACCUUAUACAAGGAACUUUGACACGUACCUAUUUUUAGAUUGUGGAUGUCACAAGAAUCCAGGAUAAUUGAGUUUGGCUUCGCCAGUUUCUUGAUCCCACACUUGACCAGCUGCUCAAGAAAGUUGUUAGCCGAUUGGAUUGAAAUGUGGAAUAAUCAUCAAUUAAUUAACCAAUGCAUGCAUGAAGCAUCCAGAAGGGUUUAUCCCCAAAAAAUAAGAAGGUCGAAUGUAGAUGUAACAAUAAUAAUACCUGUAAGCAAUACUAUAUGGUUCUUUUUUCUUUUUUUUUCAAGAUAAUAUACUAACUACUACUUGAGGUUGUAAACUCUCACUUGUAGAGAACAAACAAAAUAUCACUUGCGUAUAUAUAUAUAUAUAUUGCCAAAUUCAUCCUUCCGAAACAUAUACUAUAGGUGGCAUUGAAUUGGCAUAGAAAAUAUGUCACCGAGGAUCCCAAGUGAUUUCCAUCAGAGUGGAAGAUAUUGUUGUUGUAUUGAUUGAUGGAGCAUAUCUACAUGUUUCCAAAAUAAUCAACUAAAUUGAACUAAAGAAACUAAUGGGGUGAAGAUGGUAUAUAGUUUAGUUUGUUCCCUAUUCAUUUUUCUUAAAGAAGGAAUGUGAAUGUUGUAUAACUUUAUGACCACAUUCAUCUAGCCUGAACAGAAGGAAACAGGAUAAUCAAUUUAAAUUAGUACGUGGUUAUAUUCUUUAACUAACUAUUAUGACAGAUUAUAAUACGUACAUGUAGAGUUGAUUCUUAUAGCCAGUAUACUAAUCAACUUAAUUCGUUUUUUUUUUGGCCAUAUAUGAUGACAGAAUAAAAAUUUGGACUUUUUUCUUUGGUAAAUAAUAUUUUUAAUGCACUUCUCUCUAUUGAACUUCUGAUAUGACAACUCAUAAACUAAUUUCCUUUAAAAGAAUACUUAAGUGGGAAAACCUUAAUGCACAAAUAUACUUGUACUAGUUUUACUUUAUCCUCUACUCACUUCUCUUCCCAUAGUGCCUGAUAUUUUGCUAAUGUGUUGCAGCCUGGUUAUCAUGUCAAGCCAGUUGGUCAUCAUUCUUUUUCUUGUCAAAAACUUGGCCAAAUUUCUGUACGCUUAUAUUCCAAUAACGAUGACAAAGAGCCAUUUCCUUCCGCUUUAUUAUCGUUGAGUGGUGAUGAUGGUUAUAGGAAUAAUUCAGUAACAGGAUUAGGGGGAACUUUUUUGUUCGGGAACUUAUUUCCAGGGAGCUUCUACCUCCGCCCUUUGUUGAAGGUACUACUCUGGUGGUUCUAUUACUGUCACUCUGGAUUAUCACUGAUAUUUUAAUGUGAUCCUUGAAUGAUGUUGCUAUUAUAUCCAACGAUGCCAUACAUACUGCUAUUGGGAGUCAACUUCAAGUGUAUAGUGAACUAAUAAUGAUUGAAGUAAUGUUGUUGCAGCAGUACCAAUCUGUUCCAAGUGGAACUCAUCUGUACCAUGCAGCUGAAAAGUAGUCUAAGGACUUAAAAACAGUUUUAACAUGAUGUACCAAAAAAAAAUUUUUUUUUUGUCUUGACAUAUUGUUAUUAUUUUCUGUAGGAGUAUGCAUUUUCACCUGCUGCACAGGCAAUUGAACUGGGUUCGGGUGAAUCCAGAGAAGUCGUCUUUCAUGCCACCCGUGUUGGUUACAGGUAUAUCCAGUUCAAGUGGUUUGUUUUGACUAUAUUUAAGCCUUAACUUUUGUCUCAUGCCAGUUGACUGAAAUACUUUCCAAGCAUCACAUGGAUCCUGCUCAUGCUUUAUGAGAAAAAUCAAACUUCUUGAUCCUAACAAAACUUCUCUUUUCAGCUGUGAUCCCUGGUGAUGACUCACAAUUUGUGUUGAUUUAAAAGUAGGCUUUAGUUUCUAUCUUAUCUUUUGUUUCUCGAAAGUUAGAUGUUUUCUUUAAAUCUGUUCUUAGAUUUUUCUUUUUCCUUUGAAAUCCUCUGUGAAAUGUAGCGUGUGAACCACUGGACUGUUGAUCCUUUGGUCUCAUGCUAUGCUUUGCAUUAACAAAUGAGUCCCUGGAGUUUUCAUGCCUCUAAAAUUUUAAUGAGUUGAGAUGUAAUCUUCUUUGAUACUCUUUAAUCCUGUUAAAAUGAUGUAGCUAAUAGCUUGCAAGAUGCAUGCUGAUGCCUCUUGCAGGUUGCGCUUUUGUUUAACAUAAAAAUGUGUUUUGCAGCCAAUGAAGUACUUCCUUUUUUAAAAUUGUUCUCCUCUUCUUGUGAAAUGGGUUGGCUCCUUUGUUGUUCGUCCAGCCGAUGGCUUGAUGUUCACAAGACACUGAAAAUAUAUCUACACAGUCAAAUUUGCGAUGCCUUCACGAGUUAUAGCAGAAUUAUGCUUCUUUGCAUCAAAUCGGUAGUUUGCUGGUUAUUAUUGCAGAUUUGCCUGAAGCCAUGCAUUGCAUCCAUCUAAUCUUUUUAAGUACCAUUUGUUUGUGUUACCGUGGGGUACAACUUGUUUUUAUGAUUAAGCAGAGUGUUGGUUCUGUUCAACAGUGGUUCUGCAUAUCAUUUCCAUGAAAAUCAGAUUUUCUUACAUAUGGGGUUGCUAUUUCUGCUUCCAUACAUAAUAUGGCACACAAUUCUCUUUCUACAGCAUUGGUUAAAAGUUGAAAUUAUAUGAUGAGAUGAUUGCUUUACAGUGCAAUGGGUGUGGUUACUCUCUUGUCUGGUCAGCCAAAAGAAGGUAUCUCCAUAGAAGCUCGGGCAGAGUCUAGAGGUUUUUAUGAAGAGGCAGUUACAGACUCAUCUGGAAGUUACCGUUUGAGGGGACUUCUACCUGAGACAACUUAUACCAUCAGAGUAGCAAAGAAGGGCAAGUUUGCUAGCGGCCGCAUUGAGCGUGCAUCUCCAGAGGAACUUUCCAUUAAGGUCAGUGGUAUAACUCAAGUGUGAACAUAUCCAAUUAUUUGUUGGAGCUGUUGACUAGGAAUUGGGGAUCACAUUUUUCAAUUUGCAUGAAAUAUUUUUUGAAAUGAAGUACCUUCAACACUGAUUACUCUUCCUGAAAGCAAUAAUGAAGUGUUAUAUACCCUUUCAGUUACUGCUUGGGGCUGUUGUAUGUGCAUACAUGUUUGUAGCACCUGUGAAAUAUUAUGAGAAAGCUAUGUGAUUCCUUUUUUAAGGAUAUUAUUAAAUGCUUUGGACCUGAUCUACUUCGAAAUUAUCUGGUAGUGGCGUUCUUCCACAUAUGUGCUUCUUGAUAGCAAUUUGUAUUAAAUCUAGUUCAUUCAUUUUGUGUAGGUUGAAUAUGAGGAUAUUAAGCAAUUGGAUUUUGUGGUUUUUGAACAUCCGGAGAUGACCAUUUUAAGCGGCCAUGUUGAGGGAAAGAGAAUAAAGGAACUACAUUCUCAUCUUCGAGUGGAAAUCAUGUCAGCAACUGAUCCAUUGAGGACAGAGGCUGUUUUUCCCUUGCCUUUGUCAAAUUUUUUUCAGGUGAAGGACUUGCCAAGGGGAAGGCACCUUGUGCAGCUUCAAUGUGUUCUACCAUCUACUACACACAGGUUAAGGUCUGAGGUUAUCGAGGUCGACCUAGAAAGACAGAGUAACAUACAUGUUGGUCCAAUCAAAUUUGAGGUUGAAGAGGAUCACCAGAAGCAGGUUCGUGCUCCCAUUAUAAAAUAUGUGGUUCAACCUUUAGCCGUGCCACUGUCCUUGUGAUGUGAAAUUCUUGGAUUAAUCAUAUGUUUGAUUUUGUUGACGAGUGUUGAGCGAGAGAUUUUAAUGCCAAUUGGGAUGUUUCAAGAUUCCUGAAUUUCCUUUGAUUGUGGAUGGAAUUCAAUGCUUACAAUUCCAUGUCGGACAUGCAGGAACUGACUGCAGCUCCUGUAUAUCCUUUAAUUGCCGGAAUUUCAGUGAUUGCGCUGUUCAUCAGUAUUCCAAGGUAGCUGGAAAAGUUUCUGGGCCUUCUCCUGAAGGUGUGUAAUUUUUAUAUUCGCACUUUGUAUUGUAUCAAUCAUACGUGCAUUGUGCUUGUAGAAUAAGGGACUUGCACCAGGCAAUAGCAGGAUUGCAACUCUCUGGAUCGACUGGAACUGUAAAGAAAGAUGCCAAAAGACUAAUACCAAGAAAGAAGACUUGGUGAAGACUUUAUGCUCUGGAAUCUUGUAGGGAGAUCCGAGCAAGGCUGACUUACUUUUCGGAGAUUAAUCCUGAAAAGCUGUGCUGGUUACAUGAGCGGUCUCAUGUUUGUGCGAAGAUAUGAAUUUUGUUAGAUGAGAAGAAUGUAACUUAUCAAAUAUUGUCAGGUACUUACUUGUAAUCGUCCUUUUUUUUUUUUUUCAAAGUAGGGAUAGGAAGGGAAGAGGAACUUUGUUAUUCGGUGUUUGAAUUGAUUUUUGAAGGGAAAGGAAGGAGAGGUAGGGGGAUAAGGUUAGUUGUUUUACACAUGUUUCAUUUCGGUGCGAAAGUGGAGGAAAACAGAGGAAAGGUUUUCGACUAAAAUAGUACAGUACUGUCUCAGAUGUUGUUGUGUUAUUACAGAGAGUUAUAUAGCAGUAGUAGUGUCUACUGCCUUUCCCUCUCCUCGCUGUCUUUUUGCCAGAAAACAUAUUUUUCUUUGCCUUUUUGUUGCUUUGGAUUAUGAAAACUUCUUUAUUGGAAUCUUCAUUUCUUUCCUUGAAUUCAUACGGGUGCAAAAGAUGUUUUAUUAUUGACUCCAAAAAACUUGGCACUUUGCUGUCGUCUACAAAUUGACAUGCCGCCUGAAGGCUUAAUGGCAGGCAGCUAGUUUGAUUUUGAAAAAUUGUUUUUGGUUAAUUAUUAAAUUGGUAAAAUCACAAGAACGUUUUGGUUGUCCAAAGAAAAGUAGCUCACCAACAACAAACACAAAAGGUUCUGCUACUGAGCUACACCGCCCACCGGUACUGAACUAAUCCACGGCAGGAAAGAAAAGAAGAGACAGCAAAAGUCAAAUAAAGAUACAGCAAAGUCAAGCAAUCCACAGCAGCAAAAAACAAAAACAAAAAAAACUUAAAGUAAAAUCCUCGACACUACCCAGUACCCACUGUAAUAGUAAUAGUAAUAAUCCUCACUCGUCUCAUCUUUUCUUUAGUAAAAACGAGUCAAACGCAAGAGCUAAGCAUCUAUGUGAGACCGACCCAUUUUUCCCCAAAACCCCCCAAACACCCAUCCCCGCCAUUUAUCCGUCGCCGUCGCCGUCCUCGUCCUCACCCUCCCCAUCAUCAUGGCCUCUUCUACUCCCCCACCCCACUGCGCGUUGACUACCUCUAAGCCCUACCAAUCCCACCACCCCCACCCCCACCCCACAGUCCACACCCUCACCGCCACCACCACCACCACCACCCCAAGGUCUCCUUGAACCACCACCGCGCCUCCCAACCUCUUCCUCACCCUCCCGCCGUCGCCAGGCCCCCUCCCCGCCGCUCUCUCCACCACCAACCCCCCCUUCUUUCCCUCAUCUCUCCUCCAACUCCGAACUCUCUGCCGACUUCUCCGGCCGCCGAUCCACCCGCUUCGUCUCCAAGAUGCACUUCGGCCGCCCCAAGUCCGCCUCCUCCUCCAGCCGCCACAGCUCCGUCGCCGAGGAGGCCCUCCUGCAGGCCGUUCGUUUCAGCGGCGACGACGCCCGCUUCGACAGCAUUCUCCUCGCUUUCGAGCCCAAGCUCUGCGGCACCGACGACUACACCUUCUUGCUCCGAGAACUCGGCAACCGAGGGGAGUGGUCCAUGGCCAUGAGGUGCUUCGACUUCGCCGUGGCCCGCGAGCGCAGGCGCAACGACCAGGGCAAGCUAGCCAGCUCCAUGAUCAGCAUCCUGGGUCGGCUGGGCAAGGUGGAUUUGGCCAAGAGAGUGUUCGACGACGCCGUCUCCCGGGGUAUGGAAACACCGUCUAUGCUUAUUCUGCCCUCAUAAGUGCGUAUGCCAAGAGCGGCCAUUGCGACGAGGCCAUUAGGGUCUUCGAGACCAUGAAAGACUUGAGCUUGAAGCCUAAUCUUGUGACUUACAAUGCUCUCAUCGAUGCCUGCGGGAAAGGGGGUGCUGGUUUCAAGAGGGCCUCUGAGGUUUUCGAUGAAAUGCUGAGGAACGGGGUGCAGCCUGACAGGAUUACCUACAAUUCCCUUCUCGCUGUUUGCAGCGGGGCAGGACUGUGGACACCGCGAGGUGCCUGUUUUAAGGAGAUGUUGUUCCGAGGUAUUGACCAGGAUAUCUACACCUAUAACACCUUCUCGACGCCGCCUGUAACGCGCGGCCACGUCGAUGCAGCUUUUGACAUUCAUGUCUGAGAUGCCCGCCAAGAAUAUCUCCCCCAAUCAGGUUACUUACAGUACCAUCAUCCGGGGUUGUGCCAAGGUGGGCAAAUUGGACCGGGCGCUGAAUUUGUUCCAUGAGAUGAAACAUGCUGGCAUGCGGUUGGACAGGGUGUCUUACAACACUUGCUUGCUAUCUAUGCUAGCUUGGCAGGUUUGAGGAGGCUCUCACCGUCGCUGAGGAGAUGGAGAGUAUGGGGAUCAAGAAGGACGUCGUGACCUACAAUGGCUUCUAGAUGGGUUUCGGCAAACAAGGGAUGUAUGACAGGUUAAGGAACUGUUUUCAAGGAUGAAAGCUGAUAAUCUUUCUCCUAAUUUAUUGACCUAUUCAACAUUGAUCAGCGUGUAUUCCAAAGGAGGCCUUUAUCGAGAGGCAAUUCAGGUUUAUAAAGAGUUUAAGCGCCAGGGGUGAAGGCGGACGUUGUUUUCUACAGCAAGCUCAUUGAUGCCUUGUGUAAAAAGGGCCUUGUUGGAUCAUCUGCGUUGUUACUUAUGAGAUGAUGAAUGAGGGCAUCCAACCUAAUGUUGUCACCUACAACUCUAUAAUUAACGCCUUUGGUUGGUCGAUGCGACGAAUAUCCUCUGCAGAGCGACCAACAGACUGAAUCCUCACUCUCAAUUGCUGCUGCUGCAAAUGUUGCUGAAAGCAAGCCAGACGCUGAAAACAAAGACAGGAUCAUUAAGAUUUUUGAGCAGUUAGCCACUGGUAAAUCAGAUUUUGACGAAUCUGUUAACAGGGGGCGGCAGGACUUUCUGUGUGUAUUGGGAGUUUUCCAAAAGAUGCAUGAGAUGGAAAUAAAACAAAUGUCGUCACGUUCUCAGCAAUUCUGAAGCCUGCAGGUAACGGCUUCUUGCUUCUUGUUCAUCCUGUAGUCAUUCCUAAAUUUUGGGGAGUCCUGUAGUUAUUUCUUUUGUAGGGAAAGCUUUCAAAACUUUCCUUGGUUGCAGCCGCUGUAAUUCAUUUGAGGAGGCUUCAGUGUUGUUAGAGGAACUGCGUCUGUUUGAUAAUCAUGUGUAUGGAGUAGCGCAUGGACUUCUCAUGGGUCAUGAUGAGAAAGUUUGGAUGCAAGCUCUUUCCCUUUUUGACGAAGUGAUGCAGAUGGACACUUCUACUGCAUCUGCCUUCUAUAAUGCUUUGACUGACAUGCUGUGGCAUUUUGGUCAGGUAACUUCUUGUUACUGCUGCUGCUACUACUUUUUUUGCUGGAAUCCUAUUGUUAUCCAAAAGUCAUAUGUAACCUGGGUGCCAAGUUUUUUGGUAGGCCUACACACACACAGACACACACACCCUCAAAAAAAAAAAAAAAAAUCGUCAUUUUGGAGUAUUACUUCUCGGAAAAGUUGUUAUCGUAUAGUAGAGUAUACUGGUAGCUUUUGCUAUUGGUUGGUUAAUAAUUAAUUGCCAAGUGAGAAAAUUUAAGUAUCAUAAGUCAACAGUACAAUGGGUAAUGUUUUAUCAAACCUCUAAUUUGGUAUGGUAGGUUGCACUGACACGAUCAACACUCGUUAAUAGUAAGUAGUACUUCUCUCUGAUUUAUGGGGACACUUGUAAUACUCGGAACUUUCCAAUCAACUGUUGACAUGAAAAUGUCCGUCCUGUGCUUGUAUUUAAUUUUCAUACCAGCGAAGAGGUGCUCAGCUGGUGGUGCUGGAGGGCAAACGUCGACAAGUGUGGGAAAGUACGUGGUCUAAUUCUUGCUUGGAUUUGCAUUUGAUGUCUUCCGGUGCUGCACGGGCAAUGGUUCAUGCCUGGCUGCUCAAUAUACGCUCCUGUCGUUUUUGAAGCCAUGAGCUACCAAACUUAUAAGGUAGUAUUUUUAUUUCCUUGGCAAAAAGCACGACUUAGUGCAUCCAAGAGGGGAGUGAAUAGGCAGGGGAGGGCAGCCCCAUGCAAGUAUAUUAUGUUAAUCUUUGUCUUUGCUUAUCUGAGUUAAGAAAGGGAAAUUGAUUCGUGUGAUGAUGCAGCAUUUUGACGGGAUGGGGCAAGCACAGCAAAGUCGUCGGUGAUGGUGCCUUAAACGCGCUGUUGAGGCACUGCUUAACGGCAUGGGGCGCCUUUCCGUGUUGCUAAGUGCAAUAUUGGAAGGUUUAUAUCAACAGGAGCCGUGGUGGCUUCAUGGUUGAGAGAAUCAGGCACCCUGAAAGUUCUUGUUCUUCAGGAUGACAGAGUCCAUCCAGAAGCCUCCAGGUUUGAUAAUGCUUCUGGCUUAGAACCACUUCCUUUGUAGCUCUGUUUAGUUUAGUUUCUUGUGUGUAACUAGGGUUUUGCCCAGCCAGCCAUCCAUCCAUCCAUCAUCUUGUGCAGUCGUGUAAAUCAAAGUUGUAAGUAGCUUCCUACCGCCCCGCCCCCGCCCCACCUGGUAGUUUUUAGGUUCGAUGGGUCCUAUCCUAUUUUGUGGACUGUAGCCAUGGAAUGAAUAUGGCCAUGGCAUGGUGGGUUUCCAGUAGAAUCUUGUUGGGAUUUUGGUCAGGGAAAGAUUCCCUCCUCCUUGUAAACCAACAAGCACGGACCGGCCUGUCCACCCUUCAGCCGGCGCCGGCAUGUGAUGAUUCGGUGCGCUUGUGUACUAGUGUAUUUUUUGAGGUCUAUUAUGAAUGGAAUUGAAUGACCCAACAGUCUUUGCGAGGGAUAUGAUGAUGGUGGUGUUUUUGCUUUUUCGAGGGACAUGUGAUGCAUCCACACAUCUCUCUUUCUUUCGAAGCCCAAAGAGCUUACGAUCAAUUUUUACAAAUCUAAACCCCGAGAAAUCCAAAAGUCGGUAUCACACAUCUUUCUUGGCUGCUACAUAAUACUAAUAAAAUAAUGGGUGGGAUAUAUGAAUGACAUCUAUUUGGGGGAUUUUAUUAAUUAGUAGACGAGAACUAUUAAUAGCAAUUAGUUAUUAAGUAGUAGAACGAGAAAACCAGAAGAUGAAUGAGUAUUGUAAUGCGAUGGUUCAGAACAACAAAUGAUACGAGUAGCAUGUACUAGUGUUACCUGAAAAAGAGGUCUGGUCUGCACUCCAUUAUCUAAGGCUUAAGAACUCCCACGCUACUAAAAGAAAAGAGAAAAGAAAAAGGUUAGGAAUCCUAAUUUAUUCCCUUUGAGAAAAGUAAGUAGAUGCUAAAGCAAAGCUGAUUAAACCAGCAGCACCAUUCCAUUCACUACCGUCGUAUAUUCCAAAAUCCUCCGUUUGAGAAAAGUAGAUCCUAAAGCAAUGAUGGUUAAAUAAACUCCUGUAUAUUCCAGAAUCCUAAAAUUUUUUCCCUUUGAGAAAAGUAAGUAGAUCCUAAAGCAAUGAUGAUUAUAGCGUCCGAAGAAGCCUGAAAGGGAACGUAACUUUGUCGUACUUCACGUUGUCCACAAAGCAUUGAAGAUUCCCCCACCCCCCCCCCCCCUUUUUAGGGGAUAAUUUCAGAUGUCGCCUGAGGCAAGGCUCCCUUGAUUUGAUAUUUAUAAAAUAGAAAAGAAAAUGUUGAAAUAAUUUAUUUAGAAUUUAUAAGAGAAUUAAGGGUAAAAUUGUCAUUUUAAAUGACAAGAGAGGUAUGUAUAAAUUUUUGAACCUCAGAGAAGCUCAAUGAAAUUGUGAAACCUCACGUGAGGUUUUGAAAUUAUCCCUUUUUUUUAUAAUUUCCUUAUUUGGAUUUUUUUUUCUCAUUUGCUGAUCAUUUCUUUUUAGGAAACAAAACACGUACACUAUUCUUUCUACUUGAUAUGUCUAUAAAUGUCUAUAAAUGGAAAGAUCAUUCCAUGCAAACUGAUAUAAAGAAAAUUUUACAUUCCAAUGUUUAGUAUACAAAUCAGAAUGGAUUGUCUAUUCUAUUUUUCAAUGUUAAGUAUAAUCGAUUUUUAGAUGUCAAAAUAGAAUAAUAUAUAUGUAUACAUAUAUAAUUGACUUAUUACUAGAAUCUAUUAUAGAACAUUACAUGUUUUUACUUUUGUCUUGUUUGUUUGUGCAAUACCUAUUUGUUUACCUUAUACAAGGAACUUUGCACGUACUAUUUUUAGAUUGUGGAUGUCACAAGAAUCCAGGAUAAUUGAGUUUGGCUUCGCCAGUUUCUUGAUCCCACACUUGCAGCUGCUCAAGAAAGUUGUUAGCCGAUUGGAUUGAAAUGUGGAAUAAUCAUCAAUUAAUUAACCAAUGCAUGCAUGAAGCAUCCAGAACGGUUUAUCCCCCAAAAAUAAGAAGGUCGAAUGUAGAUGUAACAAUAAUAAUACCUGUAAGCAUAUAUAUGGUUCUUUUUUUUUUUUUUUCAAGAUAAUAUACUAACUACUACUUGAGGUUGUAAACUCUCACUUGUAGAGAACAAACAAAAUAUCACUUGCAUAUAUAUAUAUAUAUAUAUAUUGCCAAAUUCAUCCUUCCGAAACAGGACACUUGACACAAUACUAUAGGUGGCAUUGAAUUGGCAUAGAAAAUAUGUCACCGAGAAUCCCAAGUGAUUUCCAUCAGAGUGGAAGAUAUUGUUGUUGUAUUGAUUGAUGGAGCAUAUCUACAUGUUUCCAAAAUAAUCAACUAAAUUGAACUAAAGAAACUAAUGGGGUGACGAUGGUAUAUAGUUUAGUUUGUUCCCUAUUCAUUUUUCUUAAAGAAGGAAUGUGAAUGUUAUAUAACUUUAUGACCACAUUCAUCUAGCCUGAACAGAAGGAAACAGGAUAAUCAAUUUAAAUUAGUACGUGGUUAUAUUCUUUAACUAACUAUUAUGACAGAUUAUAAUACGUACAUGUAGAGUUGAUUCUUAUAGCCAGUAUACUAAUCAACUUAAUUCGCAUACGAUUAUGAUACGGAGACAGAUUAGGCGAGAUUACGCAUUUAAUAAUAACCUCCCUACUAACUAUAUAUUAUUAGAGAGUACCAAUUAGUUAAUGACAUUAAAAUACUUGAUAAUUGUUUAAUCCCCGUAAGGAAAUAAUACGCAUAAAAAAAAAAUACAAUACGGAUACUACAAUCGAGGAGUAAGUAGUCAGCAUGAUAUGAUACGAUGCAUCCUUGGAUUGAUCGGGUGUGCUUGUGCGAUCGUUUUCAGGGAAUAUCUGAGAAUUCCAAGUCAAUUAAUUUCCCGGGGUUGGGAGAACCACAUGUCCUGUGGUGAGCGGCAGUUGUAUUGUACGGAGUACUGGGCAAUAUCCGAAUCUUAAAUGGAUAAUUUCAGAAAUCUCCCUUGAGAUUAUUAGCAAUUGCAUUCAGCUCCCUUCAAUUUUUAAAAAUCUGACUUAGCUCUCUUAUUUGGAAUGUUUAUAUAGCGUGUAAGCCCAAAUUAAAAAAAUAUAUAUGAAUAGAAAAUUAAUCGUUGAAGAGAGAAUCUAAUUUGGGGCAAAAAAAAAAAAAAAUGCCCUUACUAAUUGUUGCAACCAUUUGUUUUGACAAACUUUUAAAUGAAUUAAAACUUGGCAAAUAAAAAGCAAAAGUCUGGAGGUAAAUUUCAAAAAUAUGUAGCAGAUGCAUUAGCAAAGUUUAGAUGAUCAGAUUAACCAGCAGCUAAAUUUGCAAAGUAACUCAACUAAAUAUAAAAGGCCAAAAUAAAAAACUUUAAAAAAAUUAAGUCAUUUGAGUUUGGAGGAGAAAUUUGCACCAAUUUGUUGAAGACAAUUCGCCACACAUUUUUUAGGAAUUGUUAAUUUUGUGUCAGGGGAGAUAUGUGAGAUUUUCAGAAGUUGAUGGGAGACAUGCGAAAUUGUCAAAAACCUCUUGAAAUUAUCCAAAUGUUAAAAAGAAGAAUUCAAACCAAUAAAAGAAAAGAAUAAUCCAUAAAGUGGCACCCGCACCCGCACCCGCACCCGCAGAAAACAGAUGAAACCACCCAAAAAGAAAGAACGCGGGCCAGUUUCAUCAUCUCCAACCGCCCAACCUCUUAACUGGACACCCGGCCAGCCGUCAUUCCUUCCCGCACAAAACAAGCACCAUCAUCAUGCACAAAACAAAAACACAUCAUCAUGCAUAGCAUAGCUUUGUCUGCCUCUAUAUAAACCUGCUGUGCGCUUCUCCUCCCUUUCAUUCUUCGUCCGUAAGUUGAAUCUCUCUAUGAACUCAACCAGCCACUACUUAAUCUCUUCGUUUCGAUCGUUUGCCAUUUGUACUCGCUCCUUUUUAAGCAUAGGAAACUUUUUACAUAUUUUCUCCGUCGAUUGUCGAUCAAAGAACAGCUCCUCGUUUCUCUGCCAGUCCCCGCGUCAGAAUACUACUCCUGCUCCGGCCUUCUCAAUCCGAAAUAAGAUAUAGCGCCUAGUAAAAUCCUUUGUCCUGUCCAAUCUCACCACAACAAAACGCGGUCGUUAUAUCUCAAUCUGUGUCCCUGUCUUUGUUUUCUGAUUUCUCAGCACACGUGAUGGCACCCCCAAACGAUCCCGUCAAUCCAAUCUUCAAUGUCCUGAAAUGCAACAAGGACGACUGGUUUGAUCUCUCGGAUGGCAAGCUUUUGGUUAACAGUGUGCCGCUACUUUUUGAAGUCCCAGGCAACGUCACUCUGAAGAGUUUUUCGUCAAUAUCCAAAUCCCCCUCGUCCUCUUCCGCCGGUGCACCCCGUCCCCUGUAUCAGCGAGUGCUGAAAUCUUCCCACAAGGGUGGCUUCCUGGGUUUUAGUAAGGACCAAGCAUCAUCCUCGGACAGGUUGAUGAACUCCCUAGGCAAGUUCAGUGGCAGGGAUUUCCUCAGCAUUUUCAGGUUCAAGACUUGGUGGUCCACUCAAUGGGUCGGAAGCUCCGGCUCCGACUUGCAGAUGGAAACCCAGUGGGUGCUCUUGGAUGUGCCCGAGAUAAGAUCAUACGUGAUCAUUAUUCCGAUAAUUGAAGGGAAAUUCAGGUCCGCGCUUCACCCAGGAGCUGACGGCCAGGUGAUGAUAUGUGCAGAAAGCGGUUCCACUCAGGUCAAGGCGUGGUCUUUUGACGCCAUCGCUUACGUUCACGCGUCUGAGAAUCCCUACGAGUUGAUGAGAGAGGCUUACGCUGCGGUUCGAGUCCAUCUCAAUACCUUCAAGCUCUUGGAAGAGAAGUCAGUCCCACCCAUCGUCAAUAAAUUUGGAUGGUGCACUUGGGAUGCCUUCUACUUAACCGUAGACCCGCGGGCGUCUGGCACGGGGUGAAGGAAUUUGCCGACGGAGGACUCCCCCCAAGGUUUGUAAUCAUUGACGACGGCUGGCAAAGUAUCAAUCUGGAUGGCCAGAGCCCCAGGAGGAUGCGAAAAAUCUCGUCCUGGGAGGGACUCAAAUGACGGCCAGGCUGCACAGGCUGGACGAAGGUGAGAAAUUCAGGAAGUACAGAGGGGGGUCGAUGUUGGGUGCUAAUCGUCCUCGUUUUGACCCGAAGAGGCCAAAGAAGUUGAUUUCGAAGGCCAUCGAGAUAGAGCAAGCUGAGAAGGCUCGCGACAAGGCUGGGGCCGCUUCUGAGUUAUGGGAAUUGGAGUCUCGUAUAGAGAGAUUGAAGAAUGAGUUGGAGGAGAUGUUCGGGGGAGAGGAGGAGGUGGAGCCGGAGGAGGACAAGAAGUCACGUGGAAGCUGCUGCCGCUGCUCGUGCCGGGAAUCGGAGUCGGAGAAUUUGGGAAUGAAGGCGUUCACGGGGACUUGAGAUCAUGCUUUAAAGGGUUGGACGACAUCUACGUGUGGCAUGCCCUGUGUGGAGCAUGGGGAGGGUGAGGCCCGGAACCACCCACUUGGAGUCCAAGGUCAUUCCAUGCAAGACUUCUCCAGGGCUCGAUGGAACCAUGACCGAUCUGGCAGUGGUCAAAAUUGUGGAAGGUGGAAUUGGGCUGGUCCAUCCUGAUCAAGUCCAUGACUUCUACCACUCCAUGUACUCUCACUUGUCCCAAGCUGGAAUAACGGGGGUCAAAGUGGACGUCAUUCACGUAAGUGGUAGCAGAAAUUUAUUACAAUUUUGCUUUCUUUCUUCUUCGACGAUGCAUGAUCCUCGUACUCACGGUGCAUGAUGGUGAUCAGACGCUGGAAUACGUGUGCGAGGAAUACGGAGGACGGGUAGAACUUGCAAAGGCUUACUAUGACGGAUUGUCGAAGUCACUGGCGAACAACUUCAAUGGCACCGGUCUCAUCUCCAGCAUGCAGCAGUGCAACGACUUCUUCUUGCUGGGAACACGUCAGAUAUCCUUCGGAAGAGUCGGUAAGGGCCGGAUUCCAUUCUCGACCCGAUUUUCUUUCAGUGCAUUAUUUAUUCACUAGCUGGUGACUGACUGGUAGAGGUGAAUGGAAUAAUGGAGUAUGUUUAAUUUUUUUUUAAUAUUAAAAUUAAAAAAAAAAAGAAGCAAAAUUCUACCAAAGCUCUCUCUCUCUCAAUGAAUUUCAUUGGAAUCCAUGUAGACGUAUUAUUAUUAUCAUCGCUUUGGCUUCGUGGUACGUGGUGGAAGACUGGAAGCAGUUACAGUAGUACUAGUAUCUGCUUACGCCCUGAUUUCUUUUGAUUAUAUAAGUAAAUGUUAAGUUACUGAAAAGAAAAAAAAAAGGUUGCGCACUGAUUUGAUUGAUUGAUUGAUUGAUUGAUCGAUCGCUGGCUGAUGAGGCAGGGGACGAUUUCUGGUUCCAAGAUCCAAAUGGUGAUCCCAACGGGGCGUACUGGUUACAGGGCGUUCAUAUGAUCCACUGCGCCUACAACAGCAUGUGGAUGGGUCAGAUGAUACAACCCGACUGGGACAUGUUCCAGUCGGAUCAUCUGUGCGCAAAAUUCCACGCAGGCUCCAGGGCCAUCUGCGGGGGACCCGUUUACGUGAGCGACUCCGUAGGGGGUCAUGAUUUUGACCUCCUGAAGAAGCUGGUCUACCCCGACGGUACCAUUCCUAAGUGCCAGCAUUUCGCUCUUCCAACCAGAGACUGCCUCUUCAAGAAUCCACUCUUUGAUGGAAAGACCAUUCUCAAGAUCUGGAACUUCAACAGGGUACUCUUCUUGACUCCUCAUCAAUUUGAGCAAUUUAGGAGGAGUAAAAAAAGCUUAAACUGGAAUUUUUAUAAUUUUGAUUGGUUGGUGAUGCUUUGACAGUUUGGAGGCGUGAUUGGCGCAUUCAACUGCCAAGGAGCUGGUUGGGACCCCAAAGAACAGAGGAUCAGGGGUCACUCCGAGUGCUACAAGCCCAUGUCCGGUUGGGUUCACGUCGCCGAAAUUGAAUGGGAGAAACCAAGGAAGCCUCCGAAAUGGGCGAGGCACAGGAAUACGCGGUCUACCUAAGCCAGGCCGGGAAAUUAUUCUUGACCAACCCCGCUUCUCCUGCAGCUGAAAUCACGAUCGAACCUUCCUCCUUCGAGAUUUACAGCUUUGUUCCCACCAAGGAGCUUGGUCUUGGUGGGGGCACCAAAUUCGCCCCCAUCGGCCUCACCGACAUGUUUAACAGCGGAGGGACCGUUCGGGCCCUGGAGCAUAAGGACUCGGGCGUCGUGGAUGUUGAAGUUAAGGGCGGAGGGAAUUUCUUAGCCUAUUCUAGCGUGCCGCCGGAGAAGUGUUACUUGAGCGGCGCUGAAACUGGAUUCCAGUGGUCGGUGAGGAGGGGAAACUUAUGGUCAACGUGGAAUGGAAUGAGGAGGCUAAUGGGAUUUCUCACCUCACUUUUGUUUAUUGAGUCACAAAGUCUUAAAUUAUAUUUUAUUAUUUUCCUAGUACAUAUAAUAUAUUAGUACUACUAGCAUGUAUGUAAAUUCCCCCCCCCCCACCCCCAAAAACCCCAAGCCAGUACUCUUUGUUUAACUUUGCCUUCUCUUUUUAUUUUAUUUGGUGUCCUGUCCUGCUUGCAAGCUGCAAAUUUGAGCAUCGUAACGCAAAUUUGAGCAUGUUCAUAUGAAUAAUGAGUAAAGUUUGAGGUUUUUUUUUCUUUGUAAAAAAUUUUUAAAAAAAAAUUCCGAAGCUCUUAAAUUUAUUAUGGAGUAAAUUUUGUGGUGUUUGUCGGCGCUGCGCUGCUUAUCUGAAUGAUGGAUUAUGUGUAUGAAUGUUGGUCCCGCGGAAAAAAGAAUUAAAAGAGCCGUCCGACAAGACAAAGAGCUCUUUAACUUAAAAAGACCACCUGGACCGGAGAUGCUACUGCAUCUACAACAUUCCAUCAAUCAUCGAAUCUAAAAAAAAAAAAUGGAUGAGGCGCUUUCAAUUCGUGGCCUUCCUCUUUUGUACGUAACCUGUAGGAAAAGGAUUGGGGUCGGUGGAGUCCUAUCCCUAUCCCCAGGGACGGAGCCAGAAAUUUAUUUUUGGGGGCUGAAGUGUAUUAAAAAUUUUUUUUGUGACGAAAUAAAUAUAUUUAAUAAGUAAAAUUUAGAAUCAAUAAUUAUAAAAAUAAUAAAAACAUAUAAUUAUACAUACCCAAAAAUUUGUUAUUGAUUAACACUUGAAGUAUUGGUAGUUGUUGCACUCGAAUAACGAAGAGGAGGCAAUUGCAUUCUGCGAGUCUUCAUCCGUUGAAAACGCUGCAAUAUUUGCUCAUUUUCAAUUGUUGCAAAAAUAUCCUUCUCGAUGUAUACAACCAGACAGUCAUUCAUCCACUCGUCUCCCAUUUUGUUGCGCAAAUCAGUCUUGACAAUAUUCAUUGCAGAAAAUACUCUUUCAACAGAAGCAGUCGCAACUGGUAGAACUAAUGCCAACUGGAUCAGACGAUAAACCAAUGGAAAAACUGUAUUUUUACCAGUUUUAACCAUUUGUUGAGCAAGACUUCCCAAAUCUCCAACUUCUGAAAAUUGAGGAUCGCGUUGCACAUUAUAAAUAUAAUUUCGAAGUUGAGACUCAAGAUAUAAAUAAUCGUUACUUGAGAAGUCUUCAGGAUAUAAAUCAGCAAGACGGAGUAGUUUCUGCACAUUGAAUUGAGAGAAAGAACUUUUUGGAUCAAGACAUGCUAUGCAACUAAGCAAUUCCGUGCUAACUUCCGAGAAACGAUUAUUCAUCUCUUGUAUAAUUAAAUCAACAACCUGACAUCACAACAAUAAUAAAAUUAAUAACUAAGAAAAUCUGCUAACAAGUAACAAAUGUAAUGAAAUAAUAAUUUCAAAAAUAAUACCUCACAAAAAAUUUCCACGCGAUAAUGAUGAAAAUUAGUGAUGGUUUGACCUCUGCGACUGCGCCUGGCAUUGCCACGGAUUGCUAUACUGUCUUCCAUAUCAAUCACGGGAAUCAUAUUCAACUCACAAAAAUUGUUGACUUCAUCUAAAAUUAUUUGCCAUCCCUCUUCCCUAAAGUCUUGCAAUUGAGAUUUCAUAGUAUCAAUCAAACUCAUGGCUUGGACAAUAUUUUGAUCCCUUUGUUGCAAAACAAGUGACAAGUCAUUUGUGAUUCCCAAUAAAUACUUCAUCAGGUGCAAUGCAAAAACAAACUCAUAAUCAUUCAUUCUAUCAAUCAAACCCCUGGCCAUACCUCUAUUGUCAGAAGUGGUGGCAUCAUCUUGUAUAUUUCCCAAUAUUCCAAUCACCGAAGCCCACAUAGAGGAUAGACGAAGUAAUGUUAGAUAGUGUGAUCCCCAACGAGUAUCCCCUGGUCUUGCUAAACUAGUUUCUUGAUUUUUGCCUUUUCCACUAAUAAUAUCUCCACUGUCUAAAAGUGUAACAAUCUUAUCAUGUUCUAUUUGUCUUAAUUGAUCUCUCCUUUUACAUGAUGCUCCAGUUAAAUUGACAAUCAUAGAGACAUAGACAAAGAAUUCACUGACAAUGAUAUUUCCCUUAGCAACAGCAACAAUAACUAACUGGAGUUGGUGAGCAAAACAGUGAAUAUACAUCGCAUAGGGAUUUUCUUGUAAUAUAAGGGCCUUCAAACCAUUGAACUCACCUCGCAUAUUUGAAGCUCCAUCAUAUCCUUGACCUCUCAAUUUGGAUAAUGAUAAUCCGUGUUGCGCGAAUAAAGAAUCAAUUGCAUCUUUCAAACAAAGAGAUGUGGUGUCAGACACAUGUACAAUUGCAAGGAAACGUUCAAUCACACGCCCUUCUUUGUUCACAUAUCUCAAAACAACUCCCAUUUGCUCUUUCACUGAACUGUCUCGAGACUCAUCAACUAUUAGGGAAAAAUAAUUGUCUCCAAUAUCAUUGAUUAUAACACUUGUGAUCUCUGAGGCACAAGCAUGUGCCAGAUCUUUUUGAAUCAUUGGAGAAGUUAGUUGAUUAUUUGCAGGAGCAUUUUGAUUUACAACCUCAAAAAUCUCAGUAUUUCGCUGGCUAUACCACUCAAACAAUUCAAGAAAAUUGCCUCUAUUUGAAGAACUAGUUGACUCAUCAUUUCCACGAAAAGCCAAUCCUUGCUUCAAAAGAAAGCGGGUCACAUCCAGAGCAGCAGUUAAACGGGUGCGAUAUGCAAUAUCUAUUUCGCGCCCACAAGAUCGUAGCACAUUUGACACACUAUGCCUUUGAUCUUGAAAACUUUCAAACUGUAUUCUAGCAUCAUUAUGGCAACUAUUCACAGCUCCAAUAUGUUCAUUAAAUCUUUCCAUUGCCUUUUUCCAAUUAUUGAAUCCCGUUUUUGUAAAGGCAUCCUCUGCAUAUCGACCUCCCUUAUUUUGUGUUUUGAAAAGAAAGCACCAAAAGCAAAACGCCGCAUCUUUCGAUAUGCUAUACUCUAACCAUACAAACUUUUGAUACCAACUAUCUUGGAAACUUCUAUGUUGUUUACCAAAUGAUGUUUUUGGAUACAUAUGGCCAAUCGGUUGGCAAGGUCCCCUAGUCAAAUACUCUCUUCGGACAUGGUCUCGAAGAGAAAUAUCAAAUUUCUCAACUGAUUUUCGUAAUCCCGGAUCACUAACAAUAUCAUUUAAAUUCAAUUCCACACAAGAUUGAUUUUGAACUGGUUCACUAAUAUUAGGCUCAUUUGAAGAUUCACCACUACGGACUCAUUUAGGUUUAAAGAAUCUCUCCAUUUUCUGUCACAAUUAAAUAAUUGUGGUUAAAUUCAAUAAAAUUAUGCAAUUCAAUAAUCAAUUAAUUUAAAAUUCAUAUAAAUAAUUCUUUAAUUUAAUAAUAAAUUCAUAUUACUUAUAUUUCUCAAUUUAUAAAAUUCAUUAUAUAAAAUUAUCAAAAAGUUAAAAUAAGGUACAACUAAAUACCCAUAUAAUCUCUAAUUCAAUCUCAUAAAAUUUUGAAUUUAUAUUUACAUUCAAAAUUUCUAAUUCACAUAAUUAAUUCUUAAAAUUUCAAAUAUAAAACUAACAAAAUUUUAAAAACUAAAUACAACCUAAAAUCUAUACAAUUUCUAAACUAAUUUCUAAUUUAAAUUUAAUAUCAUUAAAUUUUUUAAUGUAAUCUUUCAAAUUCUUAAAUUACAUUAACAUAAACUAAAUAAAAAUUAAUCUUAAUCAAAUUAAUAUCAAGAUACUCAAAAUUCAAAAAUAAUUUAAGCAUAUAAUUAACAAAAAUAUAAAGAUGAAUAUUGUAAUUUAAACCAAAAAACUAACCUAAAAGAUUUAUGUGAAUGGAAUGGUGGAGAGUUGGAGUCUUGGAGCCUUGAAUUGAAGGCUUGAAGCAGGAUGGUAGAAUCUCAACUGAACCUUCUUGGAGUUCUUGGAGCCUGGCGUCUUCUUCUUGGAGUUGGAGUCUUGUUUGCCCUUUGGCACUGGCGGCGUGCUUUUGCAUCAGUGAUGUAUUUUUUUUCCCCCUCAUUAUACAAAACGACGUCGUUCCACUAAAAGUGAAACGACGUCGUUUUGUAUUUAGAGGGCAAAAAAAAAAAAUCAAAAUGAAAUGGGUCAUCUUCUUCCUCAGCAGUCAGCACGGCAGCGGCUUUCCAGCUCUUCUUCACUUCCUCUGCAGCAUUCAUGGAGCCAUGGAGGAUGGUAGAUCUGGAUCACCGUGGGGGGGCUGGGCUGGGCUGGGCUGGCCGCCGGAAUCCCCUUCUAUAUAGGGGGUUUUCCGGCGGCUUGGGGGGGGCUUAAGCCCCACCAGCCCCCCUUAAAUCCGUGGCUGCCUAUCCCAUUCCUGUGUGUUUGGAUUGUAAGUUAUUUGAGAUAUUUUUACUAUAGCACUUUUUGUGAUGUGAUGUAUGUGAGAUAAAAAGGUAAUUGGAAAGAUAAAAAGGUGUAUUAGAAAUUGUAAUGGUGAUGUAAGCAAAUAUAUUUGGACAAAUAACUUACAAUCCAAACACACUCAGUAUUUUUUACUCUUUUAAUCUCAUGAUGCUUAGCAAAUUAUAACACAGGUAUUCACUCCAGCGCAUUGUGCAGCUUCUCCCUAGUGUUCAUAUGAAUAAUGAGUAAAGUUUGAGUUUUUUUUUCUUUGUAAAAAUUUGUAAAAAAAAAAAAUUCCGAAGCACUUAAAUUUAUUAUGGAGUAAAUUUUGUUUGUUUGUUGGCGCUGCGCUGCUUAUCUGAAUGAUGGAUUAUGGGUAUGAAUGUCGGUCCGCGGAAAAAAGAAUUAAAAGAGCCGUCCGGCAAGACAAAGGGCUCUUUAACUUAAAAAGACCACCUGGACCUGCUACUGCAUCUUCAACAUUCCAUGAAUCUGAAAAAAAUGGAUGAGGCACACUUUCAAUUCCUCUUUUGUACGUAACUUGUAGGAAAAGGAUUAACGCAUUUUACUUUUGAUUAAGAUUCUCAUUCUUUGAGAAUUCAUUCUGUGGUAAUAGUGCCAUAUAAAUGCAAUAAAUCCCCUUCAACUUACGUAUUCUAUCAUACUCAAAAUAGAAAUUUUCAGAGGAAGACGGCAACUCCGCCAAAUUGUCUAGCUUUUGCAUAUGUUUUUGUUCGGCCGAGGGGCAUACAAAUUGUUUCAAGUCGAUGAUAUUCAUGAGAUCAUGUGAGUCGUACAUAAUCGGACACAAAAUAGGUCAUCCGGCUCGAUCGAUGAUUGCAGUUGAUUGAGAAUAUUGAGAAGAGAGGUGGCACAAUUUUAACUUUCAGGGAGGCAAAGUGAAAAAAGACGAAAGUUGCAGCCCUUAUACUGGAUUUCAGUUACACAUACGUAUUGAGGAUUUUAUUUUUUUUUAUUUAUUUAUUGUGGGAUAGAUAAGGAUCACAAAAUCGCUUCGACGAGUCGAGAAUCGGUUGUCCUCCUUGUUUGGUCUGGUCACCAUCGACCGACCAUUUGACGUAGAUGAUAAAUAAAAGAGCUCUUCAACUCCCAUAUUUGAUUAGUAACUGUAAUUAACUGACAGCCCUCUUUGAGCAACGUGUCGUCAAUUAUUUAUUUUAUUUAUUUAAAGAGUCAAGACGUGUCCAACCAACCAACCAACCAACUCAACUGUGCUAGGAACGAACAAUGAAUCAUCAAAAAAGAAUAAAGAGUAGUCCAUCACCGUCAGACUCCAAACUGCAAGUAUUCGUGGGCUCUCACCACCUCCACGAUGCGAUAAUGAAACAUUCGGCCGACAGAAACUGAGGCUUUUCGUUAUUAUUUUUAUCAAAAUUUAUUAUUUUUAUUUAUCAUAUUUUUUUAUAAUUGUUAAAAUAUUAAAUAUUUCAAAAUUUAACGUUUCGUGGAGACCGCCAUCAAUAUAUAUAGCGAGACAAAGUGUGGUGCAAGUGACCGCGACCGGAGACGUUCUGUUGAAAAAAUGAUACAUGCGCAUUCGCGGAUUUGCCGACGUUCUGUUGGAAAAAAAAAAAAAAAAGCAAGUGGAGUAGUAGUUAGCUCAAGAUAUAGAGCGUUAUCACUUCAAGUUGAUCAGAAUUUGGUCAAUUUGAAGCAGUGGUAAGAGGGAAGAGUACUAGUAAGCAAGGUUUGUAAAAUCGGGAUCCUAAGGAUCGAUUUUAGUUUCACAGGAUCGGAAAAUCGUAAAAUCCUACCAAAAGUUCCUAAUUGCAAUUAAAGGUUGCAAUUCUUUGAUAAAUUACAAAUAUACCACAAAUAUUUUCAUUUACUUGUAAAAUGGAGCUUCGUAUAUCAUAAAUUUACAAAAAAAUUGUAGGAUCCUACCGAUCCUACCGAUUCUGCUACGAUUCUAUGCGAUCCUACAGAAAUUAAUAUGAUUUGCGACUCUGAAUACGAUCCGAAUCGAUUUUGGUUAUCCGGAUCGUAGGAUCGUACGAUCCUACGAUUCGGAUCGCGAUUUUGACAACUAUGCUAGUAAGUAAGUAAGUACACUUACUACUCCACCCAAACCAAAAGGCCUUUUUGAGCAAAAGGUAAUUUGUUCAUCCUUAAAUUAGCAGCAGAAGCUUCUUGCGGGAAGUAAUCAGAAUAAUAAGAUGAUUCCGUGACAAUGAAUUGUCUUUGAGACGAAUAGAAAAGAUUGAAUCGUAUCGAAUCAACUCCAAAUAUUAUUAUUUUUACUAAAUUUUUAUUUAUCAUAUUUUUUUUUAUAAUUUUUAAAAUAUUAAAUAUUUCAAAAAUUUACGCUUCAUCGAAAAAGCAACCAAUAUAGCGAGACAAAUGUGGUCCAGGUGACCGCGACCGCCACUUCGAACCUUGAUUCUGUACCCAUCAAUCUCAAUGGAACCUCCUCUGAGGUUUCUCAUUCUCCCAGUGACGCGUAUCCCUCUGACAUGCUACUACUCCUACUUGUAUGAUAUGUUAUUCCACCCAAACCAAAAGGCCUUUUGUUUAUGCUGCUGCUACUUUUUUGCCUGGUAAUUUGUUCAUCCUUAAUUAGCAGCAGAAGCUUCUUACGGGAAGGUAUCAGAAUUAAGGCCCUCGUUGUAUAUAAAUACAUAGAUAUAUUAGUGCGUAGGACGCAAAUAUGCCAAUAGUAAGCGUUAGGAAAGACCGACGACGACGAUGGAUGGAUGGAUGCCGAUAAUAGAUUUGCCGAAUCCAUGCGUUCAGAAUUUUGUAAUAGAUUUGACGAAAGAUUCUCCUCUUCUGGCCCCGCAUCAGAAUUCACAUUUGGCCGGUCCCCUCUCAUUGAUUCCAUUCACCAAAGCAAGCAGAAAGAAUUUCUUUCCCAUUUCGACUCCUUGUUUGGCUCUGUGGCCAGAUUCUGCUCUUGCAGAAUCUGGAGAAUACAGCGACUCCUAAGCUUUUGCUUCAACGCCUGCAAACAAGACAUGGACGUACCCACCCACCCACCUGGUGGCGGCCAUGUCCAUCCACAUGUCCAUGAUUUUUCUGUUACGCACUUUCGAAAUGAACUGGGCUCUCUGUGUGAGCUGGAAAGGUUCCAAUCCCAUUUUCUUUCAGAAAAGUGUAACAGCGGCAUAACAAUAUAAUAUAAUAUAUUUGCCAUAGUAAUCCAAUUCAGCACCCAACCUCCCAGUUCAAUGGUCAUACACACUACUGGCAUAAAAAAGGAAGGCUACAUAUUGUAUUGGAGGAGAUGCUGAGCGGAAGGAAACACCUGAUUAUAUAGUAAGACCUACACUACACUACACACUGACAAAUCUUUUCGGUACAAACGACCUCUUAAUGCGAAAUCUGUACCUGUGGCUGCUCCUCCAGCUUUAGAAGCUGCCGUUCAUACAGUGCAUACUCCUCAGGUUUCUCCCACUAAAACAAACAAUUCAAGAAACAUUAAAGAGGCAUGUUAAGGAAAUGACGACCAAACACCUUCCAUCAUAAUGUACUAAAUAAAAUACUUCUAUGCUUUUUACCCUGCUCUCGCUUGUUACGCAAUUGUAAUAAUAUGGGCAUCCAUCAGGGCACAUAUGUUCACUCCACUCGCAUUCCACAGAGGAGUCGAUGCCAGUAAUCGCUCCAAAAGAUGAACAAGACAAAGAGGAAUUCGGCAUGCUCUCUGAAGCGUUGCUGGCACAUGCUAACUCAGGCUUGCAUCUAUUAUAUGUUGACUGCAGAAACAUGGCCGAUGCACUUCAACGUCAGGCCAAAUCAUGCAGGUAGGUUUUCAGGGAACAAAUGAAACAGAAAGGCAAAAUCCAUACAUAAAGACAAAAGAAGAUUGAGGAACACAGAAGGCACCCCAAACAUGCUUUAAAACCACAUCUCUACAGGCACAAGACGCAGGCUUCCUAUGUGAACAAGAUGGGAUUCAGUAGCCCUAGUCCAAUCGACUUUUACCAACCAAAAUUUUGCUCACGUAAUCUCAAGAUUGGUCAUUACUCAUGGUUUCCCAACCUUUUGUACUUGUUGCAAUAAUUUUCUAUUUGCACAAUUGCAUCUUGACUAGUUGAAAUCCAUCUAAAUUGGCUACAUCACUUCAAAGCAUUCUCACAUAGCUCAACUUUUUGAUGCCCUAAUAAUAUGCACACUUUAUAAGUAGUAGAUUCUAGUGAAAACUUUAAUACCAACUGGGUUGGAUGUCAAAAGUUGGUGCAUAAUCCCACUGCCAAGAAUGUGUUUUCCAGAAAACAGAUUAUUAAGUACAUUUCGCGAGAAACUUAAAUUAAUCAUCCAAAGCACGCAAGGCGCUCCAAGAUACGUGUAUUGAAUGUUUAUCUCGUCAAAUGUAUAGGUUUCACCAAUGUGUCAAGGGAAACAUGUAGAUGCAAGGAACAUGAGCAUCAUCAUCCCAUAAUAUGAAGCAAGCAACAUUAUUAAAUAUGUUAAAGACUCACAGGAUGGAAAUCAUUAUGCACAACAGCUACUCGAUCAUCCAAAUACGAUGCAGCCCUGCAAUGCACCGGAAUUGAAGCAAUACAUAACCCACAAGACAAUGCGAAAAGCGACAAGCUAAGCACGAGAGAAAAAUAAAACUAAUAUUCUGAAAUUACUUUACCAUAAAAGGCAAUGCAAAGCUACAUCUGUCCUCACAUACAGCGGGAAAAGAAAGACAUACCACAAUUUGAGUAAUUUAGUGGGUAAAUCAAAUAUUUACAAUAAAAAUGACUUUUUUAGUGCUUAGGGAGGGCCAAUGGAAGUGUGAUCAAACCUAAAGGAAACUCAAGAAUGAAGCACGCAACAAGUAGUGACACUGAUAAACCACCAGGGCAGUUUUAUUGGUGAAAGGACAAGACUUAUCGGAACAAAACCACAUAAUACCACAUCAUUCCCAGCAGGCUCAGGGUAUAGCAAGAACUAAUUGUCUUUUACAGCAAGCCUCUAUUCUGUUCCAACCAAAGUCAUUUGAAAGAUAACUCAUGUCAGCUAAUAGGCUAAUAAUAACUGGAAGAGAUCAUAAGGGUUUUCUGUCAGGACAACUGUAAUGUGUAUUUGGCACAUCGCUAGAUUUCCAUAAGCAGUGUUCUUAUGAAAAUAAUUAUCUGAGGUGAUGGUAGAGCUGGAGAGCGACCAACCUUGGACCUCCCAACCUAGGCUUCUUAGGAUCCGCAAAACGAACGAUUAAUGGCUGAUUACAACCCUAAGUCACAAGUAAAACGAAAUUACAUUAUAAGCUAAGAAAACUAAGUCAAAAGUCCUAGAUGCACUGAGCUUACCCUCAUGAUGUAGCUGCCAUGUAGGCCAUUGAUUGCAGCAACUGCCAUUUCUCUACGAGAGAACUGAACAAAUGCACAUCCUUGAGAGCAGCAAGGAUGUCCACAACAACAAAAAAACAUGAUUAGGAGAAGAUUCAUAAACAAGGAUGAAGAGUAUACAAGAUGGUGGCAAGCAGAAGAGACGGAUGACAAUGUCAAGAGUAUUAAAGACACACUGAGAAAUAACCUGAUAAACUAGUCAGGACCCUGAAGCAUAUCCUACAGUUAAACAAAUUUAACCAUUCUGCUUUUACUAUGAGAGAGACUUGGGUACAUACCCCGAUGUUGUCUCAUUUCAUCCCGCACAAUGAAGACAUCUUCAACAAUUCCAAAUCGAGAAAAUAUCUGACAUUAAGAGCAUACCGUCUCAAUAGAAAAGAACAUGCACCAUAACUCAUGUUAGAAGUUGAAGUUUCAAAUGAAAGUCCAUUCAAAUGCAUCACUGUUAUUAGGCCGAUUUAAUGUCACUUACUAAGAAAGUUUCAUCUACCAAACUUUUUAACCUAAACUAUCUGUUUUUGUGAUAUUCAUCAUGAUAACAAUACUUUUUACAUUGUCAAGACCAGCUCACAGAAGUUAAGAUUAAUCCCAAACAAAAAAGGUAAAUAAAAAAUAAAAAGAAACCUAAAAGACCACAAUCAUGGAAAUGUAUUGAAAACAACAUAUCACAAGUUUAUAGAUAGGCCAAAUCAUUUUCCUAUAAACUUCUAGGAGAAAGAGCACCACAAGCAGAAGACCACAAAAGCAGGAUAGCAGAAAUAGGCAUUCUGCAGUACAUGUGCCCCAAAUUGUACGAGACAAUAAGGGAUGAAAGCUUAUCAGGUGGACAGUACUUCUUCAAUUUCUGUAUCUGUAGAUUGUUUGUUCACACAACCGACGUACAAUUUCAACAAUUGCUGGUCAAAGCUACCUGCAAGGCAUAUAUGCAGCAUAAACAUUAUAAAACUUCAGAGAUGCAACUGAAACAAAAUUUUAUGCAAACAUCCAAAUCCUGAUCUCAUACAAACAAACAAACAAGUCCCAGAAAGCUAUAAAGAAGAAAAUAAAUUCAGAGGCCAUAGGUCAGAUAAAAUAAGAAAAGCAGCUGAACCUCAAUCACUUGGACAACAUCUACUUGUAGAGUAGUAGUUCCACAAUUUUACACCAGUGUUAAAAAUAGAGUCAAUACAGAUAAUGAUAUAGUUCCACAGGGGAAAACAAAAAAUUUCCAAAUCCGUUAAACAAAAUUCACCAUAUGACAUACGCAGAAUCCAAGUUACUGGAAGUCAAGACAGUUGCUUACUUUUAUAGGGCCAUCAAACUCAAAGCAGAACAAUUAUAUGACCGUCACUGGCUUCUAAACCACACUGCUAUAGAAGUACUUAAAAAAAUCAUCUAAGGAAGACACAAUCUAAGAUGUAACACAAAAUCAAAGAAGAAGUCUAGGUAAUUAACUUUUACAAGGCCUCCAGGUUCAAACCACCACAACUACAAAAAAGCAAGUAUGGCUUCCAAGAAAUAUCUAAAUGAGAGUCUCCUAUUCUUCCAAAAGAUUUUAAAAUAUGUACAUCUAUUUUGUGUUACAUCUAUUUUAAGAUUUUCUUGUCAAAUAAGAAAAGACAAACUUCCAUUAGACGAAAAAAAAGUCCUGUUUUUCCUCUUUGGACAACAGAAUCACCCCAAAAGUAUAUGGUCUCUUAAGUUUGUGUUCAUCCAAUUAAACUACAGAUGUUGGUAUAAAGUGUUACUAAAAAAAAAUUUUGAAUAAAACUUUUCUCUGAUUUUUCUUUGGAUAUAUACAUUUAUUUUCUUUUAAGAUUUUUUUCCCAUGAUAGACACCUCACAACACACUAUGAAGGCCAUAGCAAUAAAUUUUCUCCAUCAUUUCAAAAACAUACUCUACUAAUUUCAUGUAUAAAUUUAAUAAACACAACCCAUUCACAGCAAGGAUCAUUAAGUGCAGUUGUGAUUCGCCAAUGUUAAGUGAAACAAUUUUCUAGUAGGACUCCCACCACACCAUAAAUAUAUUUUGAAUUAUAUAUAAAAUAAAACAAAUAAAAUAAAUAUGUACUUGGAGUGAUUUCAAUUUUUCCCCAGAUGUCCUAUGUAUUGAGGGAUCAAAUUAAUGAUAACCAAACACAAUGGAUGGUAAAAUAUACAAAGUGCUUGAUAAAACUUUUUAAGUAACAUAUGGUAACAUUAUGGAGUCUUAAUUCCAUAAGAUGAUGAAUACAGAAUGAAAAUAUGAACCAUUGUAAAAAUACAAAAACUAUGGUUGAAAUGAAGUAUAAAAGAAUUUUAUGAUUGUUCAAAACAUUAAGGGGUCAGAGUAUAAUACUAUAAUAUGAGAAAAGUUUAUAACUUAUAACGGAUUCCUUGUUAUACUUCUUCUCCGCCUGUCCGCCAUCAAAAGCUUUCCACUUUCCAGUUCCUUAUGUCCCACAUCACAAAGUUUCCAGUUCAUGUGUUUAGUUUUUUUCCUUUUUUCUAACGGUUUAUUUUUAUUUCUUUUACACUCUCUUCUUCUCCUCUUUCGUUUAUCUUCCCUUCUACCAUUCUUGAUUUCCUUUUCUUUUCUUCUGAUUUUAGAUCUUUUCACCCUUUCUCAUGUAAGAUUUCUUCAAUUCUUCUUCUUUUCUUCUCAUCCUUUCAUGCUACAUUUCUUUCAUUUUUUGUUUGAUUUUAGAGCUGUCAAAAAUUUAACCAAAUCUCAAGCUUUUAGGGUUGCUAUGUUAUUGUUAGUCGUUUAGGAAAUUAUAAAAAAGUCCAAGAAAAAAAUCAAAAUUCAGCCAAAACAGAAAAUAGCAAAAAAACCGAUUUUCUUGGGUAUUGCCAAUUUGCGGUCAAACCGGUUUUUAGAUCGGUUUUGACCGAGUUUCUUGCACCUGAUUCUCAACACCAACUCAGACUGGAGGACUAACCAAUUCACCAUUCAACUGGUCAAACCGGCUGGUCCGGUCUGAGCUUAAAACCACAGACAAUAACUGUACCAACAAGAAAAUAAAUGCAACUCAAGUAAUAUGUGUUUGCCUGCUAUUAACUUUGAAUAUUAGCAUAACUCAGCAAACAAGAUUCCACAAGAAAAUGAGAAGACAAAAAGUAAGAAUCAUAUCCUAAGCUAAUUACAAACCACAAGCUAACUACUGAGAAUACCUCUUCCUAUGGCAAAGAAGUGAAAAAGUAGAACAUACUUGUGUCCAGUCUCACCCUGAUGAAUAAAGUACAGCAGCAAGGGUCAAACAGUGAAUAAACAAAAUAAAACUUCCAUGUCAGAAAUUACCAUAGCGUUCCUUUUGCCCAUCAGCAUAUCUGACUGUCAGAGGAGCCACUCCCUGCAAAAGGCAGUUAACCAUCAUGAAUCAGAGUGCACAGAAUGCCUUUCUUUGGAGGAAAAGCUAGAAAUUUUAUGACUACCAGAAAUUAAACUAACCCCAGGAAAUGUAUAUCGAUCAUGUAAUGCUCGAAUGGCUCUGUCAGCUUCCUCUAUUGUUGUAUACUUCACAAAGCAACAUUCUGCAAAUAGUAUUUAACAUGUAGAUUAGAUCAUACCAUACCUCCAAUGUUCAUGCAAGCAUAUAUCGCACAAAACCCUCGAGACCUUGAGUCAUACUUGAAAUAUCUAACUCAUAAAGAGUAGCCAAAAGCAGUACCAAUCUGGAUUGCAAGAACCACAUCCAGAUGCCCCAAAAAAAUCAUGGAAAUAUCAAUAGCACUUUAUGCACACUAUGUUGAUACAUUGAAAUAAACCACAAAAUUUAUAAAUUGGCAUGACAAGUUUUGGGUUAAUGACACAAAAAAUGAUAAACCACCAAUUGGAUACAUUGCAAUAUUUGAAGCAAUUAGUUUUAUAACCAUCCAAUGUGAUAGCACGCUAUUAAGUUCUGGAUAUCUGAUUAGAUUAACCACUGAAAGGAAAAUAGAAGUCAGCUACUAAAUCUGACAUGUUUAAAUAUAUAUUUCAGAUUAGUUAUAAGCCAACUCUGCAGGGAGAAUCCUGAGAUAAAUGGGCCCAAGCCAUUAAAGACAUUGGAUUACAGCAACAAAAUAUGUAUAUUAGCACAUUCCACAAUCUCGUGAAUUUAUUUUGGUUUUUAUUCUUCUCUUUUGCUUGCCAUUCUUCAGGAAUCAAGGUGGGAUACUUUUGCACAACACUGGUUUUAUACUAACUACAAGACUCAGCUCUCAGAACCUUAACCAAACCACCAAGUUGGGCAGUUCAAGGCUUCAAAUUGAACUUUAAAAUUCUGCAAGCACAACAAUCAUGAGGCAGAACCAACUAAUUAGCCAUAGGACUUCAAACAUGGCUCCUCCAACAAAUUGAAGUGCAAGAAGUAGCCAAAAAAAAAUUUUUUUUUUUAUCAAAUUGAACACCAUUUACAGGCAUGGUUUAAAAGGACUAACAUCUGCGAGAAAAAAAAAAAAGGAAACAUAAUCCAGGAGACCAUUGCUUGACCGUAACAAAAGGGAGCUAGUACAAGAUGCCAUCGUGUUAUACCUCCUUGUUGACCAGUCCUUUUAUCUCUGAUAAGAACAAUCUCGACAAUAUUGCCAUGUUCUGCGAAAACAGAUCCAAUCUGAAGUAGGAUAAGAAAGUAGCGAAGUUAGAAAAGGGACUAUGUGUCCAAAGUUGACGGAUGGGAAAAUCAUAAAAAGUGGAAAUUCGAGUUGAUUAAGUAGUAGAAUAAUUUUUCUGUAAAGUAACAAAUGAUGCCAGCAAGUAAAAAUGAGAAAAAGAUAACAGCCACAAUAAAUAUUCACAAUGUUCACCGUAAAAAAGCACUACUGACAUCUGUAAAUGAUGCAGAAACAAGCUAAAAGGAAAAGACGAUUACGAGUAGGAUGUUGGGGCAAGUGAGAGGGUAUAGAGCAAUGGAAAUGGGUUUGACCAUUGGAGUUGGAGCUGAAGGUAGAGAAGCGAAUGGGGUUGGUGGCCGUUCCAUCAUCAAUGGGAAUGAGCAACAGAGUUGAAUAGGUAGAGAAGUAAAUGGUGUUGGAUUAGUUAAAGGGAAUAAAAUGCAAAGUGCAACUUACAUCUUCUCGCGUGGCUGUUUUUGGAACUCCGGCUACGUAUAGCUUCACAAUUCUGCAGCCAUUACCAUAAUGAUCUAAUGAUAUGAUGAUAUGAGAGAAGACAGAAGUUUUAGUGUGACAGCGUCCAUAAGCAUCGGAUAGAGAGAUAUCCUAAAAAUGAAAGAUAAAAAAGAGACAGUGAGAGAUUUGGAAGAGGAGGGUGGCAGGGGCAGCGGUACCAGGAGCAGAAGUCCCUUGGAGUUGGAGGGAGUCAUUGGAGUGUGAAAACUGCCUCUUGCGGACUCCGGAGGAGGAGGAGCAGGGUGAGAGGGAAUGACAAGUGAAAUUACUGUCUACCCGGGCAGCUGCUGGGUAGUCAUUGGGUUCGGAAUUGAAGCUAUGGUGGUGACGGCGACGCUCCUGCUGGCGGUUAUAGUGGUCAGCGUACGAGGGAUUACCUCUGCUUUUGUUAUCGUGACUGUGGGCAUGAUGAUAGUGAGGGUCGGACACGGGGACAGAGUCAUCGGAGGGAUGCGAAUUGCGGAGGAUAGACUCGGGAGCUGACCGGUCGUCGCCGCCGCCGCAGCGUUCUUCUCCUCCUCCUCCUCGUCUGUGUGGAUCAUCCAUCGAUUUUUCUUUUCUUUUUUUAAAGAAAUUUAGAGUAUUUAUCAGUGUCACACACCGUGGUGCCCGACAACUCCUAUCCCAAAAAAAAAAAAAAGAAGUAAAUGGCCAAUUUAGUCCCUAAAUUCUUGCUUUUCGAUUUAGUUCCUAAUUUUAUUUCUUAACAAUUUGAUACGUGAUUUAUUUUUCGAUUCCAAUUAAAAACUUCUGUGGUGCACCAUCACCUAAAAUCGAUUAGCUCUUAAUUGAUCAUUUGAAUGGAGGUAUUUUGAAACGUUGCUCACAGAUUGUGAUAAAAGUAAGAGAAUCAUGUAAAAAAUCACAAGAUUAAAUUUUAAAAAAACUUUAUUUGGAGAUUUUUACAUAAUAUAUUUAUUAUUUAUACUGCAGUCCCGAAUGACGUUCCUAUAAUAUUCCUAUUAAAUUAAUCAAUUAUGAAUCAAAUUGAUUUUAGUUAAUGGUGCCACCAUGAAAAUCCUUAAUUGAAACUACAAAAUAAAUUCAAGUAUCAAAUUGGUCAGAAAUAAAAAUUAUGAAUUCAAUUGACACAAAGUUUAGGAAUGAAAUGAUCUAUUUUCCAAAAAAAAAAAAAAAAAGAGUAAAAAUGAAAACCAACUUCCGUCAAAGUACUACAUAAAUAUUUCAACUCUUGCGUCACUACUCUGAUUAAUGAAAUAAUCAAAAUAUACCCUCAAAAGCAUAUGUCCUUCCCAUUUUGCCUUCUUAAUUUUUCAAUUGGAUCAAUUUGGUCCUUAGACUUGUUAGUUUCCCCAAAUUUACUCCAAUCAUUCUCGUAACCACAAAUUAAAUUGGAUUUAGUAUAUGCUGCAGCAGAAGGAUAUACACAUGCCCUCAAUGAAAUUAAUGAAUUUACUAUAAAUACAUAUAUAUGUAUAUUUGCACAUAUGCAAAAAUAAAAAAGCAAAAAAUAUUUCCUUCACGAAAUCCAUUAUUUGCAAAAGUUAAUUGCCUUCAUGUGCAUUUUUUUAACCCAUAUCCAUAAAUAAUUAUGACUUUUAUUUGUACUUUUUGUGCAAAAAUGCGAAAGUUAACUUUUAAUUUUGGAUGUAUUUGGUUGAUUGCAUCGCAUUCGAGAAAAUGGAAAAUUGAUUGAAUUGGACAAUAGAGGAUGCAAAGUAAGCAAGUCACAUAUUUCAUUGGGACAUGUUGAAGUUAACCAAAAAAAUAAGUUACAUUUUAUGAAUUGGUGCGCUACUAUUACUUUACUAGAAAAUCUUUACGCGACAAAAUUUCAAGCCAAAUUGCAAAUUUAAACAAUCCGGUUUUGCUUCAAAAUAUGAUGAGCAUUUCAUUUAUUAAAAAAAAAUUAUUGAGCAAUGCAUUUCGAGAAUGUUUUGCUCUUUUUAUUUUUGAAAUUAUAAAAUUUUGCAUUCAAAAUUCCCUCACUCUAAUUAAGAAUGGCAUAAUCAACUACUCAAAGUAAUUGGCCACCAAGAGUUUUAAAACUCUAUUUGAGUUUAGGUCAAGAUCGAAUCCUCCUACAUUCUAAUAUUCAUGAUUUUUUGAAUAUGUUUGGCCAGUAGGAGCGUAAGCAUUCGUCUGAGCCAAUGAUGAGUGAUGACCCCCUCCACCUAGUACAGAAUAAGAAUAGGUGUAAUAUGAAGUCUAUCAUGUCCGAUAAAAAAAAAAAUCCUUUGAAAUAACUGACACCCUACCCCGUCGUCGGCUCCUCUCCCAUCCCCCGCCUACCGCUCGUCCCUGCCUCGCACGGUUUUGGUCAUUGAUUUCAGGAGUUAUCAUUCGAGGAUUAGGAGGACAAAAAAUGAUCUGCGUGUGAACAGUACAUCUCAUUUUUACCCAGGAAUUUUGUCCAACAUUUGACGAGAAAAAGCAAUAUAGGCGAAGGGGAAAGGUUUUAUAUUUAGUAUCAUUUUGUUUGUUAUGGGUGUAUAAAAGUAAAAAAGAGAGUAAACUGGCAUUGAAGUUACACAUACACACUGAGGAGUUUGGUGGCAAUUCACUCACAUAAUAUGAACACACACAAACGAAGUCGGAACAUUGCUCCUCCUGCACUAACAGCCGCAGGCCAGCAGCUACAUACUGAUAUUGGCAGUCUCCAAAUUUAAAUUGCAAUGAUGCCACAAAGCGCAAUGGACUUAGCGCUUAACACCAGAGAGUUUCUCAUACAGACCCUCAAUUUCCCCCU